UUCAGGCAGGUUUUGCAUAUAACACAGGGACAUUUAGAAAAACCCCUAAAUUUGGCCAGUUGAUGCACCAUAUUUUGCUAAUCUUUGGGGCUGGUUUAUCUUGAUUAUUUACUUCAUAUAUAAAUUCAUGGAUUAAUCUGAGCUCCAGUCAUAAUAACCUGGGAUGGAAGUUUAGAACUUGCUUUAGAAGAAACUUCUAAAAAUAUAGCUGUGACUUUUGAAAUAUUUUUGUCAGAUCAUUAAUUAUAUGUAAUUUCAUCUGAUAGAGGGUUGGUCGCAUCAGCGAGAGGUAUGAUCCAUGCACAGAGCAGCACUCAGUUGUAUACUACAACCUACCUGAGGUUCAACAGGCACUUCAUGUUUAUACUGAUAAUGCACCAUCUAAAUGGGCAACCUGCAGGUAAAGCUUUUUUUUGGAGAAAUACUCAGAAACCGUUAAGAAUAUUGCCCCCCUAGAUUGCAAGAUAACUUGAAAUGAAAAAAACCUAGUAGCUCAAAGGGUCUUUUUGGCUGGAUGGAAAUCCAUUCUGAUCAAGGAUAACAUGUGGACAUGCCAGAAUACAUUAGUAAAGUGACAGGUUUGACCCCAUUAAUGUGAACUUUGACAGUGAAAGACACAGUGAUUUAGAAGGUGUAGAAUACAGUGAGAGGGGAGGAAGAUAAUCCAGCCAUCUAGGUUGGGACUUAGUAAAAUAUGUACAAGCAAGAAUUUUGUGUUAAAACUACCUUUGAUAAGUGUUCGUGUUAAACUUUUUCAACCUGCAAGUGAAUUAGAUUAGGUUAUUGUUUAAAAUUGUGUGGGGAGGAUAUCCUUAUCUGGUUUUUUACUUGCCCUGGAAACAAAAAAAAAAAAAAAGAAAAACACUCUUUACAUCUUCAAUUAACAUAUGAUGUUAGUAUCAAUCUAAUCUAUGUAAAAACUUCUACUAGGGAGAAUUGCUUAGAAGCUUUUGUUGUUUGAUGAGUCAAUUCCAGAAUGAUAAUUUUCAUGGGCAGCCCAUGAUUAGCUCAACUAGUCGAUGCUCUCUUUCUCACAUGAGAGGUCUCAGGUUUGAAUCCCAGGCUUUCUUGAUACACAGUUCUAGGGGGAGGGUCAUGUAUUUGUGGGUUUCCCCACCCCUUUGUAAGCAGGCUAGUGGGGUUUGGCACCAAAAAAUGUGACAAGAACUACAUCUUGUACUUAUUGUAUUGAACUUGUGAUAUCUUUUCCAGCCGUUCUCUAGAUUAUAUGAUAUUUUUAAGAUUUUAUAUUCUCGCUAAGCAGUUUAGGAUAUGGUUUUUAAUAUUCUAUAAAUUUUAUUGCUAGUGUACCAGAUGUGACAAGUACUGGAUCUUGUACUUCAUUGAACUUACCAUAUAUUUUUCAGUCUUCUUACUAAUAAAAAAAAAAAGAAAAUUUUUCAGUCUUCUGAAUAACAUAAUAUUUGCUUGAUUUAUAGCUUUGGGUAAGUGACUUAGUAAUAUGUUUGUUAACAUCUUGUUGCUGUUGCUAUUAUCAGUGAUGAGGUUUCUGCUACUUGGAAAGAUUCUCCCAAGACAGUACUUGACGUUUAUCGUGAACUUAUACAUGCAGGACUCCGUAUUUGGAUAUUCAGGUUUCUCUAAACAUUUGACAUCAUUUCCCUUAAAAUCUGCUGCAUACUUGCUAGCUUUGCAUGUGAUGUGCAGCUACACUUCACUUAUUCUAAUAUUGGUUGCAUGCAUGUGCUUGCUUGCAUUAUAAAUUGAAAUGAGGAAGUAGUUGACCAUAUUGUUAGGAUUAUGUUUUGUGUUGAUUUGAUUUAGUGGUUUGCUCUUAUGGAUUUCCCUGAAUUUUUUUCUGUGUUUUGGAAUAUUAUAUCAUAGAGUUGGGUGUUUCCUAAGCUCACAUGUGAGACUUGGACAACUCAAGCCACUUAACGUUGCCAAGUCAACCUUUCCCCAAACUUAGCUUUCUAUGCUAAGCAACCCGACUUGGCUUGGAAGUUUUGAACGAACAAAGGAAGCACACUUGAAGAACCCUUGAAGAAUGAAAGCUUUUAUUGCUCAAAGACACUUUACAAUGCUUUAGGAAGCUCAAGUGCUUGGUGUCUUUGCCAAAUGAGGCCACCACCUAUUUAUAGACACCAAAAAAACUCUUUGGAACCCUCAAGGGUUCCCUACUAUAAAAUUUUCUAGAAAGUCCUACACAAAUGCUAUGUACAAGAGCUUUCAAGAAUUCUCUAGAAGAGUCUACACUGCUCUAUCUUUUCCCAUCCAUGUGUGAAUGUCUCCAGAGUCUUUUAAAAGCUUCUUGCUCCCUUAUAUAAGCUCAUGUUAGGGAUCAUUUUGAGCAGGUUGUGACAAUUAGCUACAUAAAAAGGGGCAGCUGCAUGAAUUAAUUACAUCGGACAGUUAAAAAGAGAGUAGUUUCAAUUAUUAUGUUGAUAUGAAGAUAUUAAGAUGUAUACAUAGCGAAAGAAUAAAGUCAUAAACAUAGUUGUGAAAGGCGCGCCUAGGCUUGGGGCGGCGUGACGCCACCCUCCGACGCCUCGCCUGAAGGCAGGCGAUGCCCCUUCACGAAGGCGCCGCGUAGGCGCGCAAGGCGUGACACGGUCGCCUGACUCGCCUCCGGCCAGGUACGUGCUCCUUCUUCUCCUUCUCCUUCUUCUUCUUCUCCUUCUCUACUUCAGUCGCCGUCAAGUUGCAGAGGGCUGGGGCUGAGAAGCCCUAAUUUUUUUUUGAUUUUUUGGGUCCAAAACGACGUUGUUUUGGAGCCUGUUCCUUUAAAAAAAAACAGGCCAAAACGACGCCGUUUUGGCCUUGUUUUCCCUUCCAACCCCCCUUUUCUUGUAUUUUUGAAUCCGACACCACUCCCAAUCAUGCGCCGUGUAGUGGAGAAGUGAAGAAGAAGAAGAAGAUGAGGAAAAAUAGAGGAAAAAUAGUCACGUACCUUCCAAGACCCCAUCAUGUUGAUUAAAUUGAAGUUUUGGAUGAUAUUUGAUGAUUUAUGUGUUUAAGACAAAUAAAUGAUUGUUAAAUUUGAUUAUAUUAUAUAAAAAUAUAUAUGUAAAUUAGGGUGCACUUCACUUCACUAAAGCUUGCGCCUUAGGUGCACCUUGCGCUUCAGGCUCCAGUGCUACUUUGCGCCUUGGUGCUCCUUGAGCCUUUUAAAACUAUGGUCAUAAAAUUGUCUAGAGUAGCCCUGUAGUAAGCACAAACACUUUUAAAGAUUCGCCUUGUUCCUGUUGGACAACACUUCUAGAUGCUUCUUAGACAUGUCUUGAGACACUUGGAUAUAUUGUUAUGAUUUUCUUUCUUAAACUUGCAAACAAUGAGCUGAAACUCAGCUAAUACAUGCUGGAUUAUGUAAAGGAAAAAUUGUUGUGGUCAAUAUGCAAAUUAUGAAAAAGUUUGACCAUUUUGAGAAAAUCAAACAGAACAAUGGUUGCAAUCUCUAGGAGCAGUUGCAAUUGUAAAUAAUAUAUUCUUGUGUCCUCCCCAUGUUCACAGCCUUUGGGUUUGCUCCUUUGUUCUUGUUUACAAUUAUAGAGUGCUUUGAAAUAUGAAGGCUCUAAAGUGGGUGAGCUGGUGGAGACAUGAAUGAGAGCAAUCCUACAGGCUGCAACGCAUGAUAUGCAAAUGGAUUGAUGUGCAAAAUUGGGCAUGAUUCAAUAUGGGAAAACAUUAUAGAAUUUGAAAGCAAAUGACUAAUAGUUUCAGUAUGGUUAAGAUUGUGUUAUCAUAGUAGAGUUUAUGCUUAUACAUGUUGCCUAAACAAUAUAGCUUCGUAUAGAGUCUCAUAGAAACAUUGCAGAUGUAAAGCCCACAGGUCUAGUUGAGUGUAGGGCAAAUCCACUUAUUAUGAAAAACAAGUUUACAGAUGUACUUCGACCCUAAUGCUAUCUUCUCUGAAGGGACUUUUUUGGCCAGCCCCUACACGUUGCUUCAUAUUCAUGACAGUUUCUUAGUGGACACCUCAACUCUUUGCUGAAGGUGGAUGCAAUAUUCUCUACCCUAGUAGAUUAGGUCACACCAAUAUACAUGAAAAGACAUUGAGUGUCAUGAUUUUUAAAGUAAAUGAAAAAAGCAAAAUCCUUACAGAGCGCUUGAGGGCUCUCAAGGGGCACUUGAGCGCUGCAUGUAUUUUUUUGUUUUCUUACAGAUGUUUCAAAAACUGAAAUUUGUAUGCCCAUGUGAACAUUUUGCAUUAUAAUUACACUUACCUAAAUGUCAUACCACAUACUUGCAAAUGAACCUUUGAAGCUGAAAAGUCCUAUGGAAGUAUGUAGAUCUAGAACAGUGGUAUUAGGAACAAAAUUGUCAACCUAUAUCUAGCUAAUCUAGCUCACUGACAUUAUUUGCACAAGUAUGCCGUAGGGAAAGUGGGCACUCUCCAUAUCCAUUUUAUCUUGACCUUUAUCAUUAAAAGUUUUGUAUAUUUUUCUAAAUUAAAAUUAAAUACACUUUGAAUAGGUUGUCAUAUAACUCAUUGUUUUCUUUUAUGUGAGAACAUUGGUGGAUAUGAUAUUGCAUGUCUUUUUAUAAGAAUAUUGCAUGUUGUUAUUUGUUAUGGUUAAUUUCUUGGAGUUUGUUUUAAAUGUCUUAGGAAGGACCGAUAAAUUUAUGAGACAUUUGCAGAAGGAUUAAUUUGAAAUUGUGUUAAGGGUAUAUCAUUAUCAUCAUCAUCUUCUUCUUCUUGUUUUUGUUCCUCAAUUGAUGAGUUUGAAACCAUCUGGUCAUCCAACCACUUUAGAUAGUAUCCACCUAACAUGCGUAGGUCAGUCACAUUGUCUUAGUGACAUGAAUGGAGCUGGAAAAUGCUUCAAGCCUUCAUGUUCCAGUGUUUUCAAACAGAUUCAUAAGCGAAUGUCUUACAUUUCAUUUUGCCUUUAUGACAGUGGUGAUACAGAUGCCAUAAUCCCAGUUACAUCCACCCGGUACAGUGUAGAUGCUCUCAAGCUUCCAACAGUGGGCCCAUGGCGUGCUUGGUAUGACGAUGGACAGGUAAUUUCUUAAUUGAAUGAACUGUUUCCCCCAGUUUUCAUAUUAUAUAUUGCAGGCCAGGAAUUAAUACAAUGGUGUUAAACAUGCAGGUGGGAGGAUGGAGCCAAGAGUAUGCGGGGCUUACUUUUGUUACAGUGAGGGGAGCAGGGCAUGAAGUUCCUCUGCAUAAACCCAAACAAGCUCUCACACUUAUCAAUGCCUUCUUAAAAGGAACCUCAAUGCCCUCCUUGGAGCAACUGGCUGAUUCUUGAAUUUUUGAAGCAAAGCUUUGUAUUGGAAGAAAGAAAAGCUGCCAUGGACAUGAAGAAGUGGAUUUAAAUCAGGAGAUUCAAAGCCUGCAACAGUCUUAAAAACAUCUUAUGUGGCUCCUGCUUUCUAUUUUUAACUCACUUUUUUAGGGAUUUGUAAAAAACAAACUUGUCACAAACGUUGUGGGUUUUUACAGGGAUGUUCAAAAUUCCAAAAACAGCUUCUUAGUUUCCGCCAUCCACCAUCUGCUUGGAAAAUUAUCUUUAGACCUCAAGCAUGUUUUCCUUGAAAAUAUUCACCUAAUAUAAACAACUUGUGAUUGAAAAUAAAUAUUACUCUGUUGUAAUAAGCUCGCUUCUAUAUUUCUAAUGUUGGAUAUCAUCCCUUUAUAAACCAAUAUAUAUAUAUAUAUAUAUAUAUAUAUAUAUAUAUAUAUAUAUAUAUGUAGUCAUGAAUUUUUUCUAAUGUGGGAUAUCAUCCCACUAUAAACCAACUAAAUUGACUAUAGAUUGACUUGUUCUCAAUUGUAUGUAUAUUGUCUGAUUUAAACUAACUAAAUUAAUUAUAGAUUGAUUUGUUCCCAAGUGUACGGAUACUGUUUGUUUUACGUCCAAUGGAUUUUCGUGGCUUUAAAACAUGUUUAUAUUGUUAAGGAAAGUAUAUAUAUAUAUAUAGUGUCAUGAACUUUUUGUUGCGGGAUAUCAUUCGUCUCUAAACCAACUAGAGUGACUUUAGGCUAAAACUCAUAGGAAUUCAUAAAUUAAUCAUCUAGUAUUUAUGCUCCGUUUGGAACUGUUGAAGACUCCUUUAAUCUUAUUGACCCCAAAACAAUCAGUAUUUUAGGUUUUAAGAACUCCAUCCAAAUAUAAUCAGAGAGGUAAUAUUAUGAUUGAUACCUCAUUAAAAAAGGAGAAGAAAACACCGAAUAGGUAACCAUAAAUAUUUAGCAUUAGAAAUAUUGUUAAACAGACCAAAUGGAUGGACAAGUGGUAUGCCCAUGCCCAGGCCCAGGCCCAGGUUUAGGCUCUAAGCCAUCCAUGAAUAACGCCUCAAACCCCAUGUCUUAAUUUUCUGAACGAGAGAGAGAGUCCCACGUAAAAUCCAGAGCAAAGUCAGUGAAAUCAACGGUUAUAGGCGGCAGUGGUGAGUGUGAGCAGUUAGUUGAUUGUAGAGAAUCUGAGAAAGAAGGGCAACAAUGGUGGUGGUCUCUGCUACUACUUUUAACAAGGAGAUUGCUAUCAGAAGAAGAAUCUCCAGCAUGUACUCUCCCCCUCUCCCUCCCUAAAAACUUCCUUAAGAUUUAUUUGUCUUUUGUUUUGAUUUUUCCAUCUUAUCAAAUGAAUUUCGAAUUCAAUCUGGAGAUCUUUUUUUUUGUUUUUCUUUAAUGCAUUCAAUAUUUGUUUUUGGCAUGCGGCUGCCACAUAGUCAUUAGGGCUGAAUGUGAUUUUGGCAUUGGGUUAACAUGUAAUUCAGCUGAAAAUCAAGGGUCAAGAUUCAUAAAAUUUAUCAAUCCAAUCAAAUUGCAUAGGGCAUUGGUUACAGUUUCUUUAAGUGGUAACUCUGUUUGGUUGCUGCGAAAAUACUAUCAGGAGCAAAGAAACCAAUAUUUGUUUUGUUUUUUCUUUCUUCUCUUUUUAAGUUUUGGGUUUUAGGAUGUUUAUUUUUUGUAACAAAAUUUCAGGGCUCUUUUUUACUUUGCUUUUCAUGCAUUUUCUCAACAAUCCAAAGGGGGAAACAGGAAAAAGAGUGAUUUUAUUGUUGCCUAUUGCAAGUUUGUCAUGGAUGUUUGAAUCUUGUGUUUAUAAGAAAUGUUGUAUGAAAAGGAAAAUUAGAGGAUUUGGAAUCUCCUGUAGGGUUCAUAUUGCCCAUAUAUCGUAAUGUCUUAAUUUAAAGCACUUAUUUAUCUUGUUUGGUUUCAAAUUCUUGAAGAAGAAACAUUUGGCAUUAUUUUGCAUUCAGCAUUAUGUGCAAUAGCAAUGGAAAGAUGCAAAUCUCAGAUAUGAUUAUUUUUGAUAUAUUAUUUUACAAUGUUUUGCUUGUGCUUGUGGAUGUGAAUAGUAUGGAGAUAUGCUCAUCCACUUUAACCCAUUUUUUUCCCUUUCUUAUAAUCCUUUCUUUUUUUCCUUCCCAUUUGUCUUGCGCCUUACUUUGUUGGUCAUGUAUAUGGAUAGGGGAUUGUUGAAACAAGCGGAACUGUUUGAAAAUUAACAUAUUAUCUGCAUCUUUUGAGUGUGCUGGAUAACUUGUGGUAUUCAAAUGUGCCAUAUAUGUGUAAAAUAUGCAUAUAUGAAUGUGUAUAUGUACAUGCAGUGGCGAAGCCACCUUGAGCCCUGGUGAUAUUCGGUACUUGGUGAGGAUUUGAACCUAUUCACACCUUCUUUUAAAGGUUUGAGUGCUUACCAUUGGGCUAGACUAAGGAAAUGUGUAUUUUUUUUUGCCUCCUCUGAAAUAAAUAUUAAAAUCUUAGCCCCCUAAACCCGAUUUUCUGGCUCCAUCACUGUGUAUAUGUGUAGUGUAUGUGAAUAUAGACACCUCGACACAUUAUUAGGAAAGUCAAUAUGUGUGUGGCUUGUGUGUAUGUUCAUGUAUAUAUGGAGGUGUGUUUGUAAGUAUGUAUACAUAUAUCUACAUGUUUAUUUUGACAUUUAUUUUGUUAACUAAUAGUUUCAUCAUUUCACAAUUAUGAAGAUUCAAUAAAAGGGAAGAUGAUUUUCCUUCCUUGAGAGAAUACAAUGAUUACUUGGAGGAAGUAGAGGACAUGAGUAAGUAUCUCAAAUUUGUAUAUUUCUGAGAAUUUUGUCAACUUUAUUUUAUCAUUCCAAUUGUAAGGGUGCAAUAUUGACAGAAGUGCUUUUGUUAAAGCUACAAAUUUGAUUGAAGGAAUAGAUGUCCCUGCUAUCGAAGUGAAAAUUGCAAAGUAUCAGGAAGAAAAUGCUGAACAGAUAAUGAUUAAUCGAGCUCGAAAGGUACUUCAGAAAAAAAAAAAAUCUAUGUUUCCCUCUGAAAAAUCUACCAAUUGUUUUCCUGAAAAGUGAGAACAGUAUUUGUUUGCUUCUCAAGGUCACACAAUAAAAUUUUACAAUAUGAGUACCUCAUGCUAGCAUUAGUAAAUUUCACAGAAUUCACCAAGGUUUUUUCUCUCUUCCUUUUUGCUUGCCUGUUGGUGCUAUUUGUAUGUACUUUGUGUACUUUCUUGUGCCUUUUUCAGGUGCAUUUAAUAUAUUCUCUUAAUUUGCCUAUUAAGGAAAAAAGCAAUAGUGAAUUUUGUUAUGUGUCAUACAGAAGUGACUGAGAGGUUUUAAAUCUUGGCAAUGUUCAAAUAGGCUGAAGAAUUAGCAGCAGCUAUGGCAGCAAGCAAGGGACAACCUGUACAGACAGAUACUGAUGGGGUGAGAUGAUCUUAUGGAUUAUCAUUCCUUGAGUUACUGAAUGUCUUCUUAAUACCUUUUUUGGUGGCAUUGCAAAUACUUUCUUUUCUUGGAUUCAUUUAUAAUUUCAAAUCAAGAUUUGAGGUUGUUUAGAGUUAAUCGAUCAACUUCCAGGGCUGGGACAUGGCUGUCCAAAUGUUAGAAAAUUUUUGAUUUUCAGCCUGCAAGCACCAAAUUGGUAGUGGAAUUUGAUGAUCUUGACAAAUUUCACGAUUUCAUGAGUGGAGACUUGUGACUAUUUUCCUUGACUCUAAAGGUGGUGCACCAUCUAAUCCACCAGCCAACUGUGCUAAAAUGGUCAAUAAAAGUUUAUAUGUAAUUUUAAAAUUUGUAUUCCUUCAAGAAAGCUCACAAAGUAUACAAGGUUCUGGUAUUUGGUACUAAUCUUGGGCUCUGUCCAGCUGGAAAUCAAUAUAUGUUGAUUUUAUGGCUGGAUUUUGUCUACAAAUUGAAUUUCCAAAGAGAAAAAAAAAAAGGUACUUCAAUUUGCACCAAACUUCUCUGAAAAUUUUGAGUGUUUUUUUUUUCUUAUCAAUUUUCUGCCUAAUUAAAGAUUGUGUAAACAGGGUAUCGCCCCAAAGUUUCCUGUUUUGUUACCAAAGUUCCGAAAAAGGGAUAAUUUUUUUUUUCCAUUUAAAUUCAACAUCAAUGUGAUCCAGGUGCCAGAUCUAGAUCUAAACCUCACUGACCACUUGUGUGAGAUAUUAAAAUUUUAAAACUGUGGGUGCCGACAAUGCUGAACAAAAAAGGGGGCCAGGACUCAGGACAACAGAAAAUAGGUGAGUGUACCUUAAGAAUUGUGGAAUCAAGACUUAGAUUACAUUAUGUUAAGUUUCUUUGAUAUUUACAGAGUAAGUGCCUAUACCUAGAGGUCCUAAUUCUUUUAUAUUUUGGAACUAUUUAAAUACCUUUUUGAUGGGCAAAGCUUAGCUGUUAGCAUCUCUUUUCUAGUGUGUUCUCAGUUGUAUAGCCAAAUUACAGAUUACAAUUUCAUACUGGGUGAUGGUUUAUUGCUUGUUUAUGUAUCUGACAACUUCUUUUGGGAAGUUUAUCACCUUAACUUAGUUUUAGAGCAUUAAGACGUUAUUUUAGAAGUUCUUGGAGCUGUAACUUUCAUUAUUUAAUUGCUAUUCUUGGCCAGCCCACAUAGUGGCUUUCAUUAUAAUGAGUUUUUGUACUGUGCAUAUCAAAAGAACCUCUUUGAAAGUCUAUGUACUUUCUAGAAACUCUGUCAAAGUUAUCUGGGUUUUAAGUGAGACCAUUGUGACUCCUCCAGAUUUAACUGAGAGAUUUCUUCAAAGUUCUAAUUGAUUUUCAGAUAAAAGUGUUCUUCCUUCUAUUCAUUUUCUGCUCAUCCUCGAUCCUGUGUUUAUUGGUAUCAGAGCCAUUUACUAAGUUUAUUUUCAAAUUGAAUUUGCCAUUUAUUUAGAAUAUUUUUUUAAGUUGCAACUGCUUAGCGUUGGUCAGCCCUUGUAUGCGUUGGUAAGCCGUUUGUAGCCAUGGUGGCGUUUAGGUGUUCCCACUGGUGGUCCCACUAAGUUGCCAAGAUUUAAACAAAGAAAACAUAAAUCAAAAUGUCAAAUUUGUUUGGAAAUCUUUGUAGAAGUAGCUCAAAUAGUAGUUUAAACAGGAUGGAAAAUGAUCUCAAAAUGUUAGAAGAAAAUACUUCAAAAUUUGAGAAUCAAUUGAAUGUAUCAAUUGAUACUCUUGAACAAUAUAUAAAAAAUAUGGGAAAUGCCCAAACAAGAAAUUAAAGAUAUCUAUCAAAUAGGAACUUUUAGAUUCAAAUCAACUUAUAAAAUCAAAGUGUCUGAAAACACCAAUGUUUUAAAAACCGGACCGGUGAUCGAACUGGAAAAGUUCCCGGUUCACGGUUCACUAGUCGGACCGGUGGUCGAACCGCUAUUGAACCGGUGAUGUAAUAAAUAAUUAAAUAUAUAAUUUAUAUAUUAUAUAAAAUUAAAAAUAAUUAUAAAAAUUAAAAAUAUAUAAAAUUACAAAUUUUAAUAAUGUUUGAUUUUUAUAUUUGGUAUAUUAAAUUAAAUUAAAUGAUAAAUUUUAAUAUUUUAAAUUUGAUUAAAUAGAAAUAUGUAAUAUUUAAGAAAGAAUAUAUAUUUAAGAUGAAAAAAUUUAUAAUAUUUAAUUUUAUCUUUUUGUCUUUGUAUUUUGUUGUUUUAAAAUUAUUAUAUUAAUUAAUUUAUAUUAUUUUUUAUAAUUAUUAUUAUAAAAAUAAACAUGAAUUUAAAUAUUUACAUUUUUUUAAAAGAUUUUAUAUGAUAAAAAUUUGUAAUAAAAUCAAAUUCCGUGCUUCCAACCCUCAAGAGGCAAUGUUAUCCUCUAAUGAGUCUCAUUCCCAAUCCCACAUCGGAAGCACAUGAAUUUUAUGUGCUCCAUGUGCUCUAUAAAUAGCUUCCCACUUGCCUUCAAUUCAAACAAGCCAGCAAGAUGGGCCUGGAAGCUUGGCCCGGAAACAUGGCCCGAUUUGAAGUGUUAUUUUAAAAUAGAAAAUGGCAGCAAAUUGGGCUUUUGUGGGCAUGGCCCAUAUAAAGUGUUAAUUUUAUCUUCGGACUAGGUCUAGGGACUUGGAAAAAGGAAAACCAUAGGUUGGGCCUGGAAUGGGCCUUUUACAUGGUAAACAAAAAAUUGUUUCUAAGGUGUAACCGGUUUGCAAAAAACUGGACGGUUUGUCCGGUUCGACGGUUCAACCGUCGGUUUGAACGGUUCAAUGCCGGUUCGACCACAAACAGUUCAUUGAAACGGACCGAACCGGAAAGUUCACCGGUCGACGGUUCAACCGGUCGGACCGGCCGGUCCGGUCCGGUUUUUAAAACCAUGGAAAACACACACUCUAUGGAUUUAGACAUUAAGGGAAUGAAAUUGAGCUGUCUUGUAUGAGUUUUUUUCACCUUUUAGGUUACAUGUUCCAGUGGUUCAUCAUACUGUGUUGGUCCCACGUGGAAUGGUGCUUUGGAAGCAUUCUGUUGUUUUUCCUCUAUUUUUUGGUGCUUUGAUUCCAUUGAUUGUUUAUUACUUAAGUUCUGCUAGGAAUUUGGACUAACAUUUUUGUUCUAAACCCUUAAAAUCCUAGCAUCUAAAGAAAUUUAUGAUAGUUUUUGGUUGCCUCAUCAUCCUUCAUCAGUAUGGUAGUACAGAAACUCUGGAUAAGUUAUGUGACAUUGAUGCUUUAAAAUGUGUGAAGUAUGUCCUGAGUGCUUCAAAAUAUAGGGAUGAGUAAGGUAUGUGUGUUGAACAUGCCUACUUUGGACACCUCCAUAUAGGAAUUUCCAAUCAGUUGAAAGUGCAGUGAGUUUCUUCCUCUUAUAUUUUUUGGACAAGAACAUUUUUAUCACACAAUUUCUUAUAUAGGAUACGUUGUUUAGAUUGGUAUUUACAUAUGGUAUUUUUAUAAUGUUGUUCUGUUAAAUAAAUAUUAGGAGGGAGAUAAGUGCACAUGGUGGACAAACUAUUUGUUCACUUCAUCCUAGGGCGUAGAAGUUUUGAGAACAUGAAAAUAUAUGAAUCCAACGCAGACAUUGAUCCCUGCCAUGAGUACCUGAGUUCACUUGAUCUAUAAGUUAAAUCACAAUAAAAACUAUGCUACAAGGAUGAAAGGUAGCCAAAAAGUUCAUGGUGAUAGAAAUGUGAUGGAUUAUGGUUUAACUGAAUAAGUGGCUCUAGGAAGAAAUGGAAUUGAUGCAGGCUUGGUCAUAUAAUUGGGAUAAGGUUUUUGUUGGCAUGUGCAGUGAAUAUGGAGUCUAGAACAAAGUAUGUUAAAAAUUUUCUCAGUCCUGACUUAUGAAGCUUUCCCUAGAGGUUGGUAUGAAUUUGGGAAAUUUGGAAUCAGAAUAUGAUAAAAUUUGGGAAUUGACUAGAUAUUUGCAUAUGAUGUUUACUGUGGUUUUCAUAAUGGGCAAGUUGGAUAGUUGCUGGAUGGAUCAGGUUCUUGAUCUAACUAUUUUUCAUUCACUCGUUGAAUCAAAAAAUUUGGAGACCAAAUUGAAUUUGAUUAGGUUGACUAGAUGACUGAAGAUCUGAAGUGUUUUGAGUUUCAAGAUUAGUCAAGCCUUGGUUUCAUCAUGAAUGGAGACAUCUGUAGACUACAGCUAAAGGAUUGGGGGCACUGGAAAAACACAAAGAAGACAGGAAAAUUUUGUGAAAUAAUGAAUGCCUUAGGCUAGAUAUUAUUGUUAUUGCUUCCUUUUGCAUUUUCAGCACUCCAGGUUGAUUUUUAUGCAAAAUCUUGAGAGCUUUUUCCCAAAAGCACUCAUUGCAUAAUUACCAAGGAACUGGCCGCAUAAAGACAUUAACACAAAGAUAAUAGGAAAGUUUUGUGAAUGCCUUGGGCUAGAAGAAACUCUGACCUGCUUAAGGAGUCAUUUUAGAAGUUACCAUGUUGAGAACCUAGAUUGGAAAAAAAAAAAAAAAAGAGAGAUUCAUAUAGGCGUAACUUGUAAUGGAUGGGAUGAAAUUGUUUACUGAAACUUUAAUGAAUAAAAUGGUCUUCAUACUCUUGACAAAGUGAACUUACAUAGGGAAUGAAAGUAGUCCUUACCAUUGGUUCAUGGUAAGAAUUUUCAUUGAUUGAGAUGGGAAAUUGGCUGGAUUUUUUUUUAACCAUUUGAGCGGAUGCAACAUUCUCCCCUUGAAAUACCUCUUUGGGAGCCCUAGCUGAUUGGAUAUAGACUAAAUCAUGCAUGUUAAAGCCUGGGGGAGCUCCUACUAUAAAUCCAAGUUUUAGAUCAAAGUGUGACUUAGCUAUAUAUUACCAUUAUUUUUUCCUAAGCAUAAUUCAUAUUUCUUUGUUGUAUAUUUUUUUGUUUGUAUUUCUUUGUUCCUGGAGAUGGAUUCAUAUUUAUUUGUUCAUCUUUCUUUGUUUUUGGUUAUGGAAAAAGCUAAUCAUCCAUUUGUCAUUAAAAAGCAUUUUUCAUGUUUUUUUUGUUCGUAUUUCUUUGUUCAUGGAGAUGGAUUCAUAUAUAUUUGUUCAUGUUUCUUUGUUUCUGGUUAUGGAAAAAGCUAAUCAUCCAAUUGUCAUUUUGGGCAUGAUAAUUAUUAAUAAUAAUAUUAUUAUUAUUUCAUAUUUCUUUAUUAUUAUUAUUAUUAUUGUUAUUAUUCUUUCAUAUAUAUAUAUAUGUAUAUAUAUAUAUAUAUUUUUUUGGUGAUGCAAAAAGCAAAUCAUGCUGCCAAAUUACACAUCUGAUCUGGAUGAUAAGCGUCCACAGAGGGAGGAAAUGCUAUAGAUGCCGAGUUGCCAAGGGUCAAGCUCAGAAUACUGGUCUUUACAUUCUUUUACCAAUUCCAAAUUCUAUUUGGGAGGAUUUCUCAAAUGGAUUUUGUCCAAGGACUUCCUUGCACUGAAUGAGGAGUAUACUAGGUUUUUGUUGUUGACAUGUUUUAAAAAAUGAGAGCAUUCUUCUUUCUUUCAUUGCUGGAAGUUGGAGUGUGGAUUAACCUACUACUGGCUUGAUGUUUGUUUUUCUGUUUCCAUUUUUGGCAUCCUUUUUUUCUGGCUUGCAUGAUUAAGUUUCCAUUGAUUUCUGGGGAAAGUGCUCAUGAGAGGGGGAAAGUGUUGGCUUGCGAUAGAGUCGGAGAUGUUUGAAGUUUCAUUAGAGGAAGUAAGAGGGAAGCUAAGAGGUACCAUUGUGGAGAGGAGUAGAGGGUUCUCCUCCUGGAUCAGAUUCGGGGUGGCAAGUUUGAGAAAAUUUCUUGAAGGUCUUGAAGAAUGCUGCAGGGAGGAAAAGAAUGGAAGAUUAGUUAAAGUAUGGGAGGAAGAGGGUAGAAAGUUCAGAUUGGAAAGACGUGAAAAUGGGGUGGGGAGAUACAUCCUUUGUUUUGUUGUUGACGUAGAGACUAAGAGAUUUUGCUUAGUUGUCCCCGAAGGUAAGGGUUUGCUAGGAGGUUGGGCCUUUUUCGCUGAGAAACUUCGGGCUCUAGGGGUAGUUACUCAAGAGGAAGCAAAGAUUGAAGAAGCACUACGAGUUGAUUCAAAGCCGAAAGUGGUGACAGUAGAAGGUAAGGAUGAAAGAUGCCUUGGAAAGAAGGUGGAGGGUGAGAAAAAGACCUUUGUGGAUGUUGCUAAGGAGUCGGCUGGAAGGCAAGGAGAUGCAUUAUGGCUUCAGGUUGGAGGGAGAGGGUUGAGAAAUAGGGAGGAAGGGCUGGGCCGGUGCCUUGUUGGAAGAUGGUAUGACGGGCCAGUGGUGGAGACGGAGCUGUUUUCAAUUAGAAAAUGGGGGGAGCGCAACUGGAAUCUAAAAAAAGGUAUGAAAGUGUUGAGCAUGGGAGGACCUUUCAUGUUGCUGGAGUUCGAAGAUGAAGAGGAGGCAGAGAGAGUGCUAAAGAGGGGGACGCGACGCUUUAAAGACAAAGUGCUGCAUUUAGAGAGAUGGAGCGAGAAGGCAGGAUGCUUGAAGGUAGGAAGCCAAGCAAAAGAAGUAUGGGUAAGAGUGGUGGGACUCCCACUUCAUUGUUGGAGUGAAGAGAUGUUUAAGAGAAUUGGAGACUGUUGUGGAGGCUUUGUUGAGGUGGAUGUAAAAACAAAGAAUUGUUCUCAGUUCCAAUGGGCCAGAAUUUUGGUGAAGAACAGGGGGAAUUUUUUUCCGGGAACUUUGCAUUUAGUGGUUGAUGCUUAUUGCUAUGCAUUACAGCUGUGGUGGGAGAGGCUGCCAUGGAUCUCUGAAGUGGUGCCGAUGAAGAAGUUGAAAGGGGGAGAAGGGGAAAAGGCUAGGGAAGAAUGGGAUGUGGGCUCACGAGCGGGGAGUUGCAGUAGCAAAGGGAAGGAGAGAUUGCGUGUAGUAGAGGCUGAUGGGGCAGAUUCAAUCAGUAAGGCUGGAGGGGAAGAAAAACGUGAUGGAGACUGGACGAAUGGUACAGCUGAAGAUUUUUCAACUUUUGGGAAGACGGCUUGAGGUAAAGGGAGUGGAGGGGUGGGCUUAAGUGAGGGGGAUGCUACACAAGCCCAUCUGGAUUGGGCCUUAAAAGAAAGGGUAACUUUCUGUGGUGUUUUAGGAUGAAAAGGUGUUGCAAAUGGUGGAGAUGGAGGUGGGUAAAUUUACAGUUUCUUGCUGAUUUAAGAACUGCGGGGAUUGUUUUUGUUGGAGUUUUUCAGGAGUGUAUGGGCCCACAGUGAAAGUGGCGAGAAAAGAUUUUUUGAGUGAGCUGGGGGCAAUUAGAGGUUUAUGGAAUGAGCCAUGGUGUGUAGUAGGAGACUUCAACAUGAUAAGAUUCCCUUCUGAGCGGAGUCGAGAAGGCCAUAUGUCCCCGACGAUGAGGAGAUUCUCAGAGGUGGUUGAGGAGUUAGAACUAAGGGAUUUGCUUCUUCAAGGGGGGCUGUUCACGUGGUGUGGAGGUCUCAAUAAUCGGUUAAAGUCAAGAAUUGAUCGUUUCUUUAUUUCUGAGGAUUGGGAAGCUCAUUUUCAAGGGGCCAUUCAAGUUGUACUGGCUAGGCCGGUUUUUGAUCACUCUCCGAUUCUUCUAGAUGGGGGAGGAAUGAGGAGAGGGCCCACGCCCUUAAGAUUUGAGAAUAUGUGGUUGAAGGAGGAGGGCUUUAAAGAGGUGCUGAGACAGUGGUGGUAGGGGAUUCAAGUUAGUGGAUCAGCCAGCUUCAUUUUGACUGAAAAAUUGAAGGCUUUAAAACCGAUUUUGAGAAGUUGGAAUAAAGAGGUUUUUGGGCAGAUUGAUUCCAAGAAGCAGAAUGCGUGGAAUUUAAUGGAUUACUAGGAUAAGGAAGAGGGGGUUUGAUCUUUGUCAUUGGAAAAAGAAGAGGCUAGGAAGGAGGCAAGGGAGUCAUAUAAGAAGUGGGCCUUUUUAGAAGAAGUGUCUUGGAGGCAGAAGUCUAGGGAAAUUUGGUUGAAGGAGGGGGAUAGAAACACUAGGUUUUUUCAUCAGAUGGCUAAUGCUCACAAAAGAAAGAAUCAACCGACUAGAGUAAAGGUGAAUGGGAGGUGUUUAACUGAGGAAAGUGAAAUCAAAGAGGAGGUGAGCAGAACUUUCCAAGGCCUGUUGGCAGAUCCUGGUGACUAGAAGCCUGGUAUAGAUGGUUUAAAUUUUGAGAGGUUGGAAGAGGUGGAUGUGGAGGGGCUGAAGAAGCCUUUCUUAGAGGAAGAGGUUUUUGUAGUGCUGUUAGGCUGUUGCGGAGAGAAAACACCAGGACCUGACGGUUUCUCAAUGGCUUUUUGGCAGUUUUCUUAGGAUUUUGUGAAGGAGGAGGUUAUGAAUUUUUUCAGACAGUUCCAUGAGACUGGAAGAUUUGUUAGAAGUUUGAAUGCAACCUUUUUAGUGUUGAUUCCUAAGAAAGGGGGGGUUGAGGACUUGAAAGAUUUUAGGCUAAUAAGAUUGAUGGGAGGACUAUACAAAUGGUUAGCUAAGGUGUUGGCUAACAGAUUGAAAGGAGUGUUAGCCAAGGUGAUCUCAAUGUCUCAAAAUGCUUUUGUGGAGGGGUGACAAAUUAUGGAUGCAGUGCUGAUCGCUAAUGAGGCAAUAGAUUCCAUUUUGAAAAGUAAUAGAGGGGCAAUUCUUUGCAAAUUAGACAUUGAGAAAACCUAUGAUCACGUGGACUGGUCGUUUCUAUUAGCGGUGUUGGAGAAAAUGGGGUUUGGGGGAAGGUGGUGUAGUUGGAUAAAGUGGUGUUUAUCCAUUGUUAGAUUUUUAGUCUUGGUGAAUGGAAGCCCAAUAGGUUUUUUCCAAAGCUCAUGGGGUUUAAGGCAAGGAGACCCUCUCUCGCCUUAUUUAUUCGUAAUCGUGAUGGAGGCUUUUAGUUGCUUGCUGAAAAGAGCAGUUGCUGAAGGUUUUUUGACGCCUUGUAUGGUUCGGGGAAGAAGGGGUGAAGGGGUCCAGAUCUCACAUUUAUUGUUUGCUGAUAACACGUUGAUUUUCUGUGAGGCUAAAGAGGAUCAGUUGACAUAUUUGUGCUGGCUGUUAAUGUAGUUUGAGGCUUUGUCAGGGUUAAAAGUGAAUCUGGAAAAAAGUGAACUGAUUUUAGUUGGUAGAGUUGAGAAUGUGGAAGAGUUGGCUGAUGAGUUCGGUUAUAAAGUGGGAAAUUUGCCCUCCACCUAUCUAGGAAUGCCUUUGGGUGCUCCUUUUAAAUCUGUUGGUGCAUGGGAUGGAAUAGAGGAAAGAUUCCGAAAGAGAUUGGCUAUGUGGAAGCGGGAGUACAUCUCAAAAAGGGGGAGAAUUACCUUAAUUUGAAGUACAUUGUCCAAUCUACCGAUCUAUUUAUGUCCAUUUUCCAGUUACCUAGGGCGGUUAAGAUGAGACUGGAAUAGAUACAAAGGGAUUUUCUGUGUGGUGGUGGGGCUCUUGAGCAAAAACUGCACUUGGUAAGGUGGUCGAUUGUGUGUGAAGACAAAAGUAAAGGACGUUUGGGGGUUAAGAGCCUUGGUUCUUUCAAUAAGGCUCUCUUUGGAAAGUGGGCUUGACGCUUUGCAAACAAAAAAAAGGCCCUUUGGAAUCAAGUGAUUAGAAGGAAAUAUGGGGAGGAAAGAGGAGGGUGGAGAUCUUGUGAGGCUAGGGAGGCCUAUGGAGUUGGGUUGUGGAAAGCUAUAAAUAAGGUGGGAUAGCUAGUAACCCUUUUUUUUGGCUUUGAGGUGGGGGAUGGUAAGAAUAUGAGGUUUUGGAAAGAUAAGUGGCGUGGAACCACCCCUUUAUGCAAGGCUUUCCCUUCAUUAUUUGCUAUAGCAACGUUUAAAGAGGCUUGUGUAAAUGAAGUUUGGACAGCCGAGGGGGAGAGGAGGGGAAGUUGGACUCCUAGUUUCAAUAGGCCUUUUAAUGAUUGGGAGAUGGAAGAAGUGGGAAGAUUACUUUGUUGCUUGGAUGAGAAGAUGGUUAGGAUGGAUGAGGAGGAUAGGGUGAGAUGGGUGGAAUCAAAGGAUGGGGUUUUUUUCGGUAAAAUCCUUGUAUAGGGCCUUGCAGCGGGUGUCUCUUGCUUCAUUCCCUUUGAAGAUUAUUUGGAUUUCUCAUGCACAACCCAAGAUAAGCUUCUUUGCGUGGGAGGCUUUAUGGGGAAGAGUUUUAACCUUGGACUGCUUGCAAAAGAGGGGUUGGGCUUUGGCAAAUAGGUGUUUUUUGUGCCAAAAGAGUGGGGAGUCGAUUGACCACCUCCUCCUUCAUUGUGAAAGAACAAGGGAGGUGUGGACGUUGCUCCUAUUUUUUUGGAGUUUCUUGGGUCUUUCCGCUUUUGGUAAAGGAAACCCUUUUAGGUUGGAAAGGCUCUUUUGUGGGCAAGAAGAGGAAGGUGGCGUGGCAACUGGGACCGUUAUGCUUGUUUUGGGUUAUUUGGAAGGCUAGGAAUUCAAUUGCUUUUGAGGACGGUGUGCUGUCCAUUCAAAAGCUGAAAAUUUCUUUUGUGUAUUUGCUUUGGUUGGAAACCAAAUUGUGGAUAUAAGAUGGUCUUUCGACCUUAAUAGAUUUUAUAGAAUGAGUGUGUAUGCGUUAAGGGAGAGGGUUUUUUGUGCUUUCCUUGAGUUUUGGGUCCUUUUGUAAGGGGGUGAGUUGAUAUAUACUGUAACUCUGUGAGUCGCUUCUUUAGCACCUCCUUUUUUUUUUUUUUUUUUUUUUUUUUUUAAAAAGCAAAUCAUCCUGUCCAAGGGACUUGGGUGAUAUUAUUAUUAUUUCCUAAGAUAUUUCAUAUUUCUUUUUUUUUUUUUUUUGGUGAUGCAAAAUGCAAAUCAUCCCGUCCAUGGGACUUGUAUAUAUACGUGACCUAAGAACUUUUAGGCACAGUUUAAAUGCUUGAUCUCUGUUUUCUGUUGUAUUUAUGAUUUUCCUUCACCAAUUAAAGCUCAAUUUAUAUCAUAGAAAGUAUUAGGGACACAGAAAAAUACAUAGGAGGGGAUCUCAAAUUUUCUUAUAUGGCCUAUUAUGGGAAAUGCAAAGAAAAAUAAAAUAUUAAUGAUAAAAAGCUUCUAUAUUUCUAAAUUCUCCAUUCUUUCUUUCUAAUAGAGGAACACAAUUGGACAGGCAUUGUAUAAAGAAAUUAUUGAACUUAAACCAAUUUGUAUUUUCCUCUUUGCUUUUUCUCCUUAUUUUCCCUUUCUUCAUAAUUUCCCUUUCUUCAUACUUUCCCUCAAACUUUUCAUGAUCCAAACAGGACAAAAGGAAAUUUAUGUCCCAUUUAGUGUUAGACAGCUGUGAGGGGGAAUAUAGACAGGCAUAGUUUCAGGGUAUUGGUCUUUCAGGCUUUAGUUGCCUUCAGAGAUCACAUACUUUCAGGGGAUUUUCUUUUGGUUUAGCAAUGCUUGUUGAGCUGUAUGCUGCCAAGCUAUUGAGUGUAUCAGGUCAUAUAGACUGCUUUGUUUUGGUUUGCCUCUUUCUCUUCAAGUAGAUCUCAUCCUUUGUUUCUCUUAUUUCUUGAUGAAUUCAUUUCAACGUAUAUCUCUCCUUUGAACUUCAUUUAUUCCUUUGACUACCAAUGCGUACCUAGUAAAAAUAUAACCCUUACCACUGUGGUCCUUUGCCACAUGUAGAAUGAUAUUUGGAAAUUUUAGACAACGAUCUUUGCCAUUAUCACGAAUUAUCAAUUAGCAUGCUUUUUUAAAUUGUGAAGAUGGCAUUCAUGAGCCCGUUAAUUCUUUGUUCAUCAUUAUGGAUAGUGCAGUUAUAACGAUUUGUGUUUGAUUAUUGAGAUAGGCCACAAGCCAGAGCUCUCAAGCUGGGAUUGGUGCUGGUGCACCAGGACACUAUGCACCUACAGUUCCUGGAGGGCAGCCACGGCCAACCGGCAUGGCCCCACAGCCGAUUCCAGUUGGAGUUGGUCCUGAAGGGUAUGCUGCUGAUGAUGAAGAAAUGAUGAAGCUACGAGCAGAGAGAGGUGGGAAGGCAGGAGGGUGGAGUAUAGAACUAAGCAAGAGAAGGGCAAUUGAGGAAGCCUUUGGAAGCAUUUGGAUUUGAUUUUGUAGACGAGUAACUUCCUACUUCUGCCUCUGUUGCUCAAAACUUGAGCAUUUUCCAUCUGAAGAUGCUUUGGUCAUGAGUGGAAUGUGAAAUAUAGGUCAUAUUUGUAUCAAAAGAUAGGGUAUUAUGCACAUUGAUGCAGCAUUUAGGUGACUUAAUAUGGAUUUGUGAGGUUUUUUGGUUGUAGAGAAAAAUGAAUUUAAGGCUUCAUCUGUUCAAUGAAAGGUGUAACGUGAGAAGGAAAUAAGUUGAUUGAUAGAUCAGCUUUGCCAUUUGAGAAUGUAAUAUUUUUCAGCUGUAUGGUAGGAGAACAGAACUUGGGUUAUUACUGGCAAAAUUCUUAAAAAUUUCCUUAAGAAAGGGGGAAAACUAUUUUCAUUAUCAUCAAGGCUCAUCUCCUUGGAGCCCAUCUAUAGCCUAGUUCAAUUUGUGAUUUGUCUCCGUAUAUUAAUAUUUGAUUUUUUUAAUGUAUAUAUAUAUUCUCUUUAUCUUAGUAGAGAAAGUUGAGUUCUCCCUAUUCUUUCCUCUAAUCUCUGUUCAUGAAUAUAAAAAGGAAUUAUGAGAUGAAAACAAUCAACAUUAUUUUUCUUUUAUAUUCCCUUUCCCUUCCCUUUUUCUUCAGUGAUGAAGAAAUCUAAAUCCUCACUUUACAAUUGUGUAGGCCCAAAAAUAAUCUCUCCACUGUAAACUAUAAAAAAAUGAGUUAUGAGAGUUAAAUAAUUAGUCUAAAAAGAGUUGAAAAGUUUUAUCCAUGUAGCAAGGUCAAAAGAUGGUAAGCAACGAAUUCCAUUUAUGAAAGAUUAUAACGGUUUAAGUAUUAUUAGUAAGUUAAUUCUUAAACAGAAUAUUCAUAUAAACUUGAACAUGAUUGAGUUUCAUUUAAAAAAACUUAAUUUAGUUCUCAACCAGAAUGUUCACUUGGACUUAACUAUGAUUUGGUGGUGUUUGUUUUUUUACUUAAUUCUAAAUAGAACUUUAAUACUUAAUAGUAUUAAAUAUUAGGUUGUUUGUUUUUGUAGUAUUUUAUUUCUAUUAAGUAUUAAAAAGUAAAAAAAACCAUUGUGUUAUUUUUUCUAUUUAAAAAAAGCCACAUAUUCUGGCUUUUUCUAUUUAGUAAAAAUUUUAUAAUAAGUCAUGAAAAAGUAAAAAAACAAACAAUCUAAAUUUUAAAACUAAAUGGUUUUCAGCAAAAAGCCAAAAAAACAAACACCACCAGUUUUAUUUAUGAAAAACUUAAUUGUGGUUAAAUCAUAAUAUUCACUUGAAAUUGACCACAAUUGAGUUUCAUUUAUAAAGAACUAAACCAAAGUUGAGUUCUCAAAAAGAAUAUGCAUCUAGACUUAAUUAUGGUUAAGUAUCGUUUAUGAAGAAUUUAAUUGAGAUUAAGUUCUCAAUUAUAAUAUUCACCUAAACUUAACUAUGAUUAAGUUUUAUUUACAAAGAACCUAACUAAGGUUAAGUUCUCAAUCAAAAUGUUUAUUUGGAUUUAACUAAAUGUUAAGUUAUAAUUUGCAAAGAACUUAACUAAGGUUGAGUUCUCAAUCAAAAUAUUCAUUUGAACUUAAAUUAUAAUUGAUUAAAUUUUGUUCAAUGAUUUAAAAACCGGACUGAACCGAAUGGUCCAACCAAUUGGACCAUCGAUCGGCAACCAAACCGGUUCGAUCCAUCCAAAAAACCGGUUGGGCAUCGAACCGUUAGUGAACCGGACGAAUCAAUGAUUAAACUAGUGAACUAGGCCGAAUAGUUAAUAAAAGUUUUGAUGUUCUAAAAGAAGUGGAUCACUCCAUGAGGAGCCCUUCCAAUCCAUUUGUCAUCAAGCCCAAUAAGCUUUUAGUUUUGCAAGUUAAUGAUUCUUGCAUGUCUUUUAUACCCCAUAAUCCCCACAUAUUUUUGAUCCAUUUCGGAUGUGGGAUUAGUUAGUGAGAAGAAAGAAAAAAAUUUUGGAAGCUGGAGAGCUUGAGCUUAGGACCUUUAGGUGUAAAGAUUGAAACUUAACCAUUAAGUUAUGAAGCUUCUUCAUUACAUUAUAUUUGCAAAUCAAAAUAUAUAACAAAAAUAAUAUAUUUUUUUUUCAAAUUUUUAUUGUAUGAAACUCUUUCACAUUCAUUUUUAUAAUAAUUAUAUAAUGUAAUUAUAAAAAUAAUAUAAAUGAAGUAAUAUAAUAAUUUCAAAAUAUUAAAAUCCAAAAGACAUGCAAAUAAAAUUAAAUAUUAUAAUUUUUUUUUCAUUUUAAAUAUAUAUUUAUAUUUAAAUAUUAUAUAUGUUCUAUUUAAUAAAAUUUAAAAUAUUAAUAUAUUUAUAUUUCUCUUCAUCAUUUAAUUUGAUAUGUCAAAUAUAAAAAAUGAAAUAUUUUUAAAAAUUUUAAUUAUGUAUAAUUUUAAUUUUUUAUAAUUAAUUAAAAUUUUAUAUAAUAUAUAAAUUAUUAUUUAUGACGUUAGACCGCGAUUUGAUUAGUGAAUUGUGAACCGAUAACUUUUCCAGUUCAAUUACUAGCCCGAUUAUGAAAACAUUGGUUUCGUUUGUAAAAAAUUAUUAAGUUUUCUCUAAAAUUAAAAUGUUUACUUAUAUAGUUAAAUUCUCAAUGAGAAUUUUUUACUUGGAUUUAAUUAUGCUUGUCAUUUACAAAGGGUUAUAGAGUUAUAUUCCCAAAAGAAAAAUGUUCACCUAAACUUAAUUAGAGUUAAGUUUUGAAUAUAAAAAUUUCAAAUGAACUUAACUAUAGUUAUGAUUCAUUUGCAAAGAAUUAUUGAUUAAGUUCUGCAAAUCAAACCAUUCAUGUGAAUUUUGAUUAUGCAUUUAUCAACAAUAUAUAAGAUGUUAAUAAAAAAUAUGUAAUUUUCUAAUCAAAAUGAUCACUUGAACAUGCUUUUAACAUAUCAAACUAAAUUAAAAUAUCAAAACUUCUAACACUAAGUAAAAUUCCUCCAAACUAAGAGUCAACACUCAAUAACAUAUGAAUUCAUUACAUAGGCAAAUUUUAGAAAUAGAACAACUUUGUCGCCAUUUUCACUUGAAACCAAUCCAUAGGAGUGUUCGUCAGAGACUGAAUGGAUGGUCAUGCAUAAAAUAUUCUAUGUAUUUGAUUAAGAACAUUCCAACAUCAUCAUUGCAUGAAACACUUACAAUCAAAAUUAAGAUUGCUAUAAAAAAAAAAUGAUUAUAUUAAAACUUGAUGGUAAAAUGAUGAAAUGAAUGAAUAUUUGUUUACUCAUAUAUGACAUAUUCCUAUUGAAAGAUAUCAUGCAACCAUUCCAUGUCCUAUUCCUAUUGUUAGUUAUCCUUAGGGUCAUCAUUUUCCUCAUAAUAUGCUAUGAUAUGCAAUAUAUAUGGUAACAACUUAGCUAAAAGUAUGGUGACACCCUAUUGAUAUCUAUCAAUGAGUCAUAAUACUAUAGGUUCAGAGAGAAUUCUAUUUAUUUUGGAUAACAAAUAAUAUGGGUUACAAGCAAGAAUGAAAAUAUCAAUAAUCUAAUCAUGGAUCUAUCGGUGAUAUAUAGGAGAUAUAAAGACGGAUAUUUUGACAUAAAAUAUAGGUAGACAUAAAAUUGAUCAAAACUUAUAAAAAUAUAAAAUAAAACUCUUAGAAAUAAAAUUAGAAGUAUAAUAGACAUUUUAAAAUUGUUUUAUUGAAGAAAUUGAAAUAUACAUAUAUAUAUAUAUAUAUUGUACAUUUCAAUAAAAAAUAUAAAUUUGAUAAGUGUACAUUGAUUAUUAAAUUAUAUCAAAUAUUAUUUGAUGAUAAUAUUGUGAUAUUUGAUUAUAAUAUGUUUAAUUUUAAAAUAUAUUUAAUAUUAAAAUUAUGAUACAAUAUAAAAUAAAUGAUGAUAAAUAUAUAAUUUUUUAAUAUUUAAUUAAUAUAUUAAUAAUAUUAAAAACACUAGGAAGAAAAUUAUCAAGAUCAUUUUUUAUAUUUUUGCUAAACAAUUAAAUGAAAAAUUUUCACUUAAUUAUAAAACAAUUAAAAUUAAUUUGUUCUUUAAAGUAUUUUUUUAAUAUUUUAUUUAUAUCCUUACUUUUGAUAUAUAUAUGUCUAGUGCAUGUUAUUUAAUAAGGGGCAAACUUGCCCUAGUGGUGCCUGUGAUGCUGUCUGAAUUUUUUGUUGGGGGUUUGAAGAGCUUUGACUUUGUUGAUCGUUCACGUUGACCACCGAUAUAUCCAUUGGAUACAUGAUAUUUUAGGUCUCGUUUCUUUUGAAUAUUCUAUAUAAUACACUAUUUUUUUUUAUUUAAAAUCUAAACCUUAAGUGCUUUCAUAUGUAGAAAAUAACAAAGUCAAAGCAUAUUUUUUUUUAAUUAGGUUAACCAAAUUUGUUUUUCAAUAAAAAUUUCUUCAAAAGUGUAGUUUAAUCUUAACAUUAUUAUUAUUAUUAUUUUGAGCUUUCUAUCUUUGAACUGACCAUAUGAGUAUACAUUUAAAAGGCAUUUAAAAAAAAAAAAAAAAAAAACUAAAAUUAGUAUUCAUCUUAAUAUUAAUUAUUAUUUGUAACCUCUAUACAAUAUAAGAGAAAAUCUAGUACCACUAUUCACCUAUAAAAAACAUUUAUUUAGAAAUAAAAGCAAAUACCAAAAUAAAAGACUUUUCUACCUACACUAUAUUAUAAAAUGAUAUUCUCUAUUUUUAUAAAUAAUUUAAUCUCAAACAAAAAAAUAUAUUCUUAAUCAAUACAUAUCCACACAAGUAAGGGAAUAAAUUCCUAAAGUCUCUAAAAUUUGAUGAAUUCUCUACUCUAAAGUUGGAAACCUAACCUCUAAUCAAAUGCCACCAUAUAUUUGAAAUGUUAUCUAAUUCCCAAAUUCAUGACCAGAAAAUUUAAAAAUUGAAAAUAUGCAAUUUACUAUCUUGAACACACUUCAACAUGUAAAUUUCCAAAAUUUUAAAAAUAUCAAGUAGCAAACCUAACCCUAAUCAAAUACCAUUGUAUAAAAUUAUCCUAAAAAUUUAAAAAAUAAAAACUACACUUACAGACUUAAUAGAUUAUUUUACUCUUUCAUUGAAAAUUGAGAAGAAAUUAAACAUACAUAAUACAUAAAUCCCUAAAAAUUUCAAACAUUUAGAAACAAAGACUAAACUUAUGGAUUUAAUAGAUUCAUUUUCCUCUUCGGCUAGCAACUAAGAUGUGUGCUUUCUUCUUAUCAUUUUGAACCUCUCCGGCUUAUGACUAGUUAAGGAACUUUUUUUUUUCAUUCAUGAAAAGGUAUGCGAUAAGUUCAAAAGUGGAAAUAAAAAUUUGAAUAAAGAGAGAGAAUGAGAAGUGAAGAAGGCUUCCCAUGGUUUUCUAGGGUUUUUGUUCUUUAUGUUUGGAAAAAAAAAAGAGGAAAAAAGUUAAUGAUCUGAAUUAAGAUAGGUAAUAAAAAAUAAAAGGGUUUUCUAUGAUUUUCUAGGACAUAUCAAGACAUGUUUUUUUUUGAUGAAAAAAAUUCCCAUUUGCUAAUAAAUCUUGUUUGGAUUCUUUCAUAGAGGAAAAGAGUCCAUUAACAACAUUCCUUGAUCAUGAUGAAUGGUUUAACCUAAAGCAACCUAAGGAGAGUGACAUAAACAAAAAUAUAAAUGCUAAUUUGCAAAGUCUCCAUUCAUCAAAUACCACCUACUGCACUGAAAAUGAUGAAGCUCAAACUAGUCAAGCUCAAAUUGAUGAAACAAACCAGGUUACUAAUACCAAUCAUAUUUCUAAUAAUUUGUUUAUUAAUCUACAUGUCUUUCCUCCUGAACAAAACGUAUCCAGUACUUCCCCAAAGUAAGUGACAAUCCUAUAAUCACCAUGCAUAAACUUAAGCAUAAUCCUACUCUUGAUCUCUCUCCAAACUGCUCAUACUCUGCCAUCUAUUGAACUAAAGACCCUUUGAACAACCUUGAAAGUUCCACAAUGGGUCAUUGCCAUGGAAGAAGAGUUGAAGGCUUUGCAACAAAAUCAUACUUAGGAGCUUAUCCCUAGGCCACAAAAUGAGAACAUAGUUGGAUCAAAAUGGGUAUACAAAAUAAAAUACUAGGAGGUUGGAAGCAUCGAUAGGUUCAAGGCCCAAUUAGUUACUAAGGGUUUCACAUAAGUUCUAGGUGUAGACUUUGAAGAAACAUUCAGUGUCACACCACGAAUUUUGAAAACCAUGACUCAACCUAAACUCCAAAAUACUCGGGAUCUCAAAAAUUCAAAAUGAGUAUGAAGAUGGUUAGUAAUAGUUUAUGACAAUUUCUCUCUAUCUAUUCCAUUAAUUCACAUUGACAACCAAAAUAUCAUGUGUUAUCAUUUACACUAACAAGAGUGAGUCACAAGCCAUUUGGUUGAUGAAAUUUCUACAGCCUAAAUUUAACUAGCUUGUGAUUGAGGAUUUUUCAAAAAUUCAUUUGAUCACGAAAUUGAUCACAAAAUACCAAUAUAGAAACUAGACUUCAAAGGCUUCAAAUAUAAAAAUACUAAACAUUUAUCUUAUAAAAAACAGAGGCCUUAAAAUCGAUCCAAAAAUAAUGUAUCCAAAAUCGAAAUAUCUUCGACAUGGUUGCUAUGUCCUGCACCUGUGUAGAUUUAGAAAUUCAUAACAAUUUGAUCCCAUAAUGGAUCAAGAUGGAACCUGUCUCGUUUGAAAGAUGAUAAAAUGUACUAAAACUUUUCUGUUUUACACAAGAUUCAAAAAUGAACCUAACCUAUUGAAACUUUUAGGUAAAGUUUCCCUUGCCAUAAGCAAUCCAACCUGGCAGCAACAUUGCUAGAAGAAAAAUUAAGGUACUAAAAUAGUAAAUAUGCUUAUCUUAACAAGGCCUUGUAACUAGGUGUUCCUUGACAUCUCUAAUUUCAUAUUCUCAAUUUACAAGUUUAUUUAUAUAAGCACAUAGACACUAGAUUUUGGUUACAACAAUGAGUGAUAACAUGCAAUACAAGAAAGCUACAACUCCUUUAGUUUAUGUACAUUAUCACAUGCUAAUUGUUGCAUCCAAAAUACAUCAAAAUAACCUUCAAACUCUUUCAUAUAUGCAUUCAAAAAGAAGCUUUCUCAAGCACUCAAUCAAGCAUCUUGAAGCCUCAGCAGCCGAAUCUGAAAAGUGAUUAAUAUAGGAUGAGCUAACAAAGCUCAAUAGAGAAUGGUUCUGUUUUGGAUUUUAAGCAUAAAGAUAUUUUACAAUAUGACAUUUGGGCAAUAAUAUUCAGCAAUAAAAUGUAUUAUUAUAUCAUAAUAUCAAAUAAAACAAUAAACAUUAUAAAAUAAAGUACUCAACAUUUAUUAAUUUUACCAUAUAUAGUGUUGCAAACCACUAGAAAUCAUAAAUAAGUACCAAGAGUAUUAUUUAAGAACUCUCACCCAAGGGCAUAGCAAGGACAUACAUCUACAUCCCAACUGGAUCUUUUCAAGGUAAGUUUGGGGUCUUUCACCACUAGGGACACCAUGCCCUUCUUUUUUUAGGGCUCUCCCCGAGGGACCAUGCCCCCCAUUUCCACCAAGUCACCCUUUCCAUAAUAACCGUAUUAUUUAUCUUUAUUUAUUUCAUGAAAUCAUAUCUUUAUUAUUAGCCCAACAUUCAAUUAUUUAAUGUUUUAGAGUAAAUCCUUAAUGGAGUUCAUAAAACAAUCAAUUGAUAACCACAACUAUAAUCCAUUUGUGAAUUAUUCAAUAACUAUCUAGAACAAGAAUUCUUUCAUGUUUUCAUCAUGUGAGUCACCUUAGGUAUUCUAAGUUAACAAGAUAUUUUAAGACAAUCCAUAAAUAGGAAUUUCUAACAUAAAUCAUAACUCAAUAAACAUCCAAAUCAUGUAUUUGUAAUUUCAACAAAUAUCCAUCACAAACUUGAAAUUUCAACACAUUAAUUUCAACUAGCAUAUUGUCUAUCAUUAGUAUAAUUGGAUAACAUAAAAAAAUUAAUGGAAGGAAUGCCAUUUAUUCCAUAAAUUUACAACUUCAUCUCACUCCGUGAAACCUGGCUUCUUUUUUAAAAAAAUUAUAAAGCUUGAGUCCAAGAUAGAACCUUCCCUAACUGGCAUUAAAAAAGGAAACCAAACCGUGGUAGCAAUGGGCGGAAUUUUGCAACUCUUUCUUCCUUGUUCUCUCUAGAUACCGAGCUGUUGCUGGGGUUUUCAAACUUAGUGAUGAAAGCUACUUAAAGGCUAAGAAAGUGGGUUUUUUUAAGCCUCAAAUUGAUUUAUUAGUAGCUGAUGAUGCAGCUGCAUGCUUGGUGGCAUUCAGUGGACUAUUUUCAGCCACAUAUACAAGAUGAUGCAGCUGCUUGCUUACAUAAAACACCUCUCUUGGUGGCAGCAGCUUACACAACUAUUAACUAAUUAAUUGGAUCAACAAAUAAUUCAUUUUCUUAGUGGACAAUGGAACCAAUAGUUCACACGGCCCUUUGAAUAUAUAUAUACACACAUACAUAAUGCAACUAAUUUUUCCUUUGUAGCUUGAGUAACUAUUCUAAAAUGAAAAUGGCCAUGUUCAGCCACGUGAAGGUGCACGAAAAUUAAGUGGAAAGGUGCAACUAACAAUUAAAACAAUAAAUAAAAUACUCCUUACUAAUACCUAAUAUAAUACUAUUGACAUUUUUUUUGAGGGGGAAAUUGAGUAAGUUUAUAGUUGAUUUCCUUAUGAAAUAGUGUAGGUUAUAACAUUUAGUCUUGUUAUAAAAUCUACCACAAUUAGAUUAGUCAUUUCUUUAGCUGUUAGUACCAAGUGGCGCACAUGGAAACCUUAAAGAAAUAAUAUAUAUGGAGCAACCACUUGGAUUUGAGGACCCUAAAUUUUCUUUGCAUAUUUAUUUACUCAAAUAAUAUUCUUAUGGCCCCAAAGAAGCUCCUCGGGCAUGGUUUGAAUGUCUAACUUAAGUAUUGCUUCAACUUGGUUUUUAUUGUAGCAAGGCGAAUGCUUCUUUAUUUAUUUACAAUAAUGCUACUAACAUUUUUAUGGUUGUAGUCUAUGUUGAUGAUGUUAUAAUAAUAAGAAAUAAUGAUGAUUUUCUCUAAAAUGUCAUUCACCAGCUAAGUUCUAACUUUGUUCUAAAAGAAGUUAAAAAAUUACAAUACUUUCUUGGUAUUGAAGUUCGUCCAUUCAAAGGAGUCUUUCUUUCACAAAUGAAGUACAUCAUAUGCUCGACUGCUCUCCGAUUGCCACUCUAAUGUCACUCGAAGAUGUUCAAUUACUAAAUGACAAUGAUCUCACUGAUGCAACUGAAUAUCGGGGUUUUGUUGGAAGUUUAUAAUAUCCUACUGGACCUAAUAUUACAUAUUCGGUGAACCGUGUUUGUCAACACUUUCAAAGCACUACAAAGUCCAUUUGAGGGUCCUAUGUUAAUUAAUGGAAACAUAGACUUUGGUCUCAAAUUUUUAGCUCAAAGUCCCACAAACCUUUAUGGUUUUUCAGAUUAGGAUUAGGCUGGUUGUCCUACUAGAUGAAGAAAAACAACAGGUUACUGCAUCUUGCUCGGAGUAAAUAGUAUAUCAUGGAGUUCAAAGAAAUAAAUGACCAUUGCUCGUUCUAGUGCUAAAGCAGCUGAAUAUAGAUCUCUAGCUCUUGUAGCUGCUGAACUCAUACGGAUUAUCUUUUGUUGAAAAAAAUAGGCUUUCCCACAAGUGUAAAUCAAUGGAAGCAAUAUAAAUAGAAUAACAAAAAAUAAAUGAGCACACAAGAUUUACGUGGUUCCCUCAAAUAACUUGAGGUACGUCCACGACGACCGGUAGGUCAGUUUCUUCCACUAUCACCAAAAGAGUUUACAAAGUGGCCAAAAAGCAUAAGCCUUACAAACACACCAAGUUGUAAAUCACAAGAGGAAAAUACCUCACAAAAGUAAACCAAAUCUCCAAGAACAAACCGCAAGAAACCCCAAAUAUCAAGUGAAGAAACAUUACCCACUUGAAGAACAAACUUGCCGAUUGUGUAGCACCAAAAUAUGGAGAAGAAGAAGGCUGAUUUUUGUUUUGAACCAAAAAUGUAUCCCAAAAGUCUUCUUGCCGACCAAGAUGAUGAACCAAAGGAAAAGACAAAAGACUUGUAGUUUUUUUUCUUUCCUUGAAGACUUCAAACCAAUCUUGAAUAUGCCAAGAGUCAUGUGCUAACCAAGGUGUUGGCCAAAAAUGGCAAAACCAUAUUUAGUAAAUUUAAGAGUCCCACAAAGGAGGGAAACCCAACAAUUCUCCCCCUCCCGACUUAUGUGGAGGAUUCGACCAUUCCCGCCAAUAGUCGACACUUCUCAUGCUUGUCCUUAGUCAAUGCCUUAGUCAACAUAUCCGAAGUGUUAUCAUCAGUGUGAACUUUUUCAAGUUGCAACAACUUAUCAUUCAAGACAUCACGAAUCCAAUGAUAUCUAACAUCAAUGUGUUUCGACCUCGAAUGAAAUGAAGAAUUCUUACUCAAGUGGAUUGCACUUUGACUAUCACAACGAAGGACAUACCUUUCUUGUUUCAAACCCAACUCUUGUAAGAAUUUCUUCAACCACAAUAAUUCUUUGCAGGCUUCUGUAAUGGUGAUGAACUCAGCUUCUGUGGUGGAGAGAGCAACACAUUUCUGUAAUCUUGAUUGCCAUGUCACUGCUCCCCCUACAAAAGUAAUCAAAUAACCAGAAGUAGAUUUUCGACUAUCAACAUCACCAGCCAUAUCAGAAUCUGUGAACCCAUCAAGAAUAGGCUCGCCUUUACCAAAACACAAACUCAUCUUUGAAGUGCCCUGAAGAUACCUCAGAAUCCAUUUCACUGCUGCCCAGUGUUCUUUCCCCGGAUUAGACAGAAAUCGACUAACAACCCCAACCGCGUGAGCAAUAUCCGGUCGAGUACAAACCAUGACAUACAUCAAAGAACCAAUUGCUGAAGCAUAGGGAAUUUUCUGCAUCUCAUUUUUCUCUUCAUUACUUGUAGGACAUUGACUUGAGCUAAGUUUGAAGUGGCCUGCAAGUGGACAAUUAACAGGCUUUGCUUUGUCCAUAUUGAACCUUUUUAACAUAAUUCUCUUGAGAUAACCAAAUCAGCCCAUGUGAUCUAUCGCGAACAAUUCUUAUCUCAAGAAUUUGCUUUGUUGGACCCAAAUCCUUCAUGGCAAAGGACUUGCUCAACUCUGACUUCAACUUGCUAAUCUUGCUAGUGUCUUGGCCCACAAUAAGCAUAUCAUCAACGCAAAUCAAGAGAAUAAUAAAAUUACCAUCUGGAUAUUUCUUCACAAACACACAAUGGUCUGAAGUGGUUCUUGAAUACCCAUGCUCAGUCAUGAAAGAAUCGAAUUUUCUGUACCACUGCCUCGGUGCUUGCUUCAAUCCAUACAAACUCUUCUUCAAUUUGCAAACUAACUGAUCAUUACCCUUAUCUAUGAAGCCCUCAGGUUGCUCCAUAUAAAUUUCCUCUUCUAAGUCACCCUGCAAAAAUGCGGUCUUCACAUCAAGCUGCUCAACUUCUAAAUUCAUACUCGCAGCUAUACCAAGCACAGUUCGAAUGGAGGACAUCUUCACAACUGGUGAGAAGAUCUCAUCAAAAUCAACUCCCUUCCUCUGAUCAAAACCUUUCACAACAAGUCGUGCCUUGAAUCUCGGUUAAGAACUGUUCCCAUCAUUCUUUCGUCUGAAGACCCAUUUAUUUUUCAAAAUUUUCUUCCCUUUAGGCGGCUUCACCAAAUCAUAGGUGUGAUUCUCAUGCAAAGACUUCAUUUCCUCUUUCAUUGCCUUGAGCCAUUCGGUUUUGUUCUCAUGCUUCAAGACUUCUUGAUAAGUCUCUGGCUCCUCUUGAUCUGAUAUCAUCACAUACUCAUUUGAAGAAUAUUUUCUGGAUGGCUGUUUUUCUCUGGUAGAUCUCCUCAAUGGUGUUUGUGGUAGUGGCUCUUGGGAUGACUGUUCCCCCUCAAUCUCUGGCUCAACAUCAUCUUCCGUUGCAUCAUCAUGAGGUGUCUGCACUUCCUCAUUAAUAUCAUGAACAACAGGUGGAUUAAGAGGAUCUAAAUCAACAAGAUCAUUAGUACUAGACUCAACUGACUCAAGCUUGUCAAUGUCUUCAAUAGUCUGAUCUUCCAAGAAAACAACAUCUCGGCUUCUGACAACUUUCUUAUCAACUGGAUCAUACAACCUGUAGCCAAAUUCUUCAUGCCCAUAGCCAAUAAAUAUGCACUACUUUGCUUUUGGAUCAAGCUUGGACCUCUUAUCUUUUGGAAUAUGAACAAAAGCUCUGCAGCCGAAUACCCUCAAGUGAUCAUAGGAGACUUCCUUCCCUGUCCAAACUUUCUCUGGCACAUCACCAUUCAAUGGAACUGAAGGAGACAAAUUGAUAAGAUCAACUGCUGUCCUCAUUGCCUCACCCUAAAAAGAUCUUGGCAAUUUAGAAUGUGAGAGCAAACAUCUGACUCUCUCAAGAAUGGUGCGAUUCAUUCUCUCUGCAACCCCGUUUUGUUGAGGUGUCUUUUUGACUGUCUUUUCGUGCCUGAUGCCAUGAUUAGUGCAAUACUGAUCAAAUGGUCCAAUAUAUUCACCACCAUUAUCCGAGUGGACACAUUUCAACUGUCUACCAGUUUCUCUUUCAACCUUGGCCUGAAAAUGCUUAAACACAUCUAGAACUUGAUCUUUAGUUUUCAGUGUAUAAGCCCAAACUUUUCUAGAGUGAUCAUCAAUAAAAGUGACAAAGUAUAGAGCACCACCAAGUGUCCUAACUUUCAAAGGACCAUAUACAUCAGAAUGUAUCAAAUCUAGAACAUGAGAUUUUUUAGAUGCAAUGUUUCUAUGGAAUGAUAUUCUAUUUUGUUUACCAUGGAAACAAUGAACACAUGUUUUCAAAGGCGUACCUUUUAUCCCUGCUAGAAGCUCUUUCUUGGAUAAAACUUGCAAUCCUUUCUCACUCAUAUGUCCAAGCCUUCUAUGCCAUAAAUCGGUGGAUGAGUCAUUCUCUAAGGUAUUCACAACACCCUUGUAGAUUUUUGCUUGCACAAUGUAAAGAGAACAAGUCUUCUUUCCUUUUGCUACCACUAGAGAACCUUUGGAGAGCUUCCAUUUUCCAUCACUGAAAUUGUUGUUGUAGCCCUCAUCAUCUAACUUUCCAGUAGAGAUUAAAUUGAGCCGAAUAUCCGGUACAUGCCUCACAUCUCUAAGCAACAAUUUGCAUCCAGUAUUUGUUUCCAAGCAAAUGUCACCCAUGCCGACAAUUUUUGACACAUCUUCAUUUCCCAUACGGACAUUCCCAAAAUCACCUUGCGAGUAAGAAGUAAAGAAAUCAGCCCGCGAAGUAACAUGAAAUGAAGCUCUAGAAUCAAUUACCCAAUCCGUCUCUUGGCCAAUCAAAUUAAUGCUAACAUCAUCAUGAAUAAUCAUGAGUUCACCAUCAGUAACUACAGCUAUAUCAUUUUGCUUUUUCUCUGAAUUUUUCUCUUUGUUCUGCUCCUUGAACUUGAGUUUUUUGCACUCCCGCUUCAUGUGCCCUUUCUUGUGACAAUAAUAACACUCAACAUCUUUCUUUGAAAUCGAGCUUGAACGACCUCUAGAUUUAUCACGGUUGUGCGAAGCCUUACUCUUACUCCUGCCUCUCCCCCGGUUUUCUAUCACAAGUGCCUCGGGGUGAGAAGAACCUGAUGAUUUUCUUCUUGUCUCUUCAUUCAACAGACUGCUAGUAACUUGACUCAUUGUUACCACUCCAUCAGGUGUGGAGUUACUAACUGUGACCACCAAAGUUUCCCAGCUUUCAGGAAGUGAACUAAGAAGUAACAAAGCUUGCAACUCAUCAUCAAAAGUAAUUUUCAUGGCGGCCAACUGAUUCACAAUGCUCUUAAUCUCAUUCAAAUGCUUUGCAAUAGGAGUACCCUCCUUAUAUUUAGAAUUCACAAGCCUUCGAAAUAAAAAAGCUUUAUUCACGAUCGUCUUUCUAUCAUAAAGACUCUAAUUUGGUCCAAAGACCAUGUGCUGAAUUUUCUAUAGAGACAUGAUGAAAGACACUAUCAUCAAUCCAUUGCCGAAUAAAACGACAGCUUUUUGGUCUAGCUUUUUCCACUCGUCAUCUUUCAUCUCUUCCGGUUUGCCACUAUCACCCUCUAUGGGUCCAUUCAAAUCUUUACAAAACAAAAGGUCUUCCAUUUUAGUUUUCCAAGUCACCCAAUUUGUGCCAUUGAAACUAACCAUACGCCCAACGUUGCCGUCCAUAAUUCACACACAUAAUAUAACGAAUCGGAACCGAAUUAACCAACAGCUCUGAUACCAGAUGUUUAAAAAAAUAGGCUUUCCCACAAGUGUAAAUCAAUGGAAGCAAUAUAAAUAGAAUAACAGAAAAUAAAUGAGCACACAAGAUUUACGUGGUUCCCUCAAAUAACUUGAGGUACGUCCACGACGAUCGGUAGGUCAGUUUCUUCCACUAUCACCAAAAGAGUUUACAAAGUGGCCAAAAAGCAUAAGCCUUACAAACACACCAAGGUGUAAAUCACAAGAGGAAAAUACCUCACAAAAGUAAACCAAAUCUCCAAGAAAAAACCGCAAGAAACCCCAAAUAUCAAGUGAAGAAACGUUACCCACUUGAAGAACAAACUUGCCGAUUGUGUAGCACCAAAAUAUGGAGAAGAAGAAGGUUGAUUUUUGUUUUGAACCAAAAAGGUAUCCCAAAAGUCUUCUUGCCGACCAAGAUGAUGAACCAAAGGAAAAGACAAAAGACUUGUAGUUUUUUUUCUUUCCUUGAAGACUUCAAACCAAUCUUGAAUAUGCCAAGAGUCAUGUGCUAACCAAGGUGUUGGCCAAAAAUAGAAAAACCAUAUUUAGUAAAUUUAAGAGUCCCACAAAGGAGGGAAACCCAACAAUUUUCUUCUUUCAGAUAUUGACAUUCAACAAACCAACUAAGCUAUUCACAAAUAAAAUGAGUGCCUAUAUAAGUCUAAAAAUCAUGUGUUUCAUGCAAAAACAAAAGAUAUGGAGCUUGAUUAUCACUUCACACGAGAAAAAUGUGACAAAUGGAGCACUCCUUACUAGACAUAUGGUCCUUUCACAUUUCACAUUGUUGACAUACUCACCAAGUCUCAUUCACGCCGCUCAACCUAUGUUUUUCGGUUCAAUUUAGGAGUUCAUUGCAUUCCCUCUCCAACUUGAGGGUGCAUGUUAAGAUACCAAAAUAGAAAGUUGAAUAUUAUCAUCACUACUAAGAAGAUUACUUCCAUCACUACCAGAAUUAUUCACAAAAUUAUUCCCUUUGAUUAUUUCCAGCAAGCCAUAAUUAUUCUCUUUGACUACGUUGUGGAAGAUAAAUGCUGAAUUGCUUGAAUUUCUUUCCUUUUAAUCAUUGCCAUAAUUGCCAAAAUUCUUUUCCUUUUGAUUGACCAACCUUCACAUUGUUGGUUUAAGGGUAUAGAAACAAAUGACUAGCCCAAAAGACACAAACAAAGAACAGAAUAAAUAGUAAGAAAAACUUAUCGGCUGAGGCGUGACAAACACUGUCCUUGAAAUUGAUCCACCCUCCUCGAAGACGAACUCGGUGCACUAGGAUACCAGUGGUCUACUUCAAGGAUUCAACAACCAGAUCUUGUGCACUCUGUAAGUGAGAUGUGUACAACUCGGGUUCUGAAAUAUUCAUUCAGAUAGAUGUAUGAAAAACUCUCCGAAAAAACUAUUUGAAAAAUUGGUAUUCUUAUUUAGAGAGUGAGAGGUGACCUGCUAUUAUAAGCCACUAACAUAGUCUCAAUAGGACUCUACUAGUAAGCGGAAUAGGACUCAAAGAGAAUGGGAUUCUACUUAUAAGUGGAACGGGACUCCACUAGCAUAAUCCCAAUAGGACUCUUCCCAAAAAUAUAAGACUAAUAGAAUAAAAUAAAAAUAAAAAUUAUUUUGAAUUUUUGUAAAAAUUAGCUGAGAAAACGCUAAAACACUUUUUUCAGAUUUACACUCUUCCUACAAUCCCCCACAGAGUGUAGAUGUGAAAAGAAAAGAAAAAAAUGGAGGAAAAAUAAUCCAAUGCAUCAGUACCGGUGUUUAAAGCCUGCGAACUAGUCUUAGGACAAAUAAGUAUUGAAUCAUAAAACACGGUGAAAAUAAAUUUCUAUGAACCAACGUUUCUUGAUGUAACUCAAGGGACUUUUAUCCACAUUGGUUUUCUUAACUACACUGCGAGCUGUACAAAACAUGUUGGCACAAAUAGGCCAUGCGCCCUGCUUGGAUAUUCAUGAGAGUUCCAGAGAAUCUGCCUAAGUUCUCAUAGGAAGCGGCCCCACCUCCACUCUCAUAUAGGUGAAUCCAUCAAGUAUGUUCUGAAUUUAAAUAUACCAUCCAUAAGGAAUAUGGUAUUCAUUAAGAGUAAACACUUAACCUUAGUCAAUGCAGAAUACACUCUAUCUAAAUCAUAGGGAUAGACUCUCAUAUAAUUAGAGUUGAUAAAGCACCUCAAGUUAACAAGUGAUUUGUUAUUACCCAUAUGAAUCUACUUCAUGGAAUUUCCAUUCUAAUAGGUUGGGUUACCACCACUCUUGACUUCUUUAAUAGGCAUAAACCCCAUCCCCCUCGAUGUUUCUUCCACUAGUUUCUUAUUUAGUGGUUUGGUCAAAGGAUCGACCAAAUUCAACUAUGACCUCACAAAUUCUAGGGAUAUUAUCCCCAUUUCAAGCAGCUGAUGCACAGUAUUGUACCUUAGGCGUAUAUGCCUGUUUUUCCCAUUAAAUCUUUUACUCUUAGCCUUAAUAAUUGUAGUUUGGCUAUCACAACGCAUAGACACAGACGGGGCUGGUCUCGCCCAUAAAGAGAUAUUUGCUAAGAGGUUUAUAUGACACUCAACCUCAGAACUUGCCUUUUCUAAGGCAAUAAACUUAGCCUCCAUAGUAGACUGAGUAAUGCAAGUUUGCUUGGCGGACUUCCAAGAAACUGCACUUCCACCAAGGAUGAAAACAUAUCCGUUAGUGGAUUUUAUCUCAUCUGAGAUCCAAUUUGCAUCACUAAAUCCUUCAAGGACACUUGGAAAUUGACUAAAGCACAAACCAUAGUUAAUGGUGCCUCUCAAAUACUUAAGGACUCUACGAAUAGCAGUCCAAUGGUCCUGAUUAGGACUUUGGGUGUACCGACUCAAUCUACCUACUGCAUAAGCAAUGUCAGGUUUGGUAUAGUUCAUUAAGUACAUUAGACUCCCUAUGAUUUGAGCAUAUUCUAUUUGGGCAAUACUAUGUUCUCUAUUUUUCUUCAGUUGUGAGCUAGGAUCAUAAAGAGUUGACACUGGUUUAUAAUCAAAGUGUUCAAACUUCUUUAGGAUCUUUUCAACAUAGUGCUCUUAGAAAGUUUAAGCCUAUUAGGUGUUCUAGUUAUUUUAAUUCCUAGAAUCACCUCUGCCUCUCCUAGGUCUUUCAUAUCAAACUUAGAACCUAGGAAUUUCUUGGUCUCACACACAACCUCUAGUCUAGUUCCAAAGAUCACCAUGUCAUCAACAUAAAGGCAGAUGACUACACAUGUGUUAUCCUCAUACUUUCUGUAGGUACACUUAUCAACAUCAUUAAUGAAAUAUCCAUUAGUUACUAACACAUGAUCAAACUUGUUGUGCCAUUAUUUGGGAGCUUGUUUUAACCCAUAUAGUGAUUUAACCAACUUACACACCUUUUUUUCCUUCACUGGAACUACACAACCUUUAGGUUGUUCCAUAUAUAUUUCCUCUUCCAAAUCCCCAUUCAAGAAUGCAGUCUUGACAUCCAUUUAGUGUAUCACCAAAUUAUGAAUGGAAGCUAGAGCGAUCAAUACUCUAAUUGAUGUAAUUCUAGUCACAGGGGCAAAGGUGUCAAAGUAAUCUACAUUCUUCAUUUGUUUAAAACAUUUGGCAACUAAAUGAGCUUUAUACUUCUCUAUGAACCCAUCUUGUUUUAACUUUCUUUUAAAGAUCCACUUAAAGCCAAUAAUCUUUGCACCAGGAGGUAAAUCUACUAACUCCAAUGUAUGGUUAUACAUGAUUGAUUCGAUUUCACUAUUAAUGGCUUUCUUCCAGAAUGGUGCAUCAGGAAAAGUUAUAGCUUUUUUGUAGGAUCUAGGGUCCUCAUCUAUUAGGAAGGUGUAGAAACCAUUUCUAAGGUAUGUUUCAUUCCUAUCUCUUUUACUCAUUCUAGGCUCAAAUUUAGAAGGUUCAAUAGACUUGUCUUUACUUGUUUUCUGAACUUGUUGUUCACCAUUUAGUUUCAUAGGAAAGAUGUUUUCAAAGAAAUUUGCAUUCUUUGUUUCUAUUAUAGUAUUGAUAUCUACAAGAUUGUUCUCUGACUUAGUAACAAGAAACCUAUAUACUGCACUAUUCUCAGCAUAGCAAAUGAACAUUGCAUCAAAGGUUUUAGGACCUAAUUUUCGUUUUUUAGGUUCAGGGAAAGGAACUUUAGCUAAAUACCCCCACACUUUUAGGUAUGCUACAUUAGGUGCAUAACCCUUCCACAACUCAUAAGGAGUUUUAUCAGUUUUCUUAUAAGGUAUUCUAUUUUGAAUAUGACAUACGGAUAGGAUAGCUUCCCCCCCACAAGUUCAAGGGUGCUCUUGAACUUACCAAGAUUGCAUUCAUCAUUUCUUUUAAGGUCUCAUUUUUCCUUUUUGCUACUCCAUUAGACUUAGGGGAAUAAGGUGGACUAGUUUUGUUAAUGAUCCUAUAAUCUUCACAAAAAUAAUUAAAGGGGUUAGACUCAUACUCUCCUCCCUUAUUAGUUCUAAGCUUUUUAAUUUUCUUACUUAGUUGAUUUUCCACUUCAUUUUUGUACUUGAUGAAAGCAUCUCUUGCUUCAUCUUUGUUUCUCAAAAGAUAUACCCUUGUAUACCUUGAAUAGUCAUUUAUGAAAGUUAUGUAGAAUUGUUUACCACCUUUACUCAUUGUAUUUUUUAGGUCUCCUAAGUCACUGUGUAUUAAACUUAGUAGAUCUGAUUCUCUUUCAACUGAUUUUCAAGAUUUCUUUGUGGUUUUAGAUUCUACACAAGAUUCACAUUUUCCAUGGUUUUCUAAGGACAGUUUAGGGAUUAAACUCAAUUCAACCAUUUUCUUCAUAUAUGAAAAGUUCACAUGUCCUAGUCUACCAUGCCAAAUAUCAUAAGAAUCAACUAUGUAAGCAGAAGAAGAAGAUGCAUUAUUAUUGAUAAUAUAAAAAACAUUCAACAUAAAUAAACCAUGAUUACAAUAGCCUUUUCCCACAAAUGCUUCAUUCUUGGUUAAAACUAUUUUAUUAGAGUCAAACAAGAUCCUCACUUCUACUUUUCCAAGCAGAGAUACUGACACCAAGUUUUAAUGGAUAUCUAUCACAUGAAGAACAUCACUGAGGGCAAGUACUUUUCCAGAGGUUAGCUUGAGAAGAACUUUCCCUUUGCCAAUCAUUGGAGUAGAUCUAAAAUCACCUAUGACUACUUGUUCCUCUCCUUCCUUUAGAGUGGUAUAGGAAGUAAAUGCACUUCUAUUUCCACAGAUGUGUCUAGUAGCUCCAGAGUCUACCACCCAGUCCUUCAUAUUGGUGGCCAUGCUCACCUCAGAGGAGACUAUUGCUGCGAUCACCUUUGUCUUUGCCAGAUUUGCCUUUGAAAUGGAUUUCUCAGUUCUCUUCCUAUGGCGACAUUGAGCUGCAUGGUGUCUAUACUUGCCACAAACAAAGCAAUUACCCUGUUAUUUAAUAGUUGGGUUCUGAACCUUGUUUCAUUCAUUGGGCUUGGUCCUAGAGUUUUGCUUUUUGGACUUAUUGUUUUUGGGUUUGUGUUUUUCUUCUACUACAUUAGCUUUAGAAGACAAUUCCUUAGUUUUCUCAACAUUGUCCCUAUUUUGAUUUUGUUCCUCAAUCCUAAUAUGGAUUAUGACAUUCUCUAGGGACAUUUGUUUCCUUUUAUGUUUCAUGUUAUUUUUGUUAUCUUUCCAAGACUCUGGAAGAGUCUCUACUAAAUAACUAGCCACAAAAGGUUUAGGUAAUUUGAUGUCUUCAAUAGCUAAGUCAUUAAUCAACAAGUAGUAGUCAUGGAUUUGAGAUGAUACAUCUUUAUCUGUUCAUUUUGAAAUUUCUAAAAUUCCCUAUGGCCUAUUUCUGAGUUCCUACAUCUUCCAAAAUAUAUUUUUUUAUUCAUUGCAUCUCGAAUUUCUUUUGCAACUUUAAAUUGACAAUAAAUAUAAAAAAUUUCAUUAGAAAUGGUACUCAGAAUAGCAUGCCUAACUUGUUUAUUUUUAGUUUCCCAGGUUGGUAACAAAUGCGAACCAUCUUCUGGUUUUGGUUCAAUCAAAAUGUGACCCAAGUUCACUACAUCAAUUGCAGAGAAAACCCUUUCUUGCGAUCUCUUAAAGAAUGUCCCAUUGAAGGGAUCAAUUUUAGAGGUGUCAGGACGGGUGUGAACUAGGGAAGCUUCCAUUUGGAUACAUUUCAAGAUUGUUGGUUUAAGAGUAUGGAAAUAAAUGACUAGCCCAAAAGACACAAACAAAGAAUAGAAUGAAUAGUAAGAAAAACUCAUUGGCUGAGGUGUAACAAGUACUGUCCUUGAAAUAAAUCCACAUUCCUCGAAGACGAACUUGGUGCACUAGGGUACUAGUGGUCUACCUUCAGGAUUCAACAGCUAGGUCUUGCCUUGGGAGCACUCUAUAAGCGAGAUGUGUACAAAUCGGGUUCUGAAAUAUUCCUCCAAAUAGAGGUAUGAAAAGCUUUCUGAAAAAACUCUGAAAAAUUGGUAUUCAUAUUUAGAGAGUGAGGGGUGACCUAUUAUUAUAGGCCACUAACACAGUCCUAACAGGACUCUACUUGUAAGCAGAAUAGGACUCAAAGAGAACAAAAUUCUACUUAUAAGUGGAACGAGACUCUACUAGUAUAAUCCUAAUAGGACUCUUCCUAAAAAUAUAAGACUAAUAUAAUAAAAUAAAAAUAAUUUUUUUUUGAAUUUUUGUAAAAAUUAGCCGAGAAAACGUUAAAAUAGAUUUACACUCUUCCUACACCCAUAGUUGUUUAGUUAAUGUAAUCUGUAAUAUUCCUUUUUAACCAACCUUCCUUAGAUAUCAAAUUUAUGUUGACUACCUCCAAAGGCUAUUUGAUGCACUUGUACGUAUUGCCAUAGUAGAAAAUAAACCAUGCAAGGAAUCCUUCUCAGUUUAUUUUAUUAUUCUUAAAUCAUUCUUCCAAUAUUUUUUCUUGUUAGAAGGAAGAAGAAGAAAAAAAGAAAAAACAAAAAAACAAAAAAAGGCAUUUUUGUCUUAUAAGGGUCAUCUUUAAAUAUUUUGAAAAUAAGUGGGUUACAUGAGAAUUAAUUACAAGUCUGAUUCUGCAUGAGCAAUAAUUACAUGGCAAAAGGUUGGAAAAUAAAAAAACUGUAGAGGGCUUCCGGAUGAUCACCCCUGAAGCAGUUCUCUCAACACUUAUUUAUACACUCUAACUCAAAUAUGCAUCCAAUUUUUCCAUUAACUACUUAGUCAUAUCCUAUAACAAGUUUUCAAAUAUAUUAAUCAACAACGAUAUUAGACGUAAAGCUGAUUAAUUUUGACACUCUACCUGUAAUACUUCUAUGUAAAAUGGAUUUACCAUUAUUCCCUUACCAAUACUCCGUACAAAUUAAAAUGUAUAUACAUUUAUAUGUCCACAUAAACAUUAUCUUUCUAAUUAAUUACAUGCCGUACUAAUCAAGAGUACUUUUGUAGUCUCGAAAGGAGUACAAAAUUAGCUCCAUCGCUAAUUCUUAUCAGCAAUUGUCAUCGAGAUAUUCAUAUUAAAAUGACCUUAUCAAUGACCUUAUUUGAUGUAGGUGGUCCAACUGUAUAUGGGCUCCAUUUAUUAAAUUUUAGGACUAAAUAUCUUAUAAAACAAUAAAGAAAGUAGCAAUUUAAUUGAAUGUAUUGAUGUCCUUGGUUUAUUUAAGUUUGAAAAUAACUUGUCUUUAGACUCAUUUUCUUUUUCUUUUUAAUUGAUCACCUUUUCUAAACAAAUUGUUUGAAUGAAAGGUGAUUUUUUUUUUUCUAGUUUUUUACCAAUUAAAAAUGUUACUUUUUCAAACUUAAAACUUUUUGAAAUAUUUCUAUAAGCUUGGAGACCAAAUUAUAAAUAAGAUCUUUCACCUAUUUAAGUAAUUUUGUAAUUUUUUUACCCUUUUACCAUUAUAACAAAUUGAUAUUUUUAAAUAUUUAGAAACAUGUAAUAAAAUAAUUGUAACUUUCCUUUAAUUUGGUUUAGGUUUUCUCAGUUUUCAAACAUCUCAUUUUAAUUAUAUAGAAUAACAAAAAAUAAAAUACUCCAAGGAUAAUAAUGUUAAUUACUACUUUCUAAAAUUUAUAUUAUUGUAACAAAUAUUGAUAUUUUCAAAUAUGUUAACUACUAUUUUUCCUUGAACUAUCAUUCUUCAAAUAUUCUAUCAUAACUAUAUAUAAAAUAAAAAUAAAUAUAGUAAUUAUAUUUGGCUCCCAACAUUUAAGAAUAGUUGAAAACCACUAAAAACAAACAAUAUCAUUCGGAGUUAUGCAUCUGACUAUAUUUAAAUUAAGAUGUACACAAAUUUUAUAUCAAAAAACAAAUGUCACCUAAGAGCAAAUACCUAUGACCCUAUUGUGGAACCUAAAAUUUUUCUUCUCGUAAGUGGAAGUUACUGCAUUACAAUUUUAAAGGAGUCUAAACUUAGUAUUUACAUAAUCAAUGGUAGACUUGAUGUUGGUGAUCUAAUUAAAGUAUAUAUGAGCUUCAUUUAUUAAGUUUUAGUUAUAAAUGAAAGUGAUAGUUGCGUCCAUUAUACUAAAGAUUUGAGGAGAAGGUAUGAAAAUCCUAGGAGUCUAGAUUUUUUUCCCCUUCAAAAGCAGAAUUUCUCUUGAAACAUCUAUUUUAAGCACAACAGAAAUGAAGUUGUCUGCGUAACAUGUUUUCAUGCAUAAAUCAAUUAAAAGAUACAUUAGAAUAAAAUUUCUUUGGUACUGUAUAUUACUAUUGUAAAUAAUUCUUUUUACUUCUUCCUUCAGAUAGUUGAGAACUCAAAGAUAUUUGCUUUGCAAUAGAUUUAUACACUAAGGUGAUUGCUUUGACAAGCGACGCGCUAUAACCGUGUUCUCAUGCACUAACCACACUCAAUAUCUUAUUGCAAUCUUAACGAGAAGGUCUUCUAAUCUGAUUUAGUAUUAGAUGAUAUAACCUUAAAGAACAUAGCUCUAAUACCAUAGUUUGUUUUCGUUUUCAACAAACAAUAAAUAGUAAAAGUAAUUAAACAAUAAAUAAUAAAUUUGGAAGAAAAUUUUGAAUAACGAUAAUUUUGAGAAUAAGUUUAAAUAGAAAUGUAAUAAUAAACAGUAAAUUUUGAAUAAAUAUGAUAAUUAUAGUUUCUAAGAAAAUAGGAACUUUUAAAAACGCUAUAAACUUGAAGGGGAUAUAUCUAUAUCAACAUUGUACUCCAUGUUAAUACUAGCAUAAAUUAAUUUUAGAGGUAGUAGAGGAGAAACAAAAUUUUGGAUGCCUUCAACGCAUGAAAAGAAACACCUUCAUAAUUGUUGCAGCCACUUUGAAACAAAGUGAAAAAGGAAGAUUGUUUAAGUGGGAAUACAAGAAAAGCAUAUAAAUGAAUGAAUUUAUCGGAAGAGAAAACAAUACAUGGAAUGUGAAACCGCUUUCUUGACAUUUUGAAUUUAUCAAAAAGAUAUAAUGUCACGUCCCAAAACCUACUUUAUAGGUAUGACGGUCAUUUCACAUCUCAAGCCCCAAGAUUCAAAGCGAAAACAACACAAACAUUCAUUUUGUAACUGAAAAUUACUAAUUACCAAAUUCAUAUUCAAAGUAGUAAAAUAAAUAAAUUCUAUAAUCUCCAAUACUCAACUUUAAAAAUUAAAGUAUCAACCAAAGUGUUAUUGUCCAAAUAACUCCAAACUCAAAUAAUUCAAAUAAGAAUUAAAUUUUAAUGUCUAAACAAUGUCUAUAAUAAAGUUUGAACCAAAAUCCUAACAAAUAAAAAUUCCCCAACGUAGCCAUCACUCCUCGCCAAGGAGGAAAAUGUCGCGAUAUAUCGUGUAUCGGGAGUGGGCGACACGAUAUUUUGUGAAGAAAAAUCGGAGGAGGGAUAUUUCACAAAAAAUUGCCAAAAAAUCGGUGAUAUAUCGUCGAUAUAUCAGUUCCAAGCGAUAAAUCGCCGAUAUAAUGGAAAAAAGGGCAAAAAAGAAAAUCGUUGGUCGGUCAACACGCUACAGUGCAUUCGCUACAGUGCACCCUCAAAUUUCUCCUUCGUUUGUGUUGUUGAAGGGAUUCGAACCCCAAACAAAAGGUUUGGGACGCAUCCAAACCACUAGGGCAAGCUUGCCCUUUAUUAAAUAGAUUGCACUUAAAAUAUAUAUUCAAAGUCAUCAUGUAAAGAAAAUUUUAAAAGAAAAUUUUAGAAAGCAAAUUAAAUAUAAUUAUUUUAUAAUUAAAUAAAAAAUUUCUUUUAAUUGAUUACCAAAAAUAUAAAAAUUAUCAUAAUAAUUUUUUUUCAUAGUGUUUUCAAUAUCAUUAAUGAAUUAAUUAAAUAUUAAAAAAUUGUACAUAUAUCAUAAUUUAUUUUAUAUUAUUUAAUACAAUUGAAUUAAAUGGAUCAUAAUUUUAAUAUUAAUAUAUAUUUUUAAGUUAGACAUAUUAUAAUCAAAUAUCAUAAUAUUAUUAUGAAAUAAUAUUUGAUAUAAUUUAAUAAUAAAUGUAUACUUAUAAAAUUCAUAUUUUUAUCGAUACAUACGAUAUUAUUAUCAAAUAUGAUAAAUCAUAUUAUAUAUAUAUAUAUAUCAAAUUAUUUAAUAAAACAAUUUAAAAAUAUCUAUUAUACUUUUAAUUACAUUUUUAUAAAGUUUUUCUUGUAUUUUUAUAAAUUUUGAUUAAUUUUAGGCUUAUCGAUAUUUUUUUCCAAAAUAUCUGCUGAUAUAUCUCCGAUAUAUCCGAUAUAUCCAUAAAAUCGAAGUACCGAUAUAUAUGUGAUUACUGAUAUUUUCAUCCUUGCUCCUCGCUCGAUCUAAGAGUACCUGGAAAAUUAUCAAUGAAAGGGUAUGAGCUCAAAACCUAACAAGGAACAUUAAUAUAGUUUCAUGAACAAAAUAGUUUCAAUCAUGCUUACAAAUAAAAGAUUUAGUGUAAAAUCAUUUUCAUAAAAACGUUUGAGUACAAAUAUGUUAAUACAUUUUAAAGUGUUUAACAAAACAUUUUCAUAUAUAUCAAAAUCAUUUCACAUCUAUUUCAAAUUAAAUACAUUUCAAUUGUUUUUAUUCUGAUUAUCAAAUAACAAAUGAUAUCCAAUUAGGUGGGACUUCACAAAUGACUGACUAGUUUAAAAUUUGUUUUAUUUAUAGUGAACAAAACCAAAUGUCAAUAAUUAUAACCCGUUGACUAGGGCCAUAAGGUUAACUAUUAUAACUUGUUGACUUAGGGCUAUAGAAACUAGAAUCAAAUACUUCAUUUCAUUAAUUCAAACUUACAAAAUAAAAUAUUGUGUCUCCAAAAUUUUUAUUUUUCAUUAACAAAGAAAAUGUUCAAACAUAUUUUUCAUACAAAACUUAGUUUUGAUCAAUGUAUAGAAAUAAAUAUAACAUUUUUACACAUUUUAAAAUACAAUAUAAAAAGAAAUUAUUUCAUUUGACAAAAUAUGCAUUAAUUUCUCUUACCUUGAAGAAACACUCAAAAUCUUAAAGAAUUUAGCUUGAAGAAUUUAUUCAUCACCUAACAUAAUAUCAUGCAUAACAUUUAUUAUCGAUUAUUUAUCUAGAGAUAUAAAUUUGACAAUCCUAACAAUAUUUUAUAUAGUUAUUGGUAAUUCUACUUAAUUUCCUAUGUUAACAUUAUUAGACAUAAUAUUAUUUUCAACUUCUUAAUCAAUAAUACAUUUAUUUAAUAACUUUACAAAUUUUUAUAAAAUUCAUAUUCCUCCUUAAUUUUAUCCUAACUAUUUAUUUCUUUAUUAUUUUUUUUCACAUAACAAUCUCAUAUUUGUUCUUCUUUUCAUUUUUUUUUUGUUGAAAUUGUCGCCCCAACAUACCAUCUCAAAUUCCAAAAUCCAGAAACCCUACAAUUAUUAUUAUUAUUUUUUUCCAAUCUAAAACCUCAAACGAUUUAUUUAUUUAUUUUUUAAAUUUAAAAUUUCUCUUCUUUCACUAUUUUUUCAUUUAUUUAUUUUCUAUUCAAUUGAAAAUUUCCUAUUUUCAUCAAUAAAUUAAUUUGCAUUCAUAAAUUUCCAAUCUUUUGGUCUAAAAAAAAAUUUAAAUAAACAAACACUAAAUUAGAUUGGGAUUUCUAAAGUAUUCAAAUCUAAUUAAUGAAUAUAAAAUAUUAAUCUGAUGAUUAAAAUUUCAUCUGAAAAGUUGGUCUUCAAACCCUAAACCUCCAAAUCUUCAACUCUAUGCUCUCUGAUCUUUAUGAGCUUAGUGUAAAAGGGUUUUCUAAAUUGAGAAGAUGGAGAAAAUCUAAUUUAUAUCUAAAGUUUUUAAGAGCGAAAAAACUUUUCUACCCUUAUUAGAUUAAUUAAUUUAAUUAGUUAAAUUUUAAAUUAUGAUUUUACCCCUAAAUUGGGUUUGGGGUAUUACAUAUAAGUUAAUGCUUUUAAAUUUUAUAAUUCUGUCAAAAGAUUUGUUAAAGUGCUUUUGCAUGGUGAAGCAAAAUUAGUUAAAGGCAGUGGUGAUAUAAAAGGAUGUGUUGAAUUGCUUUAAAGCUAAUAAAGCUAAAGUACUCUUGCCUGCAGCAUCUUAAGUCCAUGCUUUCUACUUUUAAAAACAAUAAAUAAUAGUAAGUGUAUUUGAUAAUGUUUUUAAAUACUUUUAAUUGAAACACUUUCUUUAAAAUUGGUUUGUUGGAUAGUCACAUAUUUUGCUUAUCUAGGAAGAAUUAGAAGUCAUAUUUCAAUUUUUUUAUAAGUGCUUUUUAAAUUUUAUUAAAUGUUUAAUUUUUUUUACAAAUUAUUUUUUUAUGAUAAAAGUGUUUUUUAAAAGUACUUUCAAAUAAACUCUAACUCCUACAUAAAAUACAAACUUUUGUAAAAAAGGCAAAAGUUUUUAAAAACCAUUUAAAAAAAUUGAGGCGGCCAUAUUUUCUAAUACUUUUUUUUUUUAAAAAAUAAAACAGUUUUUUAAAUUAAAGAAUAAAAAAAAUAGCUUUUUAGUGUUUUAUAAAAAUAAGGGUGUUUCGUAAAUUGUUUUUAUAAAUAUGUUUUAGAAAUAAAAAACAAAAACCUUUUUAAAAAUAAUUUUUUGGUUUUGAUUUUAUAAAAAGAUUGCAAAAUUCAAUUUAUAUGAUAUUAACUAAAUUUAAUUUAAGUCUUCUUAAAAAUGAAAAUAGUUUUAUAAUUACAAACAAAUUAAAAUAUAAAUAGGUUUCAGUAGAACAUGAAUAGUAAUAUUAUAAUAAAAUAAUAAAUUAUAUAUUUUUUUAAUAAAAAAUUAAUUUUAGUAUACGUUGGAAACACAAGGAUAUUAACGUCAUUGUCAUUUUUUUAUAUUAAAAAUAAAUAAUAAUAUUUUAUUUAAAACGAAAAAUGAACAAAAUUUAACAUUUUAAACAUACAAAUGAGUCAAACUUUUCAUUACAUGUACACAUUUAGUACUCAAUUACAAAUAUAAUAUUUUAUAAUGUGUUUUUAUUUUCUUAAAAAUUAAAAGUUUCAUUCAAGAAUUUAAAUUAUUAAUUCUAUCUUACUUAAUUUAUAAUUUAUUUACUUAAUGUGAAAAUUCAAAAGCUAUAAUUGUACGCAGACAAACAAUAAAGUCAUUACUCAUAAUAUAUUGGUUUGGAUUUAUUAUUAUUUUUUAUUGAUUAGACCUAUUUUUUUUUUAGUUUCAAAUUAUUUUUAAAAAUUAUUAAACCCAUUAAUAAAUUCAAUACAAUGUCAAUUGAUUGAAAUUCAUUUUUCUAGUAGGAAAAUUUAUAAAAAUAUAACUAUGUGCAAAAAGAAAUAAUAAAGUUAUUAUAAACUAAUUUUUAUCCAUAAAUUUCUAGUAUUAAUGAGCUUAUUAUUUGCAUUUCAAAUUAUUUUUAAAAAUGACUAAAUUUGUUAAUGAAUCCAAUACAUUAAGUCUUGCUUAAUUUGAAACUUAUUUGCUUAGUUAAAAAAAAAAUUUAGAAAAUAACGAUUUUAUGUAGAAGAGAAAGAAUAGUCAUUUUAGACAAAUUUUUGUUUAUAAAUUUUUGGUAUUGAUUGGAUUAUUAUUUAAAUUCUAAGUUAUUUUUAAAAAUCGCUAGACUCAUUAAUGAAUCCAACACAUUAAGUCUUGUUUAAUUUGAGGUUCAUUUAUUUGGUAAAAAAAAAUAAAAUGAGAAAAUAAAGAUUCUAUAUAAAAAGGAAACAAUAAAGUGGUCCAAACCAAUUUUUAUUUAUUUAUAAAUUUAUGAUAUUAAUUAGUUAACUAUUUGAAUUUGAUUUUUUUUUUUAAAAUAAUGGGCUUAUUAAUGAAUUCAACACAUUAAAUCUUAUUUAAUUUGGAAUUCAUUUACCUAAUGAAAAGAAUCGGGAAAUAAUGAUUCGAUGUAAAAAAGUAACAAUAAAGUUGUUUUAAAUUAAUUUUUGUCCAUAAAUUUAUGGUAUUAAUUAGUUCACUAUUUGAGUUCUAAAUUAUUUUUAAAACUAGAAAAUAAGGAUUCUAUGUAAAAGAGAAACAACAAACUUAUUCUAAACCAAUUUUGGUCUAUAAAUUUAUGGUAUUCAUUGGUUCACUAUUUAAAUUUGAAAUUAUUUUUAAAAAUUUGAUAUAUAUAUAACAAGAAACUAAUCCGGACUUUUUAGUUUUAAUUAAAUCAAUUUUUGAGUUUCAAAUUAUUUUUGUUACUUAAUAAUUUUUAUUUAUCAAGUAUAAUUUGAUUUAACAUUUAUUUGCUUAAUGAAAAAUUUUAGAGAAGUUAAAAAAAUUUCAGAAAAAUGUGUAAUAUAAAGGAAGAUUAUAUUUUAAAAUUUUGGGUAUCGAUAUUAGAUCAUGGAGAGAGAAAAUGACUAUAUCAUUUUCAAUUUUAUAUGUUUUUUUAUUUUUAUUUUCAAAUUUUCUAUGUUUUCAUUUUGUUUUUAAAAACUAGUGAAAAAACCAUUUACCCGCUCUCUAAAUUUUCUACUUUUUAUGCUAGAAGUAUUUUUUAAAAACAAUAUUAUCAAAAGGACUCUAACUUCUAUUUAAAAUACAAACUCUUUGAAUGCAACCUACAAAAGAUAAAAGUUUUUAAAUUUAUUUGAAAAACAAAUUAAGGUAUUAUAAACUUUUGCUUCCUCAAAUUUUAAAAUUUUAAAAGUAAAUUUUAAGAAUUUAAGGUGAAUUGAUAUAUCUUAUAAAAGAGUUGACUAUAUUUUAUAUAAAAGUAUUACUAUUUUCUAUUUUUAAAUACAGAAAGUUGGAUGUGUAUCCAAAAUUGAGCACUUAGUUAAUUAAUUAAUUAUUUUUUUAUUUGCAUUCUUAAUAAAAUAAUAAGAAAUGUGGAAAAAAUUGUUUGUUAACAGUAAAAGUCAGAUAAAUAGUUAAAGGUGGCAGUGUAAGGGGAUGUGUUGAAAUGCUUUCACUAUAUAAUAAGUUCACGAAAAAGUGGAAUAUUCAUCCGUUUAAAGAGAUAAGUAAGGUUCAUAUCUUAAAAAUACAACAAAUUAAAUAAUUUAAAUUAAUAAAUUAUAUAAAUUUUUUUAUCUUAUUUAUAUGUCAUAUAACUUUAUUAAUUUAAUAUUAUUAAUUUAUUGAUAAAUAAAAUAUUCAUUUAUUAUUAUAUUUCUCAAUUUAUCUUUAUUAAAGUAAUAUUAAAUCUUUAAGUUUAAAUAUAUAAAUUUUUAUUAUUAAAGUAUAUAUUAUUAAUUUUAAUAAUAAUUUACAAGUUAAUAUUUUUAAUUAAAUUUUAAAGUAAAAAAAAAAAAUUAACUUAAGCCUCAAUUGCCAAUUGAGGCUUUAACUUAAAUUUUGAAAAAAAAAAAAUUAUGACAUAACUCUUAUAUGACAAUAAAGAGGUUAAUUUGAACAUAAGUUUUGAAAGGGUGCUAAAGAUGAUAUUUGGUUACAUGAAAUGACUAUUUUGCACCAAAACUCUAAGAUUCAUAUGACUGGCAAAUGACGUAACAAAAGUAAUCAAUCAUUCAGGCAUUAAAGCUAAUAAAGCUAAAGUACUUGUGCCUUUAGCAUCUUCAGUCAAGUCCAUGGGAGGGUGCUGAGAAGUAAAGCUGAAGUAAAGCUAAAACAAAGGGACAAGACUCUUCAAAUUGAUGAAUGCUAGUUUUUCAUUGAUUAUUUCAUUCGUUCAUGUACAAAGUAUAUAUAGAGGGUAAUCACCAUUCUAAGAAUGGGAAAGAAUGAUACAAAGAAGGAAUGAUAUAAGGAAAUAACAACUAAUAUCCUAAUAUCUUAAUAUUCCUAAUAUCUUAACUUUCCUAAUAUCUAAACAUUCCUAAUAUCUUAACACUCUCUCUCAAGUUGGUGCAUAGAUGUCACACAUGCCCAACCUGUCUAAAUUUUUUUAGAACACUUGACUUGAGACUGUAAGGAUAUCAGCCAAUUGAUCUUCUGAUCGAAUCUUAGGCAAUUCCACAAUCUUAUCAUCCAACUUCUCCUUAAUGAAGAAUCUGUCAACCUCGACAUGCUUUGUACGAUCAUGUUGUAUUGGAUUAUGAGCAAUAUCACAUGCGGCUUUAUUGUCACAAAACAAUCGGAUUGGUUGCCUAGAUAGGUAACUUAAAUCCUGUAAGAGGAGUCUUAGCCAUAAUGCCUCACAAAGUCCUAGAGCCAUACCUCUAAAUUCUGCUUCUGCACUUGAAUGAGCGACGACAUUCUGCUUCUUACUUUUCCAUGUCACAAGAUUACCACCUACAAAGGUAAAGUAACCAGAUGUAGAUGGCCUAUCAUCCACUACACCGGCCCAAUCAACAUCGGCAUAUACUUCUAUACUCUAAUGAUCAACAUUUUUCGUGAACAAAAUUCCCUUCCCAAUAGCAUUCUUCAAAUACCUCAAAAUACGCAUGACUGCAUUCAUAUGUUGCUCUCCAGGAUUAUGCAUGUAUUGACUUACUACACUUAAUGCAUAAACAAAAUUUGGUCUUGUAUGAGCUAAGUACAUUAAUCUCCCCACAAGUCUUUGGUAUCUUCCCUUAUCGGUUGAUACUUGAUUAGGUUCAACACACAAUUUCAGACCUUCUUCUAUUGGUGUAUCAACAGGUUGACAUCCUGACAUUCCAGUCUCUUGUAAAAGAUCUAAGGCAUACUUUCUUUGAGACAGAAAAAUUCCUUCACUUGAUUGAGAAACUUCAAUCCCAAGAAAGUAUUUCAGAGGACUUAGAUCUUUCAUUUCGAAUUCUCUAGAUAGAUAAUUUUGCAGAGCUUUUCUUUCUUCAGGAUCAUUUCCAGUAACUACUAUGUCAUCCACAUAUACGAUGAGUGUCGUAAUCUUACCAUGUUGCUUUUUCAGGAACAAAGUGUGAUCUGAAUUACUUUGACGAUAGCCAAAAGCUUUUAUUGACUUUGUGAACAUUCCAAACCAUGAUCUUGGGGAUUGCUUCAACCCAUAUAAUGACUUAUUCAAUUUGCACACCUUCUGACAUUGCUUUUUUGACACCAUGCAUCCUGGUGGAAGAUCCAUAUAUACUUCUUCAGAUAACUCGCCAUGCAGAAAGAGAUUUUUCACAUCGAAUUGUUGUAAUGGCCAAUCCAGGUUUGCAACUAAAGACAGUAAUAUUCGAACUGUGUUGAUCUUAGCUACAGGUGCAAAUGUCUCUGUGUAGUCAAUUCCAUAAGUUUGAGUGUACUCUUUUGCUACCAGUCUUGCUUUAAAUUGUUCAAUACUACCAUCUACCUUGUACUUCAUGGUAUAGAUCCAACGACACCUAACUGGCUUAUUUCUUGGUGGACAUUUUACGAGUUCCCAUGUUUCAUUCUUCUACAAUGAUUUCAUUUCUUCAUUCAUGGCUGCUUUCCACCUUGGAUCAGCUAAGGCUUCCUACACACUGUUAGGAAUAGCUAUAGUAGAUAAUUGAUUUACAAAUGACUUAUUUGAUUCAGACAAACGAUGGUUAGACACAUAAUUGCUCAUGGGAUAUUUGACUUUGGCAAAUAAUUCAGGUUCAUAUGUGGGUUUAGAAAUAUCUCUAUUAUGACGGUGUGGUAACCAUUUCAUGAAUGGAUUAGGUUCCAAUUUAAGAACACCCUCAAUAGAUGAAAAUUGGUUUGGUAUUUCAGUGAAGACAUCUUCGGACCCAAAUUGUUUAGAUGGUGGUGAUGGUUCAAUUGUACUAUUUCUUCCUUCUUUUAUCACUUCUUCAGUUUCUGGGUGGUCAUUACUACUUGGUUCCAAAGUUGUACCACUCAUAUCCAACUCACUUGCUUCCUAGUUCACUAGUUCAGAUUGUCCAGAUUCAUCCUCCUUAGAGAUAUGAUAAUUGUAAUCAAGAGUCUGAAUUUCUUUCUGGUACUCCCCUUGAAGUUCAGACUCAAAUGAAAAAUACAUCGAAUCUUCAUGAAACACCACAUCCAUGGUAAUAAACAUUUGUCGAGUUGGAGGAUGGUAACAUCGAUAUCCCUUUUUGUGCAAUGCAUAUCCAACAAACACACAUUGCAAUGCACGGGAAGUUAACUUGGUGCGUUGGUGUUUGUGUAGAUGCACAAAUGCCAUGCAACCAAAAACACGAAGAGGUAGAUUUGGGAUGGUUGGGGCAACUACGACAUUAGUAAAAGCUUGGAGAGGUGUUUGGAAGUUAAUUGAGUUGGAAGGUACCCGAUUGAUCAAGUAUGCAGUAGAUGUGAUUGCUUCUCCCCAAUAAGAUAUCGGUAUUUUUGCUGCUAUCAAGGAAGCACGAACAACCUCUAACAAGUGUCGAUUUUUCCGUUCAGCGACUCUAUUUUGCUGGGGUGUAUUGGAACAAGUAGUCUGAUGAAUGAUGCCAUGUUCUUCCAAAUAAUUUUGAAGAUCAGAACUCUGAUAUUCUCCACCAUUAUCGCUAUGCAGAACCCAAACCUUUGCAUUGUACUGAGUUUCAAUCAUUUUAUGAAUUUUUUGAAACAACAAGUUCACUUCAUUUUUGGUCUUCAUCAAUGAUUACUACUCAAAAAGUGCUCUUUUAUAGCUUGAAAUUAACUAUUUUAAACACUUUUGAGUAGUAGUUAAUACAUUUUAACUCAAUUGGCACAUUAAGGACCCUUGCAAAUGUUACUAAUCGGUUUUUAGCAAGUUUUGGUGUUUUUGGUAGCUUUUUUAUCAUUAAAACAAGCCAAGAAUGAGGGAGAACUUUGUGUAGUCCAUGGCAAAGCAAGUUGAAGCUCAAUUACAUGAAGAAUCCAAGCUUUGGAGCUUCUGAUUCGCUUGAUUUCCCAGUCGGGUCUUUUAAUAAAAAAUAUUUAUAAAACCUAUGACCUUAUACUGGCGUAGCAAAGCUACUAUAGUAUAGCAGUUCUAGGGUCGAACUCAGGGAUGGGUUUUCACUCUAUCAGUGACAGACUCUAAAUUAGAAAUUGAUUUUGACGAUUUCCUUUAGCACAAACUUAAAAUUUAAAAGAAAAUAAAAUUGUUUUGAAAGUGAUGAUUUAAACUAAACCCACAUAGAACUAAGUAAAAAGUGGAAGAAAGAAAGUCUCCCGGAGUUAAAGGUUGCUAGGUUCAAGUUCCAGAUGCAAAGUGGAAAAUUCCGGAUUUUUCUCCUCGCAUUGGGGAUUUAACCUAUAGUUAUUUCCCGAACCGGUAUAGGUUUGACAAUGAAGUUUUAAUCCAUAAAAAGUCACUAGAGAUGGUAGUCAAGGUCCAUUAAUGGCUUAAGACACUAUGGGUUAUCACCUUGAAUCACUUUCCAAUGGCUCGUACAUGAUAACUAAUGGACUGAUAUGGAUCUAGCAAUAAGCAUCCACAGAGACCUUAAGCUUACCAUGUAUUGGCCAGUCAAAGUGAUUCAAAGGGAUUUAAGGCAAAACCUUGGCUUUAAAAACCAUUUAUGGACUCCAACUACCUGAAUUUAAUGCACGGAAACUUUCCAUGUUUUAAUCUGGACUUUUCACCUAGCUUCCUUUACUCCAAGAAACUUUUGGUUUAGCCUCUCAUCCUCUGGGAAAACAUCCUCAGAGGGUGUUUGGCUUGCAAGAAAAUAGAAAAUAGAAGAGAGAAUAUAAACAAAAGAGAUCUCUGUAUAACCAAGUUACAUAAGUUGGUCUCCUGGAGAAAGCUCCCCGAAAAGAUCCAUUUUCAGUGAUUACAAGAGAAUUUAUAUAGGAAGGUAAUUUUACCCUUCCUUGGAUACUUCCUAGCUAAGGAAUUACAUGAGUGGUUGAAUACAAGGAGAAAAUGGAAAUUUAAACACAAAAAUAUCAGAAGAAAAAGAGUCGGCAAAAAUAUCCAAUUUUCGCACGCUGAGUUCCAAUUUCGCACUUUGGUUUGAGGUGUGCGAAAUUUUCGCACAGUGGACUGAGGAUUUCGCACCUUGAUUUCCAUCGUGCGAAAUUUUCGCUCAGCCUGAUGCAGUUGUCUUCCGAAGGCCAUAUCUUUCUCAUUUCAGCUCCAAAUCAUACAUGGUUUGAACCGUUGGAUUCUUGACUUUCUGAGCUUUGAAAUGGUAUAUAGAAUAUAAAAAAUGGACUUCGGGAAGUGCUCCAAAAGUGCAAUGAAAGACUGCAGCUAUGUCCCCUGUUUUCAUCCCCUGUUUUCCUCUUUUCCAUUGUUUCUUCCUUGUAUACUUUGAACCACUAAGGCAAAGGAUUAUGAGGCUCCAUAGCUUGAUUUCUUCAUAAAUUUAAGCUUUCAAAAGCUUUGCCCUGAACUAUAAAUAGCUCUCCCUCAUUCUUAAAUUGCUUUGGUGAGCAUAAAGCUAUCAAAAAGCACCAAAACUUAACACAAUUGUUAGAAACGAUUGCAAGGGCUCCUAACAUGCUAAUUGGGUUAAAAGGUAAUAAUUACUACUCAAUGGUGUUUAAAAGAGCUAAUUACAAGCUACAAAAUAGCAUGUUUUGAGUAGUAAUCACUCCCCCCAACCGACAUAUUGCUAGUCCCUUAGCAAUUAAGGAGAGAAAAACUAAGCAAACGUAAUAAUAUACAUACAAGAAGUCAUGCAAUUCAUUCCAAAAAAUAAUUGAGAGGCAUGACUGAUAUCCAAACUCAUCUCACCUGGCUAAUUAAAGAUAUGAAGAUUCAAAAUGCAAUAGGAGUUAUCAAAGCUUAAACUUAAACAAAAAGUACAAAGAGUGGAGAUUAUGAAAUUAAGUAUCAAAAGAAUCUCUACUCUCAAGGUUUCAAAUCAAACUCUUCCAUAAUAAGCUAAGUGUUAAUGAAAUUAGCUUCCAGAUAUAGUAUAUACAACUAUCCUCACCCUCCAACCUAAGCUUUUCUCGAAUAUUGGCAAAAUUAAUUAACUCUUAAUAGGUUAGGAACGCACCUUCUUAUUCACAAUUCUUUUUACUCACUAAACUUAACCAAUUCACCUAUGUAGCAAGCAGAGGAUCGAUGACUUCCAACCAAUCAAGGUUUAGGGCAUCGGGUUUUAAAGGCUUUCGCCACCCCUUCGGAUCAUACUUAGGUUUCAAGGAAAGAAUAGAAGCUUAUUCUCUUUUUUUUUUUUUUUUUUCAAAGACUCAUUGGUCUUUAUGAGGUGUCCCAACACUAUUAAAGAGAGGUUAAGUAAUCAACCAAGUCAAAAUUUUCCUAAGCUUAGAAAGUGAGAAAGUUUUACAUCUUAUAUCCGGGAUCUAAUGUGCACAGUGUGUGUAAAGCUCGAAAUGGAAGAAGAAAGUUCAAAAUCAAAGAGGCUUCAAUAGAUUAUCAACUUUGAAAGCAUAAAACAAACUCUAAAACUUAAAUAAUUAAGUUAAAACUCGACUUAUCCUAUUUUAUUUUUGAGAAAUUAUCUUUAACAACCAUAAAGAAUGAUUCAAAAAACUUUUAGCAAUUUUAAAUUUUAAGGAAAAAUCAACUAAAAUACCAAAAUGACUUAAUAUUAACAACAAAACUUCAUUUCUCAACUCUCCCCCCAACCAAGUUGAACAUUGUCCUCAAUGUUUCAAAAGCGAUUAAAAAUAAAGGGAGGAAGUGGUACCUCCCGAGUGAGACAAAGUCUGAGUGUAAAGGAGGUAUGGAAUACCUUAAACCACAUGUUCCAAAAACAAAAGAGUAAUGAGAAAAGGGAAUAUAAUAAAAAAGGAUAUAUAUAUGUAUAUAUUACUUCGAAAAGAAAUAUACAAUGUGUGAUUUCAAGUAAUAUUUCCAAUCCCAGUUUAUAACACAUGCAAAAGAUGGGAUUUACAAGUCUAAUAUAUAAAGUAAAACAUAAAAAAAAUCAGAUAUGAGUGGGGUCAUGUGAUGGCUCUGCUCUGAUCUCCUCCUCUGGUAUAGGCUGCUCAGCUGGCAAGCUCUCCUCAUCUGGCACUAGAGGCUCGGAUGGUGCAGACCUAUCAUGCCCAAGAGGAGUCUGCAUACUCAGAUGCUGCUGAAUCUGAUGAAGGAUCGUGGUAUGCUGGGCCUGAGUAGCAAUGAUCUGAUCCUAGUGCGCACGAAUAGUGGCCAUCUGGUGGAUAAUAGAAUCCUGAGCAGUGCUCAGUGUUCGCAAUGAGCGCUCUAAGCCUCUGAAUUCCGCAAGAGAAACGGUGACAGUGGGCUCAGAUGAAGGAGGAGGUGCUGGGGUAGCUGGUACGACUGGUGGAGCACCCUGAGUGAUAGGGGAGGUAGAAUGUAUAGCCUCGGGCAUGUGCACUGAGGUGGGUGCUGUAGGGGUCGGAGGUGUGGUCUCUGUGAGAAUCUCAUCCUGCUGGGCCUGAGGUAGCUGGUCAUCUCGGGGUAGCUUUGGAGGUGCAGGCACAGCUGGUGCUCCCUCGGGUGCAAAGUAGGCUACCAAGUGAUGCCAUUUGUCGAGAGAGAAAUCCUCUCUGCAAUGGCGGCGCCUCUCAAGAUGGGGCUCUUCAGGAUAGCCCAAGUGCUCUAAAAUCUGGCAGAGGAGCCUCGAAAAUAGUAAUGGAAUGCCAUCUGCCCUCUGAAGCUUCUUCUGAUGGACUCUUUCUUCAAAAUGAAGAAGAGAAGUCAUAAUCAAAUGAUGAGGGCCGAAAAAAUAGCCCUCAGAAAUCCUAAAUAAUGCCUCAAGUAUAGCUCCUCUCCUAUGAACUUUAUGCUGAAGGGGGAAUAGGUUGGCACGCAGGAGCACAUCAAUGAGGAGCAUCCCAGAUGGAAGCUCUCUCCUGGUCAACACCGAGGCUGUAGAAGUCCCUCUGGACAAAAUGCGGACCAUGUCGCUCUGAGAGAAUGAGGACCACUCCCUGAAAUCUGCCUGAAACACGGGCUCAUAAGGUAUACGGAGGGCCUCAGCAAUGUGGCGAGCUCCAAUGGCACCCUGGCGUCCGUCUAUGGUAAAUUGGAUGAGAGUAGGAUUGCGGAGGCCUCGAGUAGUCAUAGAUUGAUAAAAAUCUAGAACUACUCUGGGAUAGUAGAAUUGCCUAGGAGUGAGAAGACCCUCCAUGUGAUACCUCUGCAACAGUCGGAAUGAAUCUCGGAGCUCUGGCUGCUGUCUGAGGGCCUCUAUAUCAAAGUAGGUCUCAGAGUGGAAGGAUCGAUCUCUGCAAUCCAAGUUGCCCUCUAUCGGUGGUCCGGCUAUCAUGGGACGCCUGAUAACGGUCUCGAGAGGAAUAUCCGCAGGAAUCCGGGAGUCCUCUGUAGGUGGCUCUGGCUGAGGUGCGUGGGAUGGCUCUCCAGGACCCGAGAACUUGGUUCUCUUCGCUGGUGGCCGAGAAACAGGGCUCGUGGCCUGAUCGACUGGUGGCACAGGGUCCGUGAGUGGCCUCCUGGUGGGGUAUCGACGCUGAGAAGGAGCUUCCCCCUCAGAUGGGGGAAUGGCCGGGGCCUGAACAGGUGGCGAAGCUGCGGCUCCCAUGGCGGCUCGAUGUGGUUGAGGUGUCGGUGAGGAUGGGGAGGCGGAAUGGCCUCCUCUGGUCUUCGCCAUGGCCGAAAUGGAGGUAGAUGACUGUUCGGGCUUCCAGAGAUUUCACAGCUGGUGCGCGGGGUGUCCUUUGGGCUUCUGGACCUCAAGGGUUUAUAUAGGAAUGAGGUUGUAAGGGGUUUCUGAUGUUUUAAAAUUUUCCAAGGCAACCGAAAAGUCGUUUUUGGACGUUAGGCACAAUUGCGGGGGUAAAAUUUUAAUUUAAAAGUCCGUUUUAAAUUUUUAGAACUUAAAAUUUUACCGUGUGAAAUUUUCGCACCUUGGUCUGCAAAUUUCGCACCUUGGAAUUGGGUGUGCGAAAAUGGCACCCCUUCAAUUGAAGAUUUCGCACCUUGGAAUUGGGUGUGCGAAAUUUUCGCACCUUGAACAGUGGUGUGCGAAAUUUUCGCACACUGUUUCGCACAGUGCGAAAAUUAGCUUGGGGUGUGCGAAAUUGGCACACGUGUGCCAGGAGAGGAUUUCGCACAGUGCGAAAAUUUUCGCACCUUACACAGUGGUGUGCGAAAUUGGAUUUUAGGAAAUUCGCACCUUGAAAACGGAUUUCGCACCUUGAGAUAGAUUUCGCACCUUGAAAUUGGGGUGUGCGAAAAUGCUUCAUUUGGCCCAAGGAUUUCGCACCUUGGUUUUGGGGUGUGCGAAAUUUUCGCACCUUGAAAUCAGGUGCUCUGCUUCCUUGGUUUUACUCCCCUGUUCUGCUUUUGAAGAGCUCUCCUCACCUUUCAUGAUUUUUUUCUGAAAUUUAUCAUCAAAAUUGACUUGAAUUAAGACAAAAUAAACUAAGACUGAGGAAAAAUUAUAAUAAAAAGAAAUAGAAUUAAUGAUAUAACUAUAAAACUAUAACAAAAAAUUCAUGGACUUUUUUAGCCCAUGAUACCCUGCUUUCCCUCAGAGUUGUGGUGGUUCAAGGAGGUUGAUCUCCUCCUUGUCUGUACUGUAAGGCUCUAUAAAUGGCUUGAGACGAUGCCCAUUGACUUUGAAGGUUUGAUUGCCUUUGGGAUUGAAUAUUUCCACCACUCCGUUGGGAUGCACUUCAUGAAUUAUGAAAGGACCCGUCCACCUGGAUUUCAAUUUUCCUGGAAAGAGAUGAAGUUUAGAGUCAUAAAGCAAAACUUUUUGUCCUUUGGUAAAAUUUUUCUGAUUUACCAACUGAUCAUGCCAUUUUUUCAAUCUUGCUUUGGCAAUUUUUGAAUUGAGGUAUGCAUCAUUCCUCAUUUCCUCCAAUUCAUUCAAAUCCAAACAUCUCUUUAACCCGGCUCUUGUCAAAUCCAUGUUGAGCUUUUUGAUUGCCCACCAUGCUUUAUACUCAAUCUCUACUGGAAGAUGACACGCUUUGCCAUAGACAAGGCGAUAGGGAGACAUUCCUAGAAUGGUCUUGUAAGCGGUCCUAUAAGCCCAUAAGGAAUCCAGGAGCUUGAUAGACCAAUCCUUCCUAUUCACAUUGACCACCUUCAUCAAUAUAUUCUUGAUCUCACGGUUGGCCAACUCAACUUGGCCACUUGUUUGAGGGUGAUAAGGUGUAGCUACCUUAUGCUUAACCCCAUACUUGGCUAGAAGAGUCUCAAAAGGUUUAUUGCAAAAGUGGGUUCCCCCGUCACUUAUAAUGGCCUUUGGCACUCCAAAUCUUGCAAAGAUGUUGUCCUUGAGGAAUUUAAGUACCACCUUAUGAUCAUUGCUCCUACAUGGGAUUGCCUCUACCCACUUAGAGACAUAAUCCACUCCUACCAAGAUGUAGGAAUGUCCAAAUGACAUUGGAAAUGGUCCCAUAAAGUCUAUACCCCAGACAUCAAAGAUAUCCACUAUUAAGAUGGGGUUCAAGGGCAUCAUAUUUCGGCGUGUUAGCUUACCAAGCCUUUGACACCGAUCACAUGCCUUACAAAUAGAAUGGGCAUCCUUGAAAAAAGAGGGCCACCAGAAGCCUGAUUGGAUCACUUUCAUAGCUGUUUUCUGGGAGGCGAAAUGACCUCCACAAGCACUAUCAUGGCAAUGGGAAAGAAUUCCCGAUUGCUCUUGCUCAGGAACACAUUUCCUUAUAAUUUGAUCUGCACAAUAUUUGAAAAGAAAAGGUUCCUCCCAAUAAUAGGCAUGGAUCUUAGCCAAGAAAUGCCUCUUGUCUUGAGCACUCCACUCACUUGGUACUUCUCUAGUAACCAAAAAGUUUGCAAUGUGAGAAUACCAUGGAGCUACAUCUACUGACAUGAGAGACUCCUCAGGGAAGUCAUCAUUGAUAGGCAGACCAUGUGAGUCAUGUGCUAUCACAAGUCUAGACAAGUGGUCAGCUACCACAUUUUCUACCCCCUUUUUAUCCCUGAUUUGGAGAUUGAAUUCUUGGAGCAAAAGAAUCCAUCUUAUCAAUCUUGCCUUGGCAUCCUGCUUGGUUAGCAAGUACUUCAAAGCAGAAUGGUCAGUGAACACUACUAUAGAGGACCCUACCAAAUAAGCACGAAACUUAUCCAAGGCAAAAACUACUGCCAACAACUCCUUCUCAGUAGUUGUGUAGUUCUUUUGAGCCUCAUUCAAAGUUCUGCUUGCAUAAUAGAUCACAUAGGGCUUUCCAUCUUCUCUUUGCCCUAAAACAGCCCCCAUAGCAAGAUCACUUGAAUCACACAUUACCUCAAAAGGUAAUUUCCAAUUUGGGGCUCUCACUAUUGGUGCAGUUGUGAGGAAUUGAUUCAAUUCCUCAAAACUUCUCUGACACUUCUCAUCCCACACAAACUUGGCAUCCUUUACCAAAAGCUCACACAGAGGUUUUGAGAUUUUUGAGAAAUCCUUAAUGAACCUCCUAUAGAAUCCUGCAUGUCCAAGGAAUUGCCUAAUUCCUUUAACAUUUGUGGGAGGUGGCAACUUAACAAUAAGUUCCACCUUUGCCUUAUCUACCUCAAUGCCAUUUUUGGAGAUGAUAUGUCCUAAGACAAUUCCUUUUUGUACCAUAAAAUGGCACUUCUCCCAAUUUAGCACUAGGUCUUUCUCAAUACAUCUAUGGAGAACAGCUUCUAAAUGCAUCAAACACUCCUCAUAAGAACUUCCAUAUACAGUGAUGUCAUCCAUGAAAACUUCCAUGAUGCGUUCGACCAUGUCACUGAAGAUGCUUAACAUGCAUCUUUGGAAAGUUGCAGGAGCAUUACAUAGACCAAAGGGCAUUCUCCUAUAAGCAAAAGUACCAAAGGGACAAGUGAAGGUUGUCUUUUCUUGAUCUUCCAAAUCAAUUUCUAUUUGGAAGUACCCUGAAUAACCAUCUAGAAAACAAUAGAAAGGAUGUCCUGAGACUCUCUCAAGGACUUGGUCCAUGAAAGGCAAUGGAAAAUGGUCCUUCCUAGUCACUGAAUUCAACCUUCUAUAGUCUAUACACACCCUCCAUCCUGAGGUAGGACGUGUAGAGACUUCCUCCCCUUUCUCAUUUUGGAUCACAGUGAUUCCAGAUUUCUUUGGGACUACUUAGGUGGGACUCACCCACAAGCUGUCUGAAAUGGGAUAUAUGAUCCCAGCUUGAAGUAGCUUCAAAACUUCACUCCUCACCACCUCUUGCAUGUGAGGAUUCAGUCUCCUUUGGGGUUGCCUCACUGGUUUUGCAUCAUCCUCCAUAUAAAUAUGAUGGGUGCACACCAAAGGGCUAAUCCCUUUAAGAUCAGAAAUUUGCCAUCCAAUGGCUUUCUUACAUUUUCUGAGGACUCCUAAAAGACUAUCCUCUUGAUCACUAGUGAGGGUUGAGGAAACUACCACUGGACAUUUCUCAUCAUCCUCCAAGUAUGCAUACUUCAAACCCACAGGAAGUGGCUUUAAAAUAAGCUUUGGAGGGUCCUCCACAGCAACUCCUUCAGAGUCUUCCUGGUUGAACAGUGGUAAGAUCUCUUCCCGUCUCCUCCAAGGAGACAUAAUGGCUAGCACAUCAGAGGGUUCAGGGAACCCAUCUUCAAGGACUUCCAGAUUUUCAUUCAAGCUCUCCUCUAAACUCUUGUCACAGUGCUCUUCAACCAAAGUGUUGAUCAAGCACACCUCCUCAAAUCCUUCCUCCUCUUCAGGGUAAAGAUGCCUCUUACAUAAGUGGAAUAUGUUUAAUUCCAAUGUCAUGUUUCCAAAUGUGAGCCGCAUCACCCCAUUCCUACAAUUAACAAUAGCAUUGGAGGUAGCAAGGAAAGGUCUCCCUAGGAUGAUUGGUACAUAAUUUUCUUCCUUGACAGAGGAAUCAGUAUCAAACACCACAAAAUCCACAGGAUAGUAGAAUUUGUCCACUUGAACUAGAAUAUCCUCUAUCACUCCCCUUGGGAUUUUGACAGACCUAUCAGCUAAAGAGAGGGUCAUGGUUGUGGGCUUUAAUCCUCCUAGUCCCAGUUGCUUAUAGACAGAGUAUGGGAGCAAAUUCACACUUGCUCCCAAGUCUAGUAAAGCUUUUUCCACAUGUGUCCCUCCAAUGUUGACUGAUAUGGUGGGACAUCCCGGAUCUUUAUACUUAACUGGGGACUUACUCUGAAUGAUAGCACUCACUUGCUCAGUGAGGAAUGCAUUCUUUGUCACCUGUAAACCUCUCUUGACUGUGCACAAGUCCUUUAGAAACUUUGCAUAUGUGGGGACUUGUUUGAUCAUAUCAAGUAAAGGUAUAUUCACCUUCACUUGCCUCAGCACUUCAAGAAUUUCUGAUGAAUUCUUGAUUUCUUUCUUUCCAUGUAAAGCUUGAGGAAAAGGGGGAGGCAUAUGUUUCUUCAUCAUAUCCUCCUUAAUCACUAUCCUUGGUUCUUCUUCAAUGCUUGAUUUGGAUGCACUUUUCUUCCCACUCUGCUCUUCUUGGUUUUUGCCCUCUUUAAUCAAGGGUCUCUUUGAUAUAAGUUCUUCAUCAUGCCCCACCUUAGGCAGGGGUUGAUCAACCUCCUUCCCACUUCUCAAAGUGAUCACAACUUUGACCUCUUUCAAAUUUGAAGACUCACCAUCUUGGGUUUCAACUUCAUGAACACCCUUGGGAUUUUGACUUGGUUGAGAGGGGAACUUUCCCUUCUCAAUCACUGUGUUUAGGUUGGUAAGCCUAGAGAUGGAGUACUGAAUAUUAUCUAUCUUCUGAGAUAGAUCAUUUUGCAUCCCCUCCAUUCUUUUAAUUUGAGAACUCUCAACAUUUUCAAUCUUUUGAUGCAAUUGGGAGUUAAUUGCCUUUUGUUCACCCACAAAGUCACCCAUGACUUUACUUAGGUUCACAAUGGCUUGCUCCACUGAAGAUGGUUGUUGAGGUGCUUGGGUUUGGCCUUGUGGUUGGUAUGGAGGUGGUCUUGGUUUCCAAGAAAAAUUUGGGUGGUUUCUCCAGCUUGAAUUAUAGGUGUUACCAUAGGAUGCACUGUUGUUGGGCCUAAAUUGCCCCACAACAUUUACUUGAUCACCUAACAUCUCUCUCACAGCUGGCAUGGUUGGACACUCAUCUACCACAUGAUCACAUGAUUGGCAAAUGGUGCAUGGCAUAACAUGGACUUGGGUAUCGGAAAUGGCUUGGACUUCAUGUAUUUUUUUCAAUUCAAGUUCUUCCAACCUCCUAGCUAAUGUUGCCACUUUAGCUUUCAUGUCCACGUCUUCACUCAACAUGUACAUUCCAGCCUUUGGAUUUUGGGUUGGUUGAGAGGGAAACUUUCCUUUCUCUCUUGAGUUGGGCUCAUCCCAUCCUCUUGACACCUCAGCCACGUAACUUAAAAAGUCCAUGGCUUCUUCAGGAUUCUUACUCAUAAAAUCUCCCCCACACAUGGUUUCAAGAAUUUGCUUCAUGGAAGAAGACAUUCCAUCAUAAAAAUAGCUCACUAAGAGGCAUGUAUCAAAACCAUGAUGAGGACAAGCGUUGAUGGCCUCCAUAUACCUUUCCCAACACUCAUGGAACUUCUCAUUUUCUUUAGCAGAAAAAUUUGAGAUUUGUCUCUUCAACCCAUUGGUCCUAUGGGUGCGGAAAUUUUUUUUCAAAAACUCUGCCUGAAGAUCAACCCAAUUCCUUAUGCUCCUUGGCCUUAAAGAAUUAAGCCAUAUUUUUGCCUUGUCCUUCAAAGUGAAAGGGAAUAGCUUGAGUCUCAUCAAAUCUAUUGAAGCUCCUCCCUCUCUAAAGGUAUUACACACCUCCUCAAACUCCUUGAUGUGAGAAUAUGGAUUCUCACUCUCCAUUCCAUGGAAAGUUGGUAGGAGGGGUACAAUAUGGGGUCUUAUAACCAACUGCUCAAGUGGGGGCAAGAUGCAUGAGGGUGCACUCAUCCUUGGGGGAUGCAUUCUAUCCCUCAUGGAUAGAUAUGCAUUGGGAUUACCCCCUUGACCUUGUUGAGAAUUCUGAUCCUCUGGUGGAGGGUCCAUGAUAUUUACACAGAUAUCCAACUCUGUGUCUUGAGGAUUCUCAAUCCUUACUAAUCUUCCCUCUUGGUCCCUAAUCUAAUAGGGCAUGCACAAGUUACAAUUCCUGUAAUAGUAAAAACAAAAGGAAACUAAAGAAAAGGUUAAAGUUAGGAAGAAAAUGAAAAUAAAAUUAACAAAAGGAAAAUGAAAGAAAAUGAAAUUAGUGAAAAAGGAAUUCACCCUGGUUGUGAUGAAAGUAGCCUCUAAAAAGUUGUAUCACUGUAUUGUGGCACCAUCCCCGGCAACGGCGCCAUUUGAUUCGCUUGAUUUCCCAACCGGGUCUUUUAAUAAAAAAUAUUUAUAAAACCUAUGACCUUAUACUGGCGUAGCAAAGCUACUAUAGUAUAGCAGUUCUAGGGUCGAACUCAGGGAUGGGUUUUCACUCUAUCAGUGACAGACUCUAAAUUAGAAAUUGAUUUUGACGAUUUCCUUUAGCACAAACUUAAAAUUUAAAAGAAAAUAAAAUUGUUUUGAAAGUGAUGAUUUAAACUAAACCCACAUAGAACUAAGUAAAAAGUGGAAGAAAGAAAGUCUCCCGGAGUUAAAGGUUGCUAGGUUCAAGUUCCAGAUGCAAAGUGGAAAAUUCCGGAUUUUUCUCCUCGCAUUGGGGAUUUAACCUAUAGUUAUUUCCCGAACCGGUAUAGGUUUGACAAUGAAGUUUUAAUCCAUAAAAAGUCACUAGAGAUGGUAGUCAAGGUCCAUUAAUGGCUUAAGACACUAUGGGUUAUCACCUUGAAUCCCUUUCCAAUGGCUCGUACAUGAUAACUAAUGGACUGAUAUGGAUCUAGCAAUAAGCAUCCACAGAGACCUUAAGCUUACCAUGUAUUGGCCAGUCAAAGUGAUUCAAAGGGAUUUAAGGCAAAACCUUGGCUUUAAAAACCAUUUAUGGACUCCAACUACCUGAAUUUAAUGCACGGAAACUUUCCAUGUUUUAAUCUGAACUUUUCACCUAGCUUCCUUUACUCCAAGAAACUUUUGGUUUAGCCUCUCAUCCUCUGGGAAAACAUCCUCAGAGGGUGUUUGGCUUGCAAGAAAAUAGAAAAUAGAAGAGAGAAUAUAAACAAAAGAGAUCUCUGUAUAACCAAGUUACAUAAGUUGGUCUCCUAGAGAAAGCUCCCCGAAAAGAUCCAUUUUCAGUGAUUACAAGAGAAUUUAUAUAGGAAGGUAAUUUUACCCUUCCUUGGAUACUUCCUAGCUAAGGAAUUACAUGAGUGGUUGAAUACAAGGAGAAAAUGGAAAUUUAAACACAAAAAUAUCAGAAGAAAAAGAGUCGGCAAAAAUAUCCAAUUUUCGCACGCUGAGUUCCAAUUUCGCACUUUGGUUUGAGGUGUGCGAAAUUUUCGCACAGUGGACUGAGGAUUUCGCACCUUGAUUUCCAUCGUGCGAAAUUUUCGCUCAGCCUAAUGCAGUUGUCUUUCGAAGGCCAUAUCUUUCUCAUUUCAGCUCCAAAUCAUACAUGGUUUGAACCGUUGGAUUCUUGACUUUCUGAGCUUUGAAAUGGUAUAUAGAAUAUAAAAAAUGGACUUCGGGAAGUACUCCAAAAGUGCAAUGAAAGACUGCAGCUAUGUCCCCUGUUUUCAUCCCCUGUUUUCCUCUUUUCCAUUGUUUCUUCCUUGUAUACUUUGAACCACUAAGGCAAAGGAUUAUGAGGCUCCAUAGCUUGAUUUCUUCAUAAAUUUAAGCUUUCAAAAGCUUUGCCCUGAACUAUAAAUAGCUCUCCCUCAUUCUUAAAUUGCUUUGGUGAGCAUAAAGCUAUCAAAAAGCACCAAAACUUAACACAAUUGUUAGAAACGAUUGCAAGGGCUCCUAACAUGCUAAUUGGGUUAAAAGGUAAUAAUUACUACUCAAUGGUGUUUAAAAGAGCUAAUUACAAGCUACAAAAUAGCAUGUUUUGAGUAGUAAUCAGCUUCAUAGCCCUUUGCCAAGCCAAUCAAGUAUGCAAGGAAGAGAAUCAGAGAAGAAAUCUAGCAACCAGCAAUUUUGCAUGGCUAUGCAAAAUCAAGAGGAGCUUCAAUAGUUGCAGGACAGAGAGCGGGAAUGAGUGAAAGAAAUUUUGCACAUUGUGCGAAAUUUUGCAUACCAUACGAAACCAAGAUGCAGCCAUGAAGGAAUUUCGAAUACCAUGCGAAACUUCGCAUGGUAUGCGAAAUCUUUUUGUGUAAUCUCCAGAUAUUUGUGCACCGACUCCGUUAGAUUUUUAUCUCUAGAUAUUUUGUGUAAUUUCCUAUUUUCUCAUUGUAAUCAACUAAAGAUAUUUUUGGAUAUUUAGGAUAUUUAAAGGGGGGUUAAAAAUAUCUCUCUAGAUAUGUCUUAGAAAAUAUCUUCUAUAUAUAUCUCGGAAGGAAUUCCAGAGAACGGAGGAUGCAUGUUUUUCAUUAAACACUUGUAAAAUUCCCGUAGUAAGAAAUAUACAAAGCUUUUGCUCUGCCUUUUCUUCUCAUUUUUUUGUUUUCAUUUUUCUUUCUAGCCAAACAACCUCUGAGGAUGAUUUCUCAGGGGAUGAGUGGCUAGGUUUUACGUUUCUUGGAGUGAUGAAAGUUAGGUGAAGGGCCUGAAUGCAAAGGUAGGAGUUGUCCUUGCUUUAAAUGACAGUAGUUGUUAACCAUCAAUGGUUUUUAUUUCAAGGUUUAGCUUUAAAUCCCUCAGAAUCACCUUGAAUGGCCAAUACUUGGUAAGCUUUUUAGAUUCCAUGGAUGCUUAUUGCUAGAUCCAUGGAUGUCUAUUAGUUAUCAUUUACGAGCCAUUGGAAGGUGGUUCAAGGUGAAAGUCUUUAAUGUUUGAAGCCAUUAAUGAGAAGCAAUCACCAAUUCUCAAGAAACCUUUGGAUCACAUCUUAAUUGCUAAAUAUAAAACCGGUUCGGGAGAUAACCAUCCUUUAUGUUAUUAUCCCCAACGCGAGGAGAAGAUCCGAAAUCUCCCCUUUUGCCUAAGGAACCUGAACCUAGUGACCUAAAACUCCAAGAAACCCUUUUCUUUGUAAUUAAUUUCAAUUACUAUUUUUGGUUAACUUCAAAUCAACAUUUUCCACCCACAAUUACAUUUUCUUUUAAAGCUAACUUUCAAAAAGGAAAAACACCAUUUCAGUACCUUAACUAAUAUCAAUUGUACCAUGAAAACCCAUCCCUGUGGACGAUCCUAGAGCCACUAUACUAUGCUAGCUAUGCUACCCUAGUGUAUGGUGAAAUAGGUUUAUAAAUUUUGUUGAUAACACCCGUCUGAGCCAGAAUCAAAUGGCAUGGCUGCAAUGGGGACAAAUCAAUCAAGCAUAACCAUGUCAUUCUGGUACAAUCAUCAAUAAAAGUAACAAACCAACUCGAACCACUCAAAUUUGGGACUUUGGAUGGGCCCCAAAUAUCAGAAUGUAUAGCCAUAAAAAGAAACGGACUUUUAUUCAAAAUUAACGGAAACGAAGCACAAUGGCUUUUAGCCAAUUCACAAAUAUCACAACGGAAACUAGAAAUAUCACUCUUUGCAAACAAACUAGGAAACAAUUUUUGUAAAUAACCAAAGGAAGCACGUCCUAGACAUCGAUGCCACAACCAAAUUUUAAACUUUUUCUUUUCAUUCUCAGAUCCAUCUGCCAUUAAGGCUUUUCGUAACUUAUUUGAAUCCUUUGACUGCAAGUCCAAGUAAUAGAUUUUUCCCUGCUUAAUACCACAACCAAACGUUUGUCUUGUUUGGAUGUCCUUAAAAACACAAAAUUUAGGCAAAAAAAUGACAAUACAAGAUAAGGCUGCAGUGAUUUGAGAAACUGACAAAAGAUUGUAAUAUAAAGAUGUAACAACUAAAACAGAAUCCAAAUUCAAAGUAUUAGUAAGAGUUAAGGAUUCUUUCCCAAUGACCGGGGUUGUGUUAGCAUUGGCUGUGAAAACAAUUUUUUGUGAGGAAUGUCUAAAGGGUGAGACCUGUCUAGAAUCAAAAGUCAUAUGAUCUGUAGCACUGGAAUCAAUUAUCCAUGCACUAUUAAUAACAGGUGUAGAAGUAUUUAACAACUUACCACCAUAAUCUGUAGCGGCUACCAAUGCAGAGACUUUCUCAGUGACAUUAACCUCUAUUUUUAUUUCGGCAUUAGCUGCAGUCGAGGUUUUCUUGGAAUCCUUCUUUCGUUGAUCACGAUUAUGAUCUCACCAAUCUGGAUAUCCCACAAUUUCAAAGCAACGACUCUUGGUAUGACUAAUCUUAUUACAGUGAGUGCAUUUGAAGGUUGACUUAUGAAUAUUAAGGUCUGUCUUAGGAUGGUUGGUCUUGGAUUGGUCUUGCUAAUUCUGGGUUGAUCGCUGUCGGACUACCAUAGCUGAGGUGUUAGGGUUGUCAGAUUCUGCUUUCAUACUAGCAUGACGCACUGCGUCUCGUCGAAUCAGUGCAUAACAUUAUUCCAAAUUGGGAAGAGGAUAUUUGCGUAGAAUAUUUCCUCGAACUUGCUCAAAGUCACCAUCCAAUCCAGCAAGAAAGAUGUGCACCCGUUGUCGUUCAAUGGAUUUUCGGUAUGCUACAAUGUUUUUAGGGUCUUUCAUGAAUACCUUAUCCCGAUGAUUCAAUUUGCAAAAAAUUUCAGUUAACUCUCCAUAAUAUUCAGAAAGAGACCUGCCGCUUUGUUUGGCAGUGAAAGCUUUUUGAUUCAAAGCAAAAACUUGUAAUUCAUCACUUCCAUCAUAGAAGACCUUUGAUAAUGCACUCCAAAUUUCUUGAGCGGUGGGUAAGCUUGGAAAAGGGCUAUGAAGUGCUCCAAAGCUCUGAUUCUUCAUGUAUUUGAGCUUCAACUUGCAUUUCAAUGGAUUUCACAAAAUUCUCUCUCAUUCUUGGCUUGUUUCAAUGAUAAAAAAGCUACCAAAAACACCAAAACUUGCCAAAAAUUGAUUAGUAACCCUUGCUAGGUUCCUUAAUGUGCCCAUUGAGUUAAAAGAUAUUAACUACUACUCAAAAGUGUUUAAAAUAGUUAGUUUCAAGCUAUAAAAGAGUACUUUUUGAGUAGUAAUCACUCUCCCCAAUCGACAUAUUGCUAGUCCCUUAGCAAUGAAGGAGAGAUAAAGAAAAAUAGACAGUAAAAUAAUUUACAAAAUCAUGCUGAUCACUUCAAAAAAUUUUCAAGUGGCAUGAUGUGGAUUAUACUCUCUCAUGGAACAUCAAAGAGGAAAAACCCAACCUUCAGCAAGAGUCAUCAAAUCUCUUGCCUAAUCACAAUUUAUAAAGAGUAGUCAUUAUGCAAAUUUAAGCAUCAAAAGAAUUUCCACUCCCAAAGGUCCAAUCCUUAUUUUUCCACAAAAAUCUAAGUGUUAAGAUUAUUAGUUUCCGAUUAUAGUAUGUCGAACUAUUCUCUUCCCCCAACCUAGUUCUUUCUUAAACCUUAGUAAACUGACUAACCUCCAAUAGGCUAAGAACACAUCUCUUUUAUUUCAAAAUUUUUUUUCAUUGUAGGAGUGCAAUGCUAAAGGUAAUGUUUUCUAAAGUAUCCAUGUAACGGGGAUCCAUCAAUGACUCCCAACCAAUAAAGGCUUAGGGCACCGGGUUUAAAGACUUUCGCCGUAUACCCCUCGGACCUUGCUUGGGUUUCAAGGCAAGUGUAACACUUUGUUCUUUUUUUUUUUUUUUGAAGGCUCAUUGGCCUUUUAUAAGGUGUCCCAACACUAUUAAAACGAGGUCAAAGGUACCAAGUCGAAAUUUUCCUAAGUUCAGGGGGUGAGAUAAUUUUUCAUUUUAUAAUCGGAACCUAAUGUGCACAGUGUGUGGUAAGAUUAAAGUGGAAGAAAUAAGGUUGAAUUCAAUAGGAGUUUCAAUAAUUCAUUAACUUCAAUAAGCAUCAUACAAAUUCUAAGAUUCAAGUAAAAAGGCAAGAACUCAAGUUCUCCCAUUUCAUUUUGAGAAUUUUUCCUUAAUAACCACGGAGAGUAGGGUAAAACUUUUAAAAUUAAGUAAAAAGUUACUAAAUUAACAAAUUACCCUAGCAUUAUUAACAAAACUUCCUUUCUCAACUCUCCCCCCCAACUAAGAUUAACAUUGCCCUCAAUGUUUUAAGAAUAAUUGAAAAUAAAGGGAGGAAGUGGUACCUCUUGAGUGAAAUGGAGUCUGAGUCGUAUAGGAGAAACCACAUGAGUAAAAAAAAACAAAAGAGUAAUGAGUAGAGGAAAUAGAAAAAUGCUAAGUAUAAUAAAAAAAAUGAUGUUUAUAUAUUAAUAUGAGAAAGUACAAUAUGAGAUGUGAUAAAGUAAUGCAUCCAAUCCCAGGAUAUAAAGCAUCAAAAUAAGCAUAAAUCUCUACUAAUAUAAUAUGUAAAUACAAUAAGAUAAAGAGAUGUCCUAUGAUCAAGUAGUGGGAGCCUCAGGUGGAGAUGAUGCAUCCUCAGGUGUAGUUGUGAUUGUGUCAACUGUCUGAGGCUCAUCCUGAGGAUCAUAUGAAGUAAUGGCAUCUGUGGUGGCGGGAUUUGGACCUCUACUGUGGUAGUGUCCUUAAUUGGAGCUAAAGGCUCUGAUGAUGCAGGAAGGUCAAGCUGAGGUGAAAGCAGAAGUCCCAAGUGAUGCUGAAUCUGGCGGAGUAUAGCAGUCUGCUGGUCCUGAUGGGCACGCAUCUCAGCCAUCUGCUGGAAGAGAGCAACAUGUGUGGUGGUGAGUGUCGAAAGACAUGUAUAAGGCUACGAAACUCCGAAGCAGAGAUGGUGAUGGAAGACUCAGAUGUAGUAGGAGAAAUUGGUGGAACAGUAUGAGUCAUAGGGGGAGCAGCAGAAGUAGCCUCAGGCCUGGGCACUGGUGGUAUAGUCUAUGUGGGAAGCUCGCCUUGCUCUGGUUGUGGGGGUACUGGAGGUGCUACCAUGGGAGGGACUCCUAGAGGUGCAGAAUAGCCCACCAACUGAUUCCAUUUGUCGAGAGUGAAUCGCUCUCGACAAAGGCGAUGACACUCAAGCCAAGGCUCAGUAGGAAAGCCCAUAUGCUCCAAGAUUUGGCAAAACAACCUUAGGAAUAGUAAUGGAAUGGUUUCCGCCCUCUGAAGCUUCUUCCUAUGGACCUUCUCCUCAAAGUGGACGAGGGAGGCCAUGAUCAAGUGGUGCGGGCCAAAGUAGAAGUUUUAUGAUAUAUGAAAUAAAGCGUCCAAAAUAGCUCAUCGCCUCUAUACCGAAUGCUGUAGGGGAAAGAGGUUGAAGCGUAGCACCACAUCUACGAGGAGCAUCCCAGGUAGAAGCUCUUUCCGUAGAAGGAUCGAAUCUAUAGAGGUCCCCCUGGAUAAAAUGUGGACCAUGUCCCUCUGAGAUACUGGGGACCACUGGUGGAAAGAAAAUGGAUCCACUGGCUCGAAAGGAAUCUAUAAAGCCUUUGCAAUAUGUCUAGCCUCGGGGACACCAUGACGUCCAUCAAUGGUGAAGUGAAUCGCGAUAGGACUCGGGACGCCACGAGUAGUCAUGGGCUUGUAAAAGUUUAAUGCUACUCUAGGAUAAAAGAACUCAUGAGGAGUCAUAAGAAGCUCAAGAUGGUAUCUUUGCAGUAGGUCAUAAGAGUCUCGGAGCUUAGACUGCUAUCGCAUGGCUUCCUAAUCAAAAUAUAACUCCGAGUGGAAAGGUCUCGCUCUGCAAUCUGAGUUGCCUUUAAUGGGUGGUGCUGUAAGCAUCGGGCGUCUGAUCAUAGACUCCGGUGAGAUGUUAGAAGGGAGCUUAGAAUCUAUAGAAGCUCAAGCAUGUGUAGCAACAAGAGGCUAAGAUCGUAGAGCUCUAGAUGACUCGCCUGGGCCUGAAGUCCUGGCCCUCUUGCCAGGAGGGCGCUGCACUGAACUCUUAGGGCGCGAAGUAGUCGCCCCUAGUAUAGUAGGUGGUCUCCUCGUCUCAUAUCUACUUUGAGGAGUAUGAGAGGAAAGACUAGUGGGCGUUCUACCCUUAGAAGGUGGAAUCUACGGGGCCUUCUUGGCCUGAGAUGGAGAAUCACGAGGCAUUUGAGCAGAGGAGGCUUUCUGCCUCGGAGUGCGACUCGGUGAAGGGGCGUGAGGGGCUCCUCAGGUUCAUGCCAUGUCGGAAAUGGAGAAAUGGCCUCGGGUCCGUGCUUGAAGGGGGUUUGGAGUGUGAGUCUUCGAAGUGAGAUGCGCUGUGCGGGGUGUCGAAUGGAGAGGGAUGAGGUCGCAAGGUGGUAGAGGAAAAUGAGGGAUUCACAUUGCUAGGGGUGCUUAUGAAAUGGGGAAAUUAGAGCUCGGAGGGUUUAAAAAGAGAUGUCAGAGUGACUUUUUGUUUUCACACAACAUCCUUUGAUUUUCGCACAGCGUGUGAAAUGGCAUUGGGGGUGCGAAAUUGGUUCGCAUGGUGUGCUAAAUUUUCGCACCUCAUGCGAAAUGAUUCAUGAAUUUCGCAGGGUAUGCAAAUUGCCUUGGUUUUUCCUCUACCAAGAAUUUUUAAGGACACGCCCAACUGCUCUGAAGUUUCCCCUACAUUUGAUCAUAAAAAACCUAAGUUAAAUCAAACCAAAAUAAAAUUAAAAUGAGAAAUACAAAUCAAAAUAAGUAAUAAUAUAGGAAAAAUCUCAAAUAAAAAAUAAAACAAAAAGAUAUGGGCUCGAUAGUCUUUAGAAAGAUUAAGUCCAUAAAAAAAAAAAUUGGUCUUAUCCAGCUUGAUGUGGAUCAAGGAGGAUGAAUGACUCCUUGUCAUGGGAAAAAGGCUCCACAAAGGGCUUGAGAUGGUGACCAUUCACUUUGAAGCUCCCGAUGCUGUUGAAGUUGAGUAGUUCCACUAUUCCAUUUGAAUGCACUUGGUGAAUGGUAAAAGGACCUAUCCACCUUGAUUUCAGCUUGCCCGGAAAGAUGUGGAGCUUAGAGUCAUAAAGUAAGACUUUUUGUCCCUUUUGAAAAUCCUUGCGGGAAAUCAACUGAUCAUGCCACCUCUUCAAUUUCUUUUUUGCAAUUUUUGAAUUGAUGUAGGCAUCAUUUUUCAAUUCCUCCAACUCAUUGAGGUCUAAGAACUUAUUCAACCCAGCUCUGCUCAAAUCCAUGUUGAGCUUCUUGAUUGCUCACCAAGCCUUGUAUUCCAAUUCCACAAGGAGAUGGCAUGCUUUGCAAUAUACUAGGUGAUAAGGAGACAUCCCAAGAAUGGUUUUGUAAGCUGUUCUAUAUGCCCAUAGUGCAUCAAGGAGCUUGACUGACCAAUCUUUCUAUUUGUGUUCACCACCUUCAUCAAUAUGUUUUUAAUCUCCCGGUUUGCUAACUCAACUUGCCCACUAGUUUGAGGGUGGUAAGGUGUAACUACCUUAUGUUUCACCCCAUACUUGGCUAGGAAAGUUUCAAAAGGCUUGUUGCAAAAAUGAGUACCCCCAUCACUAAUUAUGGCUUUGGGCACCCCAAAUCUUGAGAAGAUGUUCUCCUUGAGAACCACUCUAUGGUCAUUGUGCUUGCAUGGGAUUGCCUUAACCCACUUAGAAACAUAAUCUACUCCCACCAAGAUGUAAGAGUAGCCCAAAGACAUAGGGAAUGAUCCCAUGAAGUCAAUGCCAAAAACAUAAAAAAAAUUAACUAUCAAAAUGGGAUUCAAAGGCAUCAUGUUCCUGCGUGUCAACUUUCCAAGCCUCUAGCAUCGAUCACAACUCUUGCACAUGGUGUGGGCAUAUUUGAAAAGUGAUGACCAAUAGAAAUCCGAUUGCAACACCCUCAUGGCUGUCUUCUGAGAAGCAAAGUGGCCUCCACAUGCAUUUUCAUGGCAAUGACUGAGGAUCCCCUAUUACUCUUCUUUAGGAACGCACUUUCUUAUUAUCUGAUUCGCAUAAUACUUGAAUAGAAAUGACUCUUCCCAAUAGUAGGAUGAAUUUUUGCAAAGAAGUGCUUUUUAUCUUGUGCUUUCCACUCACUUGGAACUUCUCCUGUGACUAGGUAGUUAGCAAUGUGAGCAUACCAAGGAGCAACUUCCACCAACAUGAGAGACUCCUUUGGAAAAUCAUCAUUGGUGGGCAAACCAUGGGAAUUAUGUGCAAUAGCUAGCCUUGAAAGGUGGUCUGCUACCACAUUCUCCAUUCCUUUCUUGUUUUUGAUAUAGAGAUUGAACUCUUGAAGCAAGAGAAUCCAUCCAAUCAGCCUUGCUUUAGUAUAUUGCUUAGUCAAUAGAUACUUCAAAGCAUAGUGAUCAGUGAAAACCACAAUGAAGGACCCCACCAAGUAAGCACGAAACUUAUCCAAGGCAAAAACUACAGCUAACAAUUAUUUCUCGGUGGUUGUGUAGUUUCUUUGAGCCUCAUUCAAUGUCUUGCUCGCGUAGUAGAUCACAUAGGGUUUUCCAUAUUCUCUUUGCCUAAGAACAACUCCUAUAGCAAAGUCACUGGCAUCACACAUUACCUAAAAGGGCAGUUGCCAGUUGGGAGCCCUCACUAUUGGUGCAGUUGUCAGAAAUAGCUUCAAUUCUUCAAAACUCCUUUGGCAUCUAUCAUCCCAUAUGAAUUUAGCAUCCUUCACUAAUAGUUCACAAAGAGGCCUUGCGAAUUUAGAGAAAUCCUUGAUAAACCUCCUAUAGAACCCGGCAUGGCCAAGGAAUUGCCUUACUCCUUUGACAUUUGUUGGGGAUGGCAACUUGACAAUGAGUUCAACCUUUACUUUGUCAACUUCAAUGCCUUGCUUGGAGAUGAUGUGCCUAAGGACAAUCCCUUGUUGUACCAUGAAAUGUCACUUCUCCCAGUUAAGCACUAAGUCUUUCUCGAUGCAUCGGUUCAGAACAGCUUCUAGGUUGACCAAACAUUCAUCAAAUGCACUUCCAUAUAUGGUGAUAUCAUCCAUAAAGACUUCCAUAAUAUGCUCCACCAUAUCACUGAAAAUGCUUAACAUGAAUCUUUGGAAAGUUGCGGGUGCAUUGCAUAAGCCAAAAGACAUUCUCCUGUAUGCAUAGGUUCCAAAUGGGCACGUGAAAGUGGUAUUCUCCUGGUCUUCAACAUCAAUUUCUAUAUGAAAGUACCCGGAGUAGCCAUCCAAGAAACAAUAAAAAGGAUGCCCUGAGACCCUCUCAAGCACCUGAUCAAUAAAGGGCAACGGGAAAUGGUCCUUUCUUGUCACCGCAUUCAACCUCCUGUAAUCGAUACACACCCUCCAACCUGUAGUGAGGCGUGUAUAGACCUCUUCUCCUUUAUCAUUUUGCACCACCGUGAUCCCAUAAUUCUUUGGCACAACUUGAGUAGGACUCACCCAUGGGCUAUUUGAUAUGUGGUAGAUAAUACCGGCCUGAAGUAGCUUAAGAACUUCAGCUCGCACCAUCUCUUGCAUGUGAGAGUUCAACUUUCUCUGAGGUUGACGAACUGGCUUAGCUUCAUUCUCCAUGUAAAUAUGAUGGGUGCAGACUAAAGGGAUGAUCCCUUUCAAAUAAGAAAUUUGCCACCCUAUUGCCUUUUUACAUCUUCUGAGGACUUCAAGUAGACAAUCCUCUUGAUGAAUGGUAAGAGCUGAAGAUAUAACAACAGGGCACUUCUUGUCUUCUUCCAAGUAUGCAUGCUUCAACUUUGUGAGUAGCGGCUUAAGAAUAAGCUUUGGGGCUCCUCCUUAGCAGCUCUUUGCAUCUCCUCCUCAUUGAAUAAGGGUAGAAUUUCUUCUUUCCUCCUCCAAGGGGGCAGGGUAGCAAGCAAAUAUGAGGGUUCAGGUAACCCUUUAUCAAGAUCCCCAAAACUCUCAAUCAAAUCCUCCCGCAUUCUCUGAUCACAAUGCUCAUCUACUAAAGUGUCAAUCAUGCACACUUCCUCUGGAUCUUCUUUUUCUUCCGGAUGGAUAUGCUUCUUGCACAAAUGGAAGAUGUUGAGCUCUAUUUUCAUGUUACCAAACGUGAGUUGCAUGACUCCAUUCCUACAAUUGAUGAUUUCAUUUGAUGUAGCUAGGAAUGGUCUUCCAAGUAUGAUAAGAACAUAAUUAGUUCAUUUGACAACCAGAUCCGUAUCAAGAACAAAAAAAUCCACUGGAUAGUAGAAUUUGUCAACUUGAACCAAGACAUCUUCAAUCAUCCCUCUUGGAAUCUUCACCGAUCUAUCUGCCAGAGAUAGAGUGAUGGAUGUUGGCUUUAACUCUCCAAGUCUCAACUGCUUGUAGAUAGAGUAGGGUAGCAAAUUCACACUUGCUCCCAAGUCCAACAAAGCUUUCUCCACACAAGUCCCUCCAAUACUCAUUGAGAUGGUAGGGCAGCCCGGAUCUUUGUACUUCGCUGGAGACUUAUACUAUAUGAUGACACUCACUUGCUCAGUCAAUAAGGCUUUCUUGUUCACAUUCAACCUUCUCUUUACAGUGCACAAGUCCUUCAAGAAUUUUGCAUAUGUCGGUACUUGUUUGAUCAUGUCUAGCAAAGGGAUAUUGACCUUCACUUGUCUCAACACUUCAAAAAUUUCUGAUGCAUUAUUGGUUCCCUUUUUGCCAUGCAAAGCUUGGGGGAAAGGUGAAAGCAUGUGUUUCUUCAUCAUAUCUUCCUUGAUGACUAUCCUCUCGGGUUCUUCAUCCACACUAGAAUCAUGGUCAUCUUUCUUUGUACUUUUCUUUUUUCUCUUUCCUUUAAUUUCCUCACUCUUUUCUUUUUCUGCUACACUCUCUUUAUCAUGCUUUGGCUUGGAUGUGGGUUGAUUAACCUCCUUACCACUUCUCAAGGUGACAACUGCUUUGAAUUCUCUCACCUUUGAAGAUUCUCCUUCUUGAUUCUCCACUUCAUAGAUACCCUUGAGAUUUUAAUGAGGCUGAGAAAGAAACUUUCCUUUCUCUUGCACUGUGUUGAGGUUGGUAAGCCUUGAGAUUGCAUAUUGGACAUUGUCUAUCUUCUGAGACAGAUCAUUUUGCAUCACAUCCAUCCUUUUGUUCAAUGUACUCUCCACGCUGUCAAUUCUUUGAUUCAGUUGAGCAUUGAUGGCCUUAUGAUCUCCCACAAAGUCUCCCACAACCUUGCUAAGGUUCACAAUAUCUUAUUCAAGAUUCGAGGCUUGCUGAGGUGCUUGAGCAGGUUGUGUGUACUGAGGUGGCUUUGGUUUACAAGAGAAAUUGGGAUGGUUCCUCUAAUUUGAAUUGUAGGUGUUGCCAUAUGAAGCAUUGUUAUUAGGCUUGAAUUGACCAAUAACAUUUACUUGAUCACCAAACAUCUCUCUCACUACUAGAAUGGUAGGACACUCCUCCACUAAGUGCUCAUAAGAUUGACAAAUGAAACAAGGCAUAACUUGCACUGAUGUCUCAGAAAUGGCUUACACUUCUUGUACCUUCUUUAUUUCUAGCUCUUCCAAUCUCCUUGCCAUAGCUGCAACCUUUGCCUUCAUGUCAAUGCCUUCAUUCAAAAGAUACAUCCCACUCUUAGCAUUAGGUUGAGACUUCAUUCUUUCCACCUCUCUAGCAUUUGGUUCAUCCCAUCCUCUUGAAACUUCAGCCACAUAACUCAAAAAGUCCAUGGCUUUCUCCGAAUUCUUACUCAUAAAGUCUCCUUCACACAUAGUUUCUAGGAGUUGCUUCAUUGAAGAAGACAUACCAUCAUAAAAAUAGCUCACUAAGAGCCAUGUGUCAAAGCCAUGGUGAGGAUAAGCAUUAAUAGCUUCCAUGUACCUCUCCCAACACUCAUAAAUUCUCAUUCUCCUUAGCUGAGAAGUUCGAAAUUUGUCUUUUCAAACCAUUGGUCCUAUGAGUAGGAAAGAACUUCUUGAGAAACUCGGCUUGCAAAUCAGUCCAAGUUCGGAUACUCCUUGGCCUUAGAGAAUUAAGCCAAAUCUCGGCCUUAUCCUUCAAGGUGAAAGGAAAUAGCUUGAGCCUCAUCAAGUCAAUUGAAGCUCCUCCUUCUUGGAAUGUAUUACAAACCUCCUCGAAUUCCUUAAUAUGCGAGUAGGGAUUCUCCCUUUCCAUCCCAUGGAAAGUAGGGAGGAGUGGCACAAUGUGAGGUCAGAUUACUAGCUACUCAGUGGGAGGCACUAUGCAUGAAGGUGCACUCAUACGAGGCAGAUGCAUGAGGUCCCUCAUGGAUCAGUAUGCAUUGAAAUUAUCCUCUUGACCAUGUUGGCUAUUUUGGUCUUCAGGUGGAACAUCCAUGAUGUUCAAGCACACUUCCAACUCAGCUUCUUGAAGAGUUUCAAUCUUCACAAGUCUUCCCUCAAUAUCUCUUAUCCAAUAGGGCAUGCACAACUAGAGAUCACUGAAACAAAAACAAAGAAAACAAAAGAAAUACAAUUCUAGGAAGAUGUUAAGGUUAGUUGAAAACUAAAUAAAAGAUAAGCUGAAAUAGAGACAAAGAAAAAGAAUUAGUAAAAGAAAAAUUAGCAAACUUGUGAUGAUGAUCACAAGUAUUCACCAAAGGUCAUGUCAAUAUACUUUGGCACCAUCCCCGACAACGACGCCAUUUGAUUCCUCCCCAUUGCAGUCAUGCCAUUUGAUUCUGGCCUAGACGAGUGUUAUCAACAAAAUUUAUAAAACCUAAAUCACCUUACACUAGGGUAGCAUAACUAACAUAGUAUAGUGGCUCUAAGAUCAUCCACAGGGAUGGGUUUUCAUCGUACAAUUGACUUUAGUGAAGGAAAUAAAAUGGUGCUUUUCCUUAUGAAAAUUAGCUUUUAAAGAAAAUGGAAUUGUGGUUGCAAAGAUUGAUUUUAAGUUGAGCAAAAAUAAUAAGUGAAGUUAACUACAAAGAAAAGGUCUCUUGAAGCUUUAGGUCACUAGGAUCGGGUUCCUUAGGCAAAGGGGGAGAUUCCAGAUCUUUUCCUCGCGUUGGGGACAAUAACAUAAAAUAUGGUUAUCUCCCAAACCGAUUUUGUAUUUAGCAAUUAAGAUUUGAUCCAAAGGGUUAAUGAAAAAUGGUAAUUGCUUCCCAUUAAUGGCUUCAAACACUAAAGACCCUCAUCUUGAACCACAUUCCAAUGGCUCGUAAAUGAUAACUAAUAGACAUCCAUGGAUCUAGUGGUAAGCAUCCAUAGAAUCUAAAAAGCUUACCAAGUAUUGGCCAUUCAAGGUGAUUUUAAGGGAUUUAAAGCUAAACCUUGAAAUAAAAGCCAUUAAGGGUUAACAACUACUUUCAUUUAAAGCAAGGACAACUCCCACCUUUGCAUUCGGGUCAUUCACCUAGCUUCUAUCACUCUAAGAAACGUAAAGCCUAGCCACUCAUCCCCUGAGAAAUCAUCCUCAGAGGUUGUUUAGCUAGAAAGGAAAGUGAAAACAAAAUGAGAAGGAAAAACAGAGCAAAAACUCUGUAUAUUUCUUACUACUGGAAUUUACAAGUGUUCAAUACCAUCCCCCUUUCUGUGUGUCUUUCCAUAUCUCUCUUAUGUUACCCCAAAAAAUAUAAAAAGAUAUAAAAGAAAAUAUCUAGGUUGAUUACAAGGAGACACUAGGAAAUUACACAAAAUAUCUGAAGAUAAAAAUCUAACGGAGUCGGCGCAUAGGAAGAUUUUGCAUACCAAGUGAAAUUUUGCAUGGUGUGCGAAAUUCUUUGGCUACCUCUUGUGGUUUCGCAUGGUGUGUGAAAUUUCGCACAACAUUGUGAAAUUGUCUUUCACUCAGUCCUGCUCUCAGUCCUGCAGCUGUUUUUCCUCUUGAUUUCGCAUGCUAUGCGAAAUUUUCGCAUAGCCAUGCGAAAAUGCUGGUUGUUGGAUUUCUUCCUCUGUUUUUUUUCCUUGCAUCUUUGAUUGGCUUGGAAAUCUAUUGCCAAGCUUGGCAAAGGGCUAUGAAGUGCUCCAAAGCUCUGAUUCUUCAUGUAUUUGAGCUUCAACUUGCAUUGCCAUGGAUUUCACAAAAUUUUCCCUCAUUCUUGGCUUGUUUCAAUGAUAAAAAAGCUACCAAAAACACCAAAACUUGCCAAAAACUGAUUAGUAACCCUUGCUAGGUUCCUUAAUGUGCCCAUUGAGUUAAAAUGUAUUAACUACUACUCAAAAGUGUUUAAAAUAGUUAGUUUCAAGCUAUAAAAGAGUACUUUUUGAGUAGUAAUCAAAGCGUAAGUAACGCUUCAUAAUUUCUAGACUCAUUGACAUUAACAACCAUCCCUUCACCUUUUGAUUCUUAGCAUACCAUUUUUCAUAUCCAUUUUUUGACUCUUUUGGUGGAUUUGUUUUACCUCGAAUGUAGAAAAGUUUUUCCCGUUCGGCACUAUGCAUUUCCACGAGUUGUGACCAAACGUCAUAGUUUGAUUCAGUCAAAAUAAUUCUUGGAUUAAAAGUACCUUUAGAUUGAAAAACAAUAGUAUUUUUUUCACUUAUUUUUUAUUUUUUAUUUUUUAUCACGAAGGAGGGGCGAUGGCUGGCCUUACCGACAAAAUAUCCAGGAUUUCAGUUCCAUGGCUCUGAGACCAACUUCAAAUUGAUGAAUUGUAGUUUUUUAUUGAUUAUUUCAUUCGUUCAUGUACAGAGUAUAUAUAGAGGGUAAUCACCAUUCUAAGAAUGGGAAAGAAUGAUACAAGGAAGGAAUGAUAUAAGAAAAGAACAACUACUAUCCUAAUAUCUCAACUUUUCUAAUAUCUAAACAUUCCUAAUAUCUCAACAAAGACACCACCAUGAUUGUAAUUUAUAACAAAGCCACUUUUGAAUAAAAUCUAAUGGAACGAUGCUUUUGGGAGGGAUUAGGGAAUAUGGGGCACUUAAAAAGGGGUUUGGCUCUAUUAAGAUGUAGAUUUUAUGUUCCUAAUCAUAUAGGCGGUCCUUAUAAACGUUCUUCAAGAUAAGAAGAGUAAAUAACUGUUUAUUUUAGUGCCUAUUAAGAUAUAUUUCAUGUUUUCUCUUUUUAAAAAUUAGAAAUAAUAGUAACUCAUACAUAAAGUGUAAAAACUUUUUUGAGAGUUAAUUAUUUAAUAUAAUAGCUUUUAAAAGUUAUUUGAAAAAAAUUAAGGUAUUAAAAAUUUUUGCUGCCUUAAAUUUAUAAAAUUUUAAAAAUAAGGAUGUACCAAAAAUCAAUAUUUUUUUAAUAAGAGCUAUUGUAUUUUAUAUAGAAAUUAUUAUUAUUUUCUAUUUUUUAAAACAAAAAAUAAAAAGUGUAUCCAAACCAACAUUUAAUUAAUAAAAUAAAAUGAAAUAAUGAAAAAAAAUUAUUUGUUAGCAUGAGGCGAAAUGAAUUUGCUUACUUUUUAUCCUUCUAGGCAAUUGUAUGGCAUUAUAAUUAUAGCAGUAAAACUUGGUUGCAGAUUGAAUUGACACUUUCGAAUCUGGAAGCAACUAACAUAGCAUCAAUUAGUUCUUGGAGAAAUUAAGGGACCACCAAAAAAAUAUAAUAACUAGUAGUACAAUGUUUAUCGCUAGGGUAGUUGCUUACUUAGCAUCAAAAUAAGUAUGCAAACCUAAUGAUUAAGAGGUUGAGGAAUGAAUCCCCAUGGAACAUAGUGCCUUUGAUAUCUCAUAAGAUGUGAAGAAGAACAACUUAUAUAAAAGACAUGUCUUGACUCACAUGAAUGACAUAUUGUAUGUCCAAAUGAGUGAUAGAAAGGUAAACAAGGCUACAAGCCAGAAGCAUAUUUAGCUUGGCUAAGAUAGUAAGCAUCAAAAGAAGAGGAAACUUCAAGGCCCAGAAAUAGCUAAGACAACCAAGACCUUUGAUGGCUAUCUCAGCGAGGUUUUGAAGUUCCUAAAUGCUAAUAGAAUCAUCUCUAGUGAUGAUCACAUAAUCUACAUAUAGCAAGAGAAUAGUAGUGCCUCCAUUUGUUUUAUUGAGAAACAUAUCAUAACCAUGAUUGAUACCUCCAUUGAAACCUAACAGUUGAUAUGGUAGUGCUAAACUUUGAAAACCAGGUACAAGGAGCUUGCUUGUUUUUGGGUAUAAAGUGUUUUGCAGUCCACACACUUUGCUAGGUGAAUGAUUAUAUCUAGGACGUGGAAGCAUAUAUACUUCAUUGAAAUCACUAGUCGAUAGAGCAACUGCAUUCAGAGGUUUCCUUGUAACCAAUGCCAUAUUUUUCAGUGAAACCUUUGGCAAAAAGACGGGCUUUAUAUAUUGAUCAAUGGUGCCAUCGGCACAAGUAUGGUAACAUUGUGAAUUUUCAGGUUGGAAAAUUUUUCAACGUUGAUUAUAAAUUGUUAUGCAACUCUAAAAUAGAAUAAUUAAAAAUCCCUAUUAAUUUAAAAAUAAUUAAGGAGGUGAAGAGAUUAUUAACAAAUUAGCAUUUAUUAUAAUAGACAUAAAGACUAAAAGAAAAGAAAAUAAGAAGAAAGAAAAACACAAUUUUUUGGUUUCUCUUUAUUAACUCUUAAACCCUUGUUUAUAGGGUAAAGGUAAUACCAAUUUAUGGUAAUAAUACAAACAUGACAACAAUGUUUUCAUCCAUAAAUUAUUAUAAAUAUGUAUAAUAUUCCCCUUUGAUGACAAGCAUUCUUUGAAUAUGUCUCAUUAAAGACUUACUAGGAAAAAAAACUAUGGGAAAAACCCUAGUAAGGUAACAGAGAAAUAUUCUUUUAAUGACUAUCUUGUUAAAAAUCUUAUUAGUAUAACCUAAUGGGAUGAAACUUGGAUGAAGAGAAAAAGAGUACAGUGUAGUGGCAUCCUUAUCUAUGAGCUUCUUUGAGUAGCUCAACAUGAAGAUCUUUGAGUUGAUAUAUCUCAAUAUUAUAUAUGAGCUUCUUGAGUGUCACAAUUGGCAAUAGUUUUAUGAAUAAGUUUGUGAAUUUUUCAUUUGAUCUUCUUUGUUGAACAUUAAUUUCACUACUCUUUUGAAGCUUAUGGUGUAAAAGAAUUUGAACAAUAUAUGCUUAGUUCUAUUACACUUCUUGUAUCAUUCUUUAACCUAUGCAAUGCAUUCAACAUUAUCUUUGUGUAGCAUUGUCGGAUUAUCUUUAAUGGAAGAUAGUCCACAUAUGACUCACAAAUAUAUUGGAUUAAAGAUCUUAAUCACACUCAUUACCAACUUGUUUUUUGAAUUUGUGAGUAUUUCUAAAUGAUUUGAAGAAAUAACUCCCAUUAUCUUAUUAAAAAAAAUUUAGGAAGGUGGCAACUUAGUAUACGAGCCAACAAUCAAUACUUACUCAUUUUCUUUUAACUCCAAUGUUUUUGAGUUGGUGUAGAACUAUAUCUUUUUAGAUACAUCAAUGCACCAAUUGCACUAAGAUAUGUUUUUUCUAAACCAAAUAGUUCUUCAUUAUGUUAUUUAGAAUGAAAGAGGCCCUUGUUCACUUCAAGUGAAUGAACAACCAUGGAAGAACUUAAUGGAUGUGAUUUGUCCAUGUAAAAGCGCUUUAAGAUUUUCUCUAUAUAUGUUGACUAAUAAGCUAAUACCCCAUUUGAAAAGAACUCAAUCUAUAAGUUGAUACAAAAUUUUGUUUUUCUAAGAUCUUUUAUUUCAAAUUCCUUUUACAGAUAGUCAAUUAUUCUUGUAAGUGACCACAAUCUCUGUUGUAAAUAAAAUACUAAAGCCUAAAUCCAUGAUAACUUUGGCAAAAAAAAAAAAAAAAAAAAAAAAAAAAAAAAAAACCCAGAGAUAGAGCGACCACGACUUUGUAGUAUUCUAGGUUGUUGUCCUCCAAGAUAAGCUCUAAUAUGUUUAUUUGUUUUUAGAUUCAAAGGAUUAAUUAUUUAAUAAAGGUAAAAAAAUACCUAAUUCAAAUCAAUCAAAAUAAAAUAUGGACAAAAUUUUUCUAAAUAAACUUAUUUAAAUUAAAGAAUAAUUAUUGAUUUUUAAUUCAAUUAAUCAAGAUUGGGAGUCUACAAUCCAACUUCGAAUAUAAAUUAACCUUUAGGCAAAACAAGGGUAUAUAAUUUAAUAGUCUUGGGGUAAUCAAAAUGCAUGGUCUAAUGAGAUCAACCUAAGUCCACACCUUAGAGUUGAUCCGUAUCCUAACUUUUAAUAUUUUAUUCCAUUGAAUUACCUAAUAAAUGAAUGGACAUGAAAUUAAUGUUUAAGUCUAAGGUUUUUAGGCUUUUACCACUUUGUGUAGAUUUGCCUUAUGAUAUAUAAUAAUGAUAAAACCUUUGAUAACUAGGGAUCAAGAAUUACCAAGAAUCCUUAGUAUAAAGGAAUAUAAGAUUGUAUCUUGUCCUAAGUCAAACUAACUUUAGAGGGUAUUUUGAUCUCAAUACUAAUGCCUUAACAUUUCAUUCAUUCCAUUAUUAAUCCGAUUUCACCCAUUGUUUUCCUUUGGAUCUAACCUUAGGUUUUCAUGUUUUACCCUAAGAUGGCUUUUUAGCCUCUUAUGGGCAUGUCCUCACAUACAUAGGUCGUAAAAGAAUAAGAAAGAACCAUUCUUGAUUUCAAAGAAAUUAAAAACAAUAAUUCAUUCAAUAAUAAUAAAUAAAAAAAAGACAAACCAUGAAAAACUUUCAAGGUCUUCUUAUCUCUCCCCUAAGAAUUGUCAAGCCAUCUCUACUCUUAAAAAAAAAUCAAGAAGUCCAUAGAAAACCUAAAUAUCAAGUUUUUAUAGUUUCCACCAAAAAACCUAACACGUGGUAUGAUUACUACUCAAAAAGUGCUAUUUCAUAGCUUGUAAUUAACUCUUUUAAACACUUUUGAGUAGUAGUUAUCACCUUUUAACCCAAUUAACAUAUUAAGGACCCUUGCAAUCAAUUCUAAUCAAAUUGUGUUAAGUUUUGGUGUUUUGAUAGCUUUUUGAUCACCAAAGCAAUCCGAGAUUGAGGAGAGUUCUUUGGAAUCCAUGGCAAAGCAAUGGAAAGCUCAGAAACAUGAAGAACCGAAGCUUUGAAGUCCUUUGCCAUAAGCAAAUCCAGAAUGCAAGGAGUAUGGGAUUCUCCCUAAAAAAUGCCACGUGGCUCUCUCUCCCUUGUGUUGAUGCCUUGCGUCCUAGUGAUCCACGUAGCUACCAAGUGGACGCACGCUUUCAACCCAGAUUGAGUUCUGGUUCAGUCUUCCUUGCAAAAGAUGUCCGAGUAGGGCGUCCGGACACACCAUCGGAGGGCGGCGGAACGUGGGCUGUGGCAGGUUGUCGGAAUGACGUAGCAAGACUUGUGCACUUUAGUCAAUGAUUUGGAUAACAUAUCCGAAUAGGAUAUGCUAUCGUCCGGGGUGUGAUGAUCGCGAGUGCCUUGUGCUUCUCCCUGAGGGAGUCUGGAUAGGGGGAGCGCGCCACGUGUCCUCUUGGGGAAUCCGGAUGGAGUUGCUCCAGAUAGUGAUGCGCGCUCCGUGUCAUCAGGGGGAGGGGUGCCUACACCUUACACACGCAGACAGUCCCCCUUGUGACGUUCCACAUUCUCCGGAUAUUUCACAUCCGGCGCCUGACGCCGGAUGGGAGAGGAGGGCGUUUCAACUUCCCCGAUCAGACAUAUCCGGAUCCUCUUAUAGCGCUUACCCGGAGAGUUUCGCAGCCAUUUUGCACAGUGCAGCGGUGUUCUCUUGAAGCUUCUCGAUAUGUGCGACCGACAUUUUGAGAUAUUUUUGCUUUAGAUAUUUGAUGUCUAAAUCCCCAAACUCUCCUUGUAACCCACCUAUCAUAGGAUUCCUUAGUCUUUAAGCAAGAACAAAGGGUGAAUAACCUCUUAUAUAUAGUUUGUAAUUUUCUUUAAAAGAGGAGAGUCGGGAGCUUGCUCGUGGACGCAUCCUUUGUACAAUUUUGCAAGAAAUAUAUUUUACAGAGCACUUACUCUGUUUUUCCUACAUAUUUUUGUUUUCUCAUUCUUUUUCUUUCUAGCCAAUCAAACUCUGAGGAUUUUUCCUCAGAGGAUGAGAGGCUAGGCUCUUCGUCUCUUGGAGUGAAGAAAGCUGGGUAAGUUUCCAAAUGCAUAAAUUGGAAGUUUUGUUGUUUUAGUUUUUAAUGAAGAGAAAGUGUGACCCGUUAAUGGUUUUUAUCUUUUUAGUUAACUUAAAACGCCUUUAAAUCACCUGGGCCAACACUUGGUAAGGCAAGUGAUCUCCGUCCAUUGAGAUGCACUAGUUUAUCUCUUGUGAGCCUUUGGGAGGUGGUUUGAAGGUAGGAUUUUCUAGAAUAGCCAACACUUGGUAAGCUUUUGGACUCCACGGAGACAUCCAUUAGUUAUCUCUUGCGAGCUUUUGAUGGGUAAUCCAAGGUUAAGGAUCACCUUGAAUGGAAAAUGCUAGGUGAGAGGCACAAGCCAUUGCAAGGUGCAUCAGUGAGAGGGAUUUAGUGUUUGAACCCAUUAAGGGGAAACAUCUGUACCACACCGGUUAGAGAAUUAACUAUAUGUUAAUUCUCUAAUGCGAGGAAAAGAAACAAGUGACCGGAACUCUCCUUUUUGUAUGAGGAACCUGAGCCUAGUGAUCUAAACUCCAAGAAACACUUUUCUUAGUAAGUAAUUUCCAUUACUUUAUUUUUGGUUUCACUUAAAAACCAACCUUUUCAAACAUCUUUAUGUUUUAUUUUAGAGCUAACCUUGAAAUGAAAAGGCACCAAUUCAUCUUUGAAUUAAUAUCAAUUGCGGAGUGAAAACCCAUCCCAGUGAACGACCCUAGAGGCACUAUGCUAUGCUAGCUAAGGCUAUCUUAGUACAUGGUGUAAUAGGUUAUAAAUUUUGUUGAUUACUCCCUUUUGAGGAUCCAAAUCAAGGGACACCAGCUGGACAUGAAUCAGUUGAGACACCAAUUGGGAACGAAUCAUGGUAUGUUCCUAUUAGCCACUUAUUUUAUAAAUAAUUAUCUAAUAUGAUUAAAAAUAAUAAAAUCGUGAUUUCUAGUCAUGUGGGUCCCAUUUAGGGCGGAUGGAGUGCCUAAGAUGCAAUUCCUGAAGUAAAUGAGGUGAAAUAUCAAUGUGGCAGUCUAUGAUUUCGAAAUUGGGGUCAUUUUGAAUUGGAUUUCGAAUUCAAAAGUUGAAUUUCAAAAUCAUUUUGAAAUGGUCCUUUAACUCUGCAUAGUUGUCUUCAAAGGGUCAUGAAUUCUUCAAUUUAGCUCCGAUUUGCACACCAUUUAAAGCCUUUGGAUUUUUUAUUUCUAGAGCUUCAAAACGAUAUAUGGAUUGGUUAAAAUAGAAUUCAUAAAGUGCUCCAAAAUUUUCCUCAAAGUUAGAAUAUAUGUUGCUAUCAAAUUUUAAGUUCCAAAUUUCCAUGCAACUUGAUGAAUUUGCUUCAUGCCUCAUUGUCCAUGUUUGCAUGCCCUUUUUCUUACUUCAUAAUGAUCAAUCGUCAUCUCCCAAACUCAUGACAUCCUCGUCUUGCCUUUCCUCAUAGUCCAUGAGUUUUGACUCGCCUAUUUCCUCAUUUAACCAUUUCUUGACUUUUCAAAAUCUAAAGUGAUUGAACUUGUACCAUUUUCUUUCCUUGAACUUGAGAUGAAUCUCCAAAAUGCAAGUUAAACUCAUGGCUAGGGCCUUAGCAUCGAUUUGGGUCAAGUUGGAUGAUUUGAAUGUAUUAUGGUGCAUAAAUCAUAUCGAAUAUGUGCCUUUAGAACACGCAUUUUGGCUCAAAUCAAUAAGCUCUUCAAGAGUUUCAAUAAGAUUCAAAUAGUCCACAUAAACAAUAACAAUUACAAAUCCAAUUGCUAAUUUCUUAAUGAAUAUACAUGGAUAAAUAAGAUUUUAUACAUAUUAUUUUCUUAAUAAAUAUUCACAUAGGUGAUUGUACUAUUAGGAACCAUGAAUUACUCCAUUUCGAGACCCUGGAUCAUGUAAGAUGCUAGAUCUAGAUUUUAAAAGAAUAAUACUUAUGAUCUGAAUGCUCCCAGAUCAAAUUCAAUCUGAACAAGAUGUCGAAUCCGUGGUAGUUGUGGUAGAUUUUGUCUACACAAUGAUCUUCCACCCAUUCUAUCCCUUCAUAGAACUUAACACUAGAGAAUGGUGAUCUUUUUUUUUUUUUUUUUCUUUUCUUUUUCUCUCUCAGAUGACUAGGGCUUACCCUCACUCUUUGCAAUACAAAUGAAAAAAAUUCUUAAGCCUUAACCCUUAAGGGAGGUAUUUAUAAGCUUAAGUGACUUGAGUCCAACUUGGGCUUAGGUCACCUAAUCCAAUCCACUUGGGUCCUACUUAAUUAAUUAGCACUAUUAGGCUCCAAUUAAUUAAUUAGCUAAAUCAAGAAAGUUCUUUUAUAAGAUCUAGUGUAUUCUUACAUUUUUACGAAAACACCUUUAUGCAUACUUAAGAGCUACAAACCCAAAAUUCCUUAAACAAAUUUGCCACUAUGAAUCAAGAGCUCAAACAGGGACCACAAGACCUAAAAGAAAUACUAGCUCUCAAAAUCCAAUUCUAACCUUGACUUAAUAUCCCAUUAUAGAGAGUCAACUGCACUCAAUAUCUUAUGUAUAUUAUAACAUAAGAUACAAGAACUUGGGUCUAUGACCUAUUAUUCACAACAUGAAGACUCCUCAUGAACUGGUGUCUGUAACCUAAUGAGCUAAUGCUACCAACUUCUUAAGAUUAUCUCUCGAAAUCUUGAGUUAUAGAUCAUCAUAUUAUACGAUAAAUUGAUAUAACCUAGCUCACAAAGAGCAUAUACAAAAUUCCACUUAAGAAAUUACUAUGUUUAUAGUUUUUCUAAUCGCAUGUUAAGAUUAGUUAAUGGGACUAUCUUAAUCCCAUGAAAUAUUAAGGUGCUUCUAUAAAAAUAGUUGUUGCCACUAGUCUCUAUCAAUACUGACCCAAUCCAUAGGGAAUAUGUGACCACCUUAGGGUCUUAUCUAUAGGUCAAAGCCUUCUAUUGAUUUUAGCAUAAGAUUAAUAUCCUUUCAAGGUUGAGAGUCCAUGUAGUAUAGUACUUUGGUAAAUCAUGACUACUCGAUAGCCAAUGUCAUGAUUCAACGCAGGUCUUAUUUAAUGUGUAACUUUACAUACUAGUGCACUAACCAUGGGAAAGUCAUCUCAAUGACCAAGACAAUUCAUCCCUCAAAUUAAGAGAUAGUACAUUACAAUCUCUAUUGGAUUAGCCAAAUCCAUGAACUAAUUAUGAAUUGCUUAUUACCUGGCAAGGAACCUAUGACUUAGAUUUUCUGUGCAACUCUUAGUGUACCCAAGUCAUGUACAAUGCAAGUGAUAUGGAUGUGAAUGCUCAAAUAAAUAUUUAAUGCAAAAAGAUAAUAAGAGGAACCAUAAUCAUAAUGAUAAAUUUAUUAAUUAAUCUAAAAUAUGUUAUUCCAACACACAUUUUGUUUGCUUAAUCCAUAUGUAGACCCUCAAUUUUGUCUCUUUAGCACAUGUCUUUAAAUUUGUUUUCAGUGCUCCACAGUAACUCCUUAGUGGCCCAUUAUUACUCGUAUAACUUACCCUUUUCUGAGUCACCUCGGGGACUUUGGUUGAGGGAUUAUCUGACCCCUUAUUGUGACCCUUGGCAGCCCUAUUCUAGACUUAGGUUUUUCAUUCAUUUUUAGGAUAGCUUUUAGGGUAGUCUACUUGGCCCAUUAAGACUUUUUUUUUUUUUUUUUUAGCCUGACUUGUAUGACUUGCAUGGCCCGCAUGGGAUGGACUGUUUUAUUUCAUUUCAUUUUAUUAUGUUUUAUUUUAUUUAUUUUUAUUUUAUUUUAAUCCUUGAUAAGUUGUAAGAUUGCUAACUUUUUUUAUUUUUUUAUUUUUAUUUUCUCUAUUUUCGUUUUUUUUGUUUGGCAAGAGAAUGGGGGCUACUAUUCAAAUCUGACUAAGGUAUGUGCACUAAAAAACGUAAGAAAAAUAUUUUGUGAGGGAAAAAGGAAUUAAUGUGGCUGCAUACAUAUGGAAAUAAGAGAUCCUAAAGAAGCAUUAUGAUUUUCGAAAAAGGAAAGGAAAUAGAAGAAAGGAAAGUGGAUUUUCUUUAGCAUAUUUGGUUUGAGAGGCUGAUACAAAUAUAAGUGGAAAGGGAAAAGAAGAGGAGGCAGGAGGAGGAUCGUCUGAAAGGAGGCAUAGAAGAGAGGGACUUGGAAUACGUAUAGAGAGGGAGAAGAUUGGUGGACGGAAAAAGGUUUAGGGAGCAGAUUUCUCAGUCGGGAAAAGGUGCAACAGCUUGGAACCAAGCAAUUGGAGAGGAGAACGUGCAGGUAUGUUUCCAGAUUUUUGCUAUAUCACCAUGUAGUUUCAAUCUUUCCUGACUUCUUAGUUUUCUGAAGAUUCAUUCUUGUCGUCUGGUGUGGACGCAAGAGCCACAAUUUGAUUAGUUGAGACUGGUUUGCUUGCAUGUUUAUGCUAUUUUAAUAUUCCUUUUAAUGUCUUUGGUUCCAUCCGAAACCAAUCUGAAUAUAAGUUUACCUUUGAAUUUGAUGCUAUGGGUCUUGCCCCCAUUUAUGUCCCAAUCUGGCUUUAAAAUACCCACCGACUGUCUUCUUUUCCCCCGUUUUAUUUUCUUUUCUUUCUUGGUCUUUUUGCAUGCUUCUGUAUCUACGUUUCUUCCCUUUCUUUACCUUGGUAUUCUCGGAUAUGGAGACCAUGAGCAUUCCGAGAAAGUUGGGAACUUGAUAAAGGCUGUGUAAAACGGGUUUUCUUGGAGUUAAACAGAUGCAGAGGUUACCAUAGUUCUUGAGGGUUCUUAGUUUAUGGCAUCGCUCAUUCCACCUGGACGGAAAUUCUCACCAAUUCCACCUGGAUGUAUUACAUCCGGAAUUCUGCCCGACCAACGUUCUACUCUUAUUCGGAUGUCUCACAGCCACAAUUCUAUCCGGCCGACAUCCCAUUUUCUUCGGAUGUCUCACAGCCGCAAUUCUAUCCGGCCGAUAUCCCACUUUCUCCGGAUGUCUCACAGCCGCAAUUCUAUCCGGCCGAUAUCCCAUUUUCUCCGGAUGUCUCACAGUCGCAAUUCUAUCCGGCCGACGUUCCACCUUCUCCUCUAUUCGUUUCUUUGAUUGGGAACUUAUUGUUUUAAAUUGAAUUUUUGAACCAUUGUUCGACUAAACAUUCUCAACUUUGAAAAAUUCAUCUUUAGACUUUCUCUAGGCAAUAAAAUCCAGACUUCAACACUCUUUUGCUGCCAUUUUCCUUCCGGCACGCGUUUUCACUAUUUUACUUGAUUUUCAACUGAUUUUCUUGAUUUUCCCAAGCAUGAACAAACUUCAUGAUUCCAAACAAUGGAAUUCAUUGAAUCAAUACGUGCAAAAGUAAUAUGGACUUUGGUGGGUGGUCCUACAUUCUUGAUAUCUUCACUAAUAUUGAUUUUAAAGAUGAUUGUUUGGUAUUUAAUUGAUUUUGAUUCCUCUUGGAGGUAUGCUUGAAUUUGUUUCAUAUUGGUUAUUGGGUUAACCUUGCUUCCCAUAAAGGCGCUUUAGCUUGCUAUCCAAGUACGCUCCUUCUCAUUUUUUUUUCGAGAAUUCUAUGGACACGUACGCUAUUGGUGACUAUAUCCAUGCAUGAUGUGAUUCUUGGGUGUUUAAAUAUAUACUAGAUUUGCCUGGAUAAGACACAUGUUGUGUGAUAGAUUUCUACACUAACUCUUAUGUUUCAUGAUAGCGCUUGGGAAGCCGUUCAGGUACGCACUUCGACUCUCUCCUAUGGUUUGUUUUCUUGUUAGGCAUGCAAUAUUUGAAAUCACCUAGCCUACUUAGGUAUCCAUAAUUAACUGAUUAAUGGCCACACUUCCCUUAACUUUGUCAGUAGAGACCUUUAUAAGGCUUAGAGGGGUGCUACCUUUCAAAGGUACCUUCCCAAUAGGUAACCUGAUCUCCGGAUUUAGACUCGGGUUUUUCAAAGACACACUUUUCCAAAAAUUAUGGAGUCAUUUUUUAGGGUUUUAUUUCUUAUUUUAUUUUCCCUUUAAAAAUAAAAAUAAAAUAAGUGGCGACUCCGACUUUUCCAAAAAUUAAUUUUUCACAAAUAAAAAGCGAGUCUCGCCGAUCGAGUGGGGGCGCACGUGAAAAAUGCGGGUCCACACCAUACAAGGAUCUUUGUAGUUUUGUUUCCCGUUGAAACACUCAACAUGCUAUCCUGGUACGCUCUCUAUCAUGUACUUUCAAGAAUUUUAUGAACAUGUAUACUAUUGGAGACUAUAUCCUUGUUUGAUGUAAUCCUUAGGUGCUUAGAUGUAUGUUAGAUUUGCUUGGAUAAAAUGCAUGUUGUGUAUAAUAUUUCUAUACUAACUUUGAUGUGUUAUGAUAGCGCUUGAGAAGUAGUUCAGGUACACACUUUGACUCUUUUUUAUGAUCAUGAUUUGACUUUCUGGCUUGGCAUGUUAAUUCUAAAAUCACCUUAGUGUACCUAGGUACCUUCAAGCAAUUAAUUAAUUGCCAUAUUCCCCUCGACAUAGCCAGUAAAGACCUCUUUAGGGCUUAGAGGGUUACUACCUUUUUGAGGUACUUUCCCAAUAAGUAACCUGAUCCUCAAACCUAGACUUGGGUUUUCAAAGACACGUUUUUCCAAAACUAUGGAGUCACUUCUUUAGGGUUUUCUUUUUUGUUUUAUUUUUCCUUUUAAAAUAAAUUAAAAUAAGUGGCAACUCCAACUUUUCCAAACUAAUUUUUCACCAUUAAAACAAAAGGGAGUCUCGCCGAUUGAGUGGGGACGCAUGUGAAAAACGCGGGUCCACACAUAUAUUCCUUAUGGAUUAGGUCAUUGUUGAUGGAAGCCGGUAGCAAUAGGUAUUCUUAAUAAAGACACUAUGAUAUCUUUUGGGAUUGAAACAAUGUAUCCUCUUAGGUGAUCUUAAGGAAGUGUGUUCAUGGAAACUAUGACCAUAGUAGUUCGUUAGGUGGAACUUGACAUGGGCUCUUUUAGAGCUAAGAUAUGUUAAUUGAACACACAAUAGGAGGACUUGUAACUCAAGGAUGGUAGAAGUAAUCUUGAAAGGUUGAUAACUUUCACCUUGUUAGACUACGGACACCAAUUCAUGGGGAGACUGAACACAAUCGGUAGUAGGUCAUAAACCCAAGCACUUAGUGUCUCGUUGUUAUUUACAUAGGAUACUAGAGUUUAAUUAAUUCUCUGUAGUGGGAUGUUGAAUCAACUUUAGAAUUGGAUUAUCAGAGAGCCAGUAUUCCUAUGGGUCCUAAUGGUCCCCGCUUUGAGCUCAUAUACCUUGUUGGCGCAUAUUAUGAGGGUAAGAUUAAUUCUAGAUUCACUUUUGUGCAUAAGGGCAUUUUGGUAAUUACGCAAGGUUGCAUAGGGGUAAGUAAACAAGGUCUCUGGAUUGGGCUAAUUGAUUAAUUAGGAGACCUUAUUGGGUUGAUUAAUCAAUUAGAACCCAUUUUGGGCUAGAUUAAGUGACCCAAGCCCAUGUAGGCUUAAGUCACUUAAGCCCACUUAGGAACCUUAUAAAUACCCCAUGGGGGUUAGGGUUUCCAUAGCUUUUGUAUUCCACCAUCUAGAAAGAUAAAGAGCCAUAACCUCCACUAUAUUUUCCUCCAUAUCGGAAGUGUGCCAAGAUCAAGGUUCGAGUCAUCGGGCGAAAGACUUUGGGUUUACAAGACUUCUAUGACUUUGGUCUUCAUCUUCACUAUGUGAAUUUGAUUUGAGAACAUUUGAAUAUGAGGUAUGGUUUCAUUAGCACUUUUUGAAUCCUUUUAAAGUAUAAAAAUGUUAUUUUUCUGUUGUGCAUAGGAUUUAGAAAAAGCCUAAGAUAGUUAUGCAUGUUCCUAACCUCAUUCAAACUUGGGAAAUGGAUAGAUCCAGGUUUUUCCCUUCAUUUAGUUAUGAGACCUUGAGCUAGUUGAAAAACUUUGUUAAAGUUACUCACUAGUUUUCUAACUUCAACUAAUGCAUCAUAAAUGCCUUUGAACUCCCUUAUAUAUUCAUCAAGAGAUCUUGUGCCUUUCUUUACCCCUUAAAGUCUAUUGGUUAGUUGCACCUCCAUCUAUUUGGUAAUUGGUAGGAGCUUCUCUUCUAGAGAGAGUUCCAAACAUUAUAGGAAAUCUCCAUUCCAUCUAAUAGAAGCAUUAAUUUUUUUUUUCAUGAGUCCAAGAAGCUAAGAGGUAAGUAGACCAUCAUUGUGAGCCAAUGUCUAUAUUGAUUGGUCAUGGGUCUUCUUUGUUUUAGCAUCCAUUAUCUCCUCUUAUGUGCUUCUAUUUUCAGAAAGAUGAUGGAUUAAAACAAGACUUCAAACAAGGGGAAGAACUUGUGAGUACCACAAAAAGAGAUUGGAUAUAUUCGGUUUGAGGGAAAUGAGGCUUGAGCACUAAUGAAAGGCCUGGAUGCUAAGAAUAAUUUCUUGGUUCACCAUAGAUUGUUUUAGGUUUACUUGCUUUGAUACCAUUGUUAGCAUCUUAGAUCUAAGUAACAAAAGCAAAACCAAAUUUUCAAAAAUUUGAUUCUAUAGGAUUAAAGUACUAACCUUUAGGUUUGGAUGUUCCUAUACCUUAAAUUCCAAGUGUGGAAGAUGACCUUGAAGUCUCAUAGACCUACGAUCUUUUGUUUGAUGGCUCAAUCUUGUUCUUGGCACACUUCUGAUUCGUCCCUAGCAGCGGCAGUGGCAAUGGCACCAUUUGAUUCGAGGUUCGAUCCCCGGCAACGGCGCCAUUUGAUUCGUGCCCACUUGGUGUCUCAGCUGAUUCGUGUCCAGCUGGUGCUCCUUGAUUGAGGGAGUAAUCAACAAAAUUUAUAACCUAUUACACCAUAUACUAGGGUAGCAAAGACAAAGCUACUAUAGCAUAGUGGCUCUAGGAUCGUUCACUGGGAUGGGUUUUCACUUUGCAAAUGAUAUUAAUUCAAAGCUGAAUUGGUGUCUUUUCAUUUCAAGGUUAGCUUUAAAAGAAAACAUAAAGAUGUUUGAAUGAAAAAGGUUUAGAUUUAAACUAACCAAAAAGAAAGUAAUGGGAAUUACUUAUGAAGAAAAGUGUUUCUUGGAGUUUAGAUCACUAGGCUCAGAUUCCUCAUACAAAAAGGGAGUUCCGGUCACUUGUUUAUUUUCCUCGCAUUAGAGAAUUAACAUAUAGUUCCUUCUCCAACCGGUUUUGUACAGAUGCUUCCCAUUAAUGGGUUCAAACACUAAAUCCCUCUCACUGAUGCAACUUGCAAUGGUUCAUGCCUCUCACCUAGCACUUGCCAUUCAAGGUGAUCUUUAACCUUGGAUUACCCGUCAAAAGCUCGCAAGAGAUAACUAAUGGAUGUCUCCUUGGAGUCCAAAAGCUUACCAAGUGUUGGCUAUUCUAGAAAAUCCUACCUUCAAGUCACCUCCCAGAGGCUCGCAAGAGGUAAACUAGUGCAUCUCCAUGGACGGAGAUCACUUGCCUUACCAAGUGUUGGCCCAGGUGAUUUAAAGGCGUUUUAAGUUAACUAAAAACAUAGAAAUCACUAACGGGUUACACUUUCUCUUCAUUAAAAACUAAAACAACAAAACAUCCAAAUUAUGCAUGUGGAAACUUACCCGGCUUUCCUUACUCCAAGAGACAAAAAGCUUAGCCUCUCAUCCUCUGUGGAAAAAUCCUCAGAGUUUGGUUGGCUAGAAAGAAAAAUAAAUGAAAAANNNNNNNNNNNNNNNNNNNNNNNNNNNNNNNNNNNNNNNNNNNNNNNNNNNNNNNNNNNNNNNNNNNNNNNNNNNNNNNNNNNNNNNNNNNNNNNNNNNNUCCCAACACUAUUAAAGAGAGGUUAAAGGUGUCAAAUUAUGAUUUCUCAAGCUUAGAGGGUGAGAUAGUUUCACAUCUUAUAACCGGAAUCUAAUGUAUGUGUGUGCGAAUAGCUUAAGGUGGAAGAGAUAAGUUUGCAUGCAAUGGGAGUUUCAACAAUUCAUCAACUUUUAGAAGAGCAUAAUACAAACUCUAAGACUCAUGUAAUCAAGUUGAAACUCGACUUCUCUCAUUUAAUUUUGAGAGUUAAUCCUUAAUAUCCAUGGAGUUUAAAGCAAAAAUUUUAAAAAUUAAGCAAAAAGUAGCUAAUUUACUAAAAUAACUUAGCAUUAAUAACAAAACUUACUUCCUCAACUCUCCCCCCAACCAAGCUGAACAUUGUCCUCAAUGUGACAAAAGCGAUUAAAAAAUAGGGAGGAAGUAGUACCUCCUUAAUGACAUGGAGUUUGAGUCGUAUAGGAGAAACCACAUGUUUCAAAGAAAACAUAAGAGUUAGUAAGUAGAGGAAAUAGAAAAAUGCCAAGUUUAUACAAAAAUGAUGUCUAUGUAUGAUGUAUCAUCAGUAACACAUCCAAUUCCAAAAUAUAAGACAUCAAAACAUGGAGCUAAGUAUACUAAUAUAAUAUGUAAAGACCAAAAAAUAAAGAGAUGAUCAAGUAAUGGUAGGGUCUUGUGGAGCUGAUGUGUCUGUGAUGGCCUCUUGAGUGGGUUGGAUCAGGACUUUGGCCUCUGUUCUGGUAGUCUCCUUAGGUGGCAUAGUCUCCUCAACUGGAGCUCUCAGUUGGAGCUAUGAGAUUUGAUGGUUUAAGGAGGUCAGAAAUGGAAUGAGAGGCUUAGUGUGUGUGAUCCCAAGGUGUGUGAGGCUCUCCUCUUCAUAUGCAUGGUUGCAGGGCUCUAUUGGCAUUUUAGCAACUUCUCUUGGCUUUGCAAAAUGUUUUUGCAAAUCACCCUCCAUUUCGCAAGUCAAUUUUGUAAUUUGAAGGCCAUUUCUAAGAUUGGAGGUGAUUUCGCAACCAUUUCAAAGCUUGGAGAUCAUUUCGCAGAAAAGUGGCAUGUUCACAGACCAUUUUUGAAGCUUGGAGCAUUUUCGCAGCUCAUAGGUGAUUUCGCAGCCAUAUCGAAGCUUGGAGAUCAUUUCAUAGCCAUUUCAAAGCUCAAAAGUGAUUUCGCAGGUGUAUCACAGCUUCAAAAUGAGGGGAAUUGUGCUGCAAAUGGCACUCGUGUGCCAAAAAGUGGUUUCGCAGCUGCGAAACACCCUUUCAAAUGGCGUCUCGGCUGCGAAAUUCCCGUUCAGCUUUGCGCGCUUGUCUUCAAACGACCAUAACUUCUUCAUUUCAAAUCCAAAUCAAGUACCGUUUGAAGCUAUGGACUCCUGACUUCCCAAUCUUUGAAACGAGAUAUCAUAUGCAUAAUUUGAGCUCCAGGAAGUGCUUCAAAAAUGUGUCCAACAGUAGCAAAAUUGAGGUGCGACAUUUCCGCUCAUGGUUUGCACAGUCUUCUUCAAACGGUCAUAACUUUUCCGUUUCAAAUCCAAAUCAAGUACCGUUUGAAGCUGUGGACUCGUGACUUCCCAAGCUUUCCAACGAGAUAUUUCAUGCAUAAUUUGAACUUCAGGAAGUGAUCGAAAUGUGCCCAACAAUUUCCGAAAUGAGGGUGCGGCUGUGAAAUUGGGAUUUUUCACUUUUGGGACUUCGCAGCCAUUUCGCAGCUGCGAAAUGAGGGUCACUGUGCUGCGAAAUGGCACUCGUGUGCCAAAACCGGCUUCGCAAUUGCGAAAUACCCUGCGGAAUGGAGCUUUUGGUGCGAAAUCAGGCUUUACCACUUCGCAAUGCGUUUCGCAGCUGCGAAAUGGAUGCUACUGUACUGCGAAGUGGCACUCGUGUGCCAAGAUUGGUUUCGCAGCUGGAAAAUACCCUGCGGAAUGGAGCUUUCCCUGCGAAAUGGAGGAUUUCAUGCUUUGGUGGUUCGCAGCCGCUUUCGCAACUGCGAAAUGGGGGCUCCUGUGCUGCGAAGUGGCACUCGUGUGCCAAAUUUGGUUUCGCAGCUGCGAAAUUCCCUCGCAGAGACUUCUACAGUGUUGCGGAAUGGUUUGGCAACAAAAUGCCGAUUUCGCAGAGGCUGCGAAAUCUCGCAGACCCCUGUUUUUCCCCUGUUUUUGCUCCGUUUGACUCCGAUUUUGCUCCAAUUUUGCUCCGAUUUUUUUCCUUCAAUUUCUUUGCAAUUCCUCUUGAUUUUGAUCAUCCAAAAACCUAUAUUACAUCAAAACAAACUAGAAUUAAAGCAUUGAAAUCAAAAUUAAAGCAUUGAAAUCAAAAUUAAAACAAGAAAUUGACAAAACAAAAAGAUAUGGACUAGCUAGUCUUUAAAAAGACUAAGUCCAUCAAAAAAUUUGAUCCUGAUUUAGCUUGCCCGGAUCCCAUAUGAAGUUUGCAUCCCUCCCUUGAGACGUGAUUUGUAUGAUUUUCCCAUACAAAGCUUGGAAAAAAGGUGGACGCAUGUAUUUCUUCAUCAAUUCUUCCUUGAUGACUAUCCUCUGUGAUUUUUCAUCUAUACCAAAAUCAUAGUCAUCUUUCUCUAUACUUUUCCCCUUUUUCUUUCCUUUGAUUUCCUCCCUCUUUUCUUUCUCUGUUUCACUCUCUACCUUAUGCUCUAGCUUGCAUGUGGGCAAAUCAACCUCUUUACCACUCCUCAGAGUGAUCACUUCUUUGACUUCCCUCACCAUUGAAGAUUCUUCCUCUUGAGCCUCCAUUACAUGGAUGCCCAUGGAAUUUUGAUAAGGUUGAGAAGGAGAGUUUUCUUUCUCUUGCACUGUGUUGAGGUUGGCUAACCUUGAGAUUGAAUCUUGGAGAAUAUCUAACUUUUGGGCCAUAUCAUUUUGUAUUUCAUCCAUCCUUUUAUUCAAAGUACUCUCCAUUCUGUCAAUUCUUUUAUUGACUCGAGCAUUGGUGGCUUCUUGCUUUUCAAUAAAAUCACUCACGACCUUGCAAAGAUUCACCAUAGCUUGUUCAAGGAUUGAGGCUUGCUGUGGUGCUUGAGCAGGUUGCUGAUACUGAGGUGGCUGUGGUUUCCAAGAGAAAUUUGGAUGGUCCCUCCAAUUGGAAUUGUAGGUGUUGCAAUCACCAAACAUUUCCCUCUCGGCUGGAAUGGUAGGACACUCAUCCACCAAGUGCUCAUAUGAUAGACAAAUGGCACAAGGCAUAGCUUGCAAUGGUGUUUGAGAGAUGGCUUGCACUGGUUGCAUAUUUGUCAUUUCUAGCUCUUCCAAUCUCCUUACCAUAGCUGCAAUUUCUGCCUUCAUGUUCAUACCAUCAUUCAAAAUAUACAUCUCACCCUUAGCUUUAGGUUGAGACGUCAUUCUUCCCAUAUCUCUAGCAUUUGGUUCACCCCAUUCUCUUGAGACUUCAGCCACAUAACUCAUGAAGUUCAUGGCUUCCUCUGCUAUCUCGUAUUCAAUAUGGCAUGCACAACUAGCAAUUUGUGAAUUAAGAACAGAGAACACAAAAGAAAACAAAAGAAAAACAAUUCAAAGAAAGAAAAUUAAGGUAAACUAAAAACUAAAGAAAAGGUAUACUAAAAUAUGAACAAUAAAGAAAUAAAAAGAGUUAGCAAAAGGAAAAGAAAAGUCACCAAACUUGUGAUGAAGAUCACAAGUACUCUAGAAAAGGUGAUAUCACUGUAAAGUGGCACCAUCCCCGGCAACGGCGCCAUUUGAUUCGUCCCUAGCAGCGGCAGUGGCAAUGGCACCAUUUGAUUCGAGGUUCGAUCCCCGGCAACGGCGCCAUUUGAUUCGUGCCCACUUGGUGUCUCAGCUGAUUCGUGUCCAGCUGGUGCUCCUUGAUUGAGGGAGUAAUCAACAAAAUUUAUAACCUAUUACACCAUAUACUAGGGUAGCAAAGACAAAGCUACUAUAGCAUAGUGGCUCUAGGAUCGUUCACUGGGAUGGGUUUUCACUUUGCAAAUGAUAUUAAUUCAAAGCUGAAUUGGUGUCUUUUCAUUUCAAGGUUAGCUUUAAAAGAAAACAUAAAGAUGUUUGAAUGAAAAAGGUUUAGAUUUAAACUAACCAAAAAGAAAGUAAUGGGAAUUACUUAUGAAGAAAAGUGUUUCUUGGAGUUUAGAUCACUAGGCUCAGAUUCCUCAUACAAAAAGGGAGUUCCGGUCACUUGUUUAUUUUCCUCGCAUUAGAGAAUUAACAUAUAGUUCCUUCUCCAACCGGUUUUGUACAGAUGCUUCCCAUUAAUGGGUUCAAACACUAAAUCCCUCUCACUGAUGCAACUUGCAAUGGUUUCAUGCCUCUCACCUAGCACUUGCCAUUCAAGUGAUCUUUACCUUGGAUUACCCGUCAAAGCUCGCAGAGAUACUAAUGGAUGUCCUCCUUGGAGUCCAAAGCUUANNNNNNNNNNNNNNNNNNNNNNNNNNNNNNNNNNNNNNNNNNNNNNNNNNNNNNNNNNNNNNNNNNNNNNNNNNNNNNNNNNNNNNNNNNNNNNNNNNNNCAUGUAUCGGGUAGCUUCAGGAGGAAUUCCAUAGCACUGUACAAAAAGGCUGCGAAAUUCUCGCAACAAAAGGCUGAUUUCGCAACACUUUGGAGUGAUCUGCUUGCAAUGGCUGUAACUCCUUCGUUUCAACUCCGAAUCAUGCACCGUUUGAAGCAUUGGAUUCUUGACUUCCUGAGCUUUGAAAUGGUAUAUAGAAUGUAGAAAAUGGACUUCGGGAAGUGCUCCAAAAGUGCGCAUGAAGACUGCAGCUGCUUGUCCUCUGUUUUCUUCACUCUGUUUUCCUCUUCUCCUUGCUUCUCUCCUUGCAUACUUUGAACGACUUUGGCAAAGGGCUAUGGAGCUCCAAAGCUUGGUUCUUCAUGAAUUUGAGCUUCCAAUAGCUUUGCCAUGAACUAUAUACAAUUCUCCCUCAUUCUUGGAUUGUUUUGGUGAUCAAAUUACUAACAAAAACACCAAAACUUACACAAUUUGAUCAAAAUUGAUUGCAAGGGUCCUUAACAUGUUAAUUGGGUUAAAAGGCAAUAACUACUACUCAAAAGUGUUUAAAAGGAUUAAUUACAAGCUAUGAAAUAGCACUUUUUGAGUAGUAAUCAACUUCCGAUGGGAAGAAAAGAAGGGUGGAGGCUAUGACUCUUUAUUUCUCUUUGGAUGGUGGAAGACAAAAGUGAUGGAAAUCCUAACCCUUAUGAGGUAUUUAUAGGGUUCCUAACAAAGCUUAAGUGACUUGAGCCCACAUAGGCUUGGGUCACUUAAUUUAGCCCAAACUGGAUUUUAAUUGAUUAAUUAACCUAAUAGGACCUAUUAAUUAAUUAAUUAGCCCAAUCCAGAGACCUUGUUCACUUACUUUUGUGUAACCUUACGUAACUACCAAAACACCCUUGUGCACAAAAGUGAAUCUAGAGCUAAUCUGACCCUUAUAACUCAUGCCAAUAAAGUAUAUGAGCUUAGAGUGGAGACCACUAGGAAACAUAAGAGUAUUGGAUCCCUCAGAAUCCAAUAUUGAAGUUGAUUUAACAUCAUAUUAUAGAGAAUCAACUGAACUCCAACAUUCUAUGUAAAUAACAAUGAGACACUAUAUACUCAAGUCUGUGACUUACUAUCCUUUACGCUUAGUCUCCCCAUGAAUUGGUGUCCGUAGUCUAACAAUGUCAAAUUUAUCAACCUUUCAAAACUACCUCUACUCUCCUUGAAUUAUAAAUCCCCCUAUUGUAUGUUCAACAAAGAUGUCUUAGUUCUCAAAGAGCCUAUGUCAAGUUCUACUUAAGGAACUGCUAUGAACAUAGUUUUCAUGAACACACCUCCUUAGGAUCACCCAAGAGGACACUCAAUCUUAAUCUCAUGAGAUAUCAUGGUACUUCUAUUGAGAAUACCUAUUGCUAUCGGUUUCCAUCAACAGUGAUCUCCAUAGGGAAUAUAUGAUCAGCUUAUGAUGUCACCUAUAGGUUAAAACCACUGGUAGCUUUAACACAAACUCAAUAUUCUCUAAAGACAACAAUCGCCUUGCGAACAAGUGAUCUAUUUACAAAGAACCCAUAACUUGGAUCUUUCGUGUAACUCUUAAUGCACCCAAAUUAGGUACAAUGCAAAAGAUGUUGGCAAGAAUGCUCAUAAAGUGUAAUGCAUGAAAUAAGGAUAAAUAAAAGUGAAACCGCAAUAUCAAUAAAUAAUGAAUUCCAAAUUUUGUUACAUCGUGUCAUACUUUUAAGAGCUUUGUCCUAACAACCUUGAAGAACAUAAAAGAAUUUUUCAAAGGUGAACUAGAUACCUUGUUUGUCGGUUGUUUACUUUACUUAUAGACAAUUAUAAUGUUGAAAAGAAUAAAAAAAAUCACAUUUUCUUUACAUAAUAAAGGGAAUACUAUACAUAAAAAGGUAAGUAAAGGAUUUCCUUCCAACCUUGAUUUUCCACAUAUUGCGAACAUGGAGAGUAGUAGCAGCUUUCCAUUCUGGUUGUAACUUUUUAUUUCUCAGGCAAAGAUUCUUCCUUAGCAGAUUGUAUGCUGCAACUUUCCAUUAUCAGAUUUUAACGCAAAGAUUCUUCCUUAGCGGAUUGUAUGUUGCAACUUUCCAUUAUGCUAUAGCUUUCCAUUAGUAUUAGAUUGCAUGUUGGAGUUUCCUUUAUUGCAUUUGGAUAAUGUUAGCCUCAUAAGAAAAUUUUAGACAAAUUAAUACACCAAUGAAAGUUCAAUUGAGAUAGUUAAGGCACAAUCAUGUUUCUCAAAAUUUGAGGACUUUUAAAUGAUAUUAGCUUUUUAUUUUUAUUAAAUAGUAGACUCUCUAAGGAAUUUAACCAUCCACAACGUUGAUACAUAACUAAUGGAAUACUUAGAGUAUCUCCAUUACUUGAUAAAAUGAUCUUGUCAGAUUCACAUUUAUUUUACUUGAUCUUCCUACAUAGCAGUUCCAAUGCUACGCCUAGACGCUUAUGAAGCCUAUGGGGUCACUUCUGUAAUUGGAUAACCAGCACUGAAAACCGUCAUCUUCUUCUGGAAAUCCUAGCUAUUCUUAGCAUGAUAUUGGGGAAUCUCAUUGCUAUUACUCAAACAAGCUCUAGCAAAUGUAGGGAAAUAUUUGAUACACCAAUCAAUCGAAUAUUGAUUAAUAUGUAAUCGAUCGAACACUACUUGAAAACGACUCUUCUGCUCAGAAACGAAAUGUUCCAAAUGUUCCUAGAAAUUCUUGCUCUGAUAAGAUCCUUCCAUUUAGCAGCACCUUAGGAUGGCAUAGCCUUAACUUCUUAUCUCAUUUGGACUAUGAUGGCCUAGUAUAAAAAUUCUAGAUAAAUUGAUGAAAAACAAAGAGAUUUAACUAAGGCAGCUUUGGACAACUUGUAUAUUUUGAAAUUCUUGAAUGUUUUAAUCAAGGAUUAUGACCUUUAGUUAAUUUUAUACGUUAGUAUUGAAAAUAAAACCAGAGAGUCUAAUUCCAUUAUGUUUUAGAUUCACUUAUCUAGGAAAAGAAUUUGGUAAAUGUCAAAAUAUUUUUAGCCUGGUGUACAUAAACAAUUUUAGAUUCCAAGAAUUGUUGUAAUAUUUGAUUUUGUUAUAGGCUUCCAUAUAACUUUUAUAAUUUACUAGAAUCAUCAUGGAAUAGAUUUGGACAGUUUCAUAAUUUUUGGAACUUAUUUGUUUAGAAUGAAAAAUCAAGAACGUGAGUAGUAUUUCAAUAUGCUAUUUUGGGUAAAUCUAGAACCAAUUCAUCUUAAGGCUUAGUUGACGGUCUUUUAGUAACCAUUUAACUUAUCAAUUUCUAAUUAUUUGAUUUUUUUCAAUGGUCUUAAUGGUUUAAGUUUCACUCAAAUUGUACUCUAUUUGCCUAGAUUAUUAUUUUUAGAAAAUUUGCAUAUUUCAAUUUUGUAAAGCCUCAAGAUCAUAGUUCUAGCUUCUAUAUUAAUUCCUAAAUCUAUAUAUUCAUUCAAACUUUCUUCUAUAAUGGAAGAACCUUAAUUUUGAGGAGGCAUAAUAAUUCGAAUUCUAUUGUAGUUUUUACUACAAAGAUUUUUGUGAGUAGUUACAAGACAUAUAAUUUUACUAAAUUUUUCUUAAAAUAAAUAUCUCUUUCCGUGCUUAAUAUUCUUUUCUUCUUACUUUCCUUUAAAAUUUUCAUGAUCCAAACAGAACCAAAGGAAAUUUAUGUCCCAUUUAAUAGUAGACAACAAUGAGGAGAAUAUGGGAAGGGAUAGUUUCAAGGUAUUGUCAUUUUAGUCUUUAGUUGCCCUUGAAGAUUACAUGCUUUUUAGCUCAACAAUGCUUGUUGUGUUGUAUGUUGUUGAGUGUAUAAGGUCAGGUAGACAUUACUGUGUUUUGGUUUGCUUCAUUUUCAAGUAGAUCUUAUUGGAAAAAUAUGUUCAAAAGAAUGGAACUAAAGCAAGACAUGACCAAGCCUAAAACAAACAACAUGAAAAAGAAAAUUUGAAUUAGGGCACAUAUCAUAUUUGGCUGAGAUGUAACAACACUAUCCUUAAAGUAGAUUUGCCUUCUUUGAGUAUCAAACUCGGUGUAAAAUGGAACUGAUGACCUACUUCUAGGAUUAUAGAACUAGGAACCUUGCUUAUGGUACAUAUCUUUGGCAAAGAAUAAUAUAGUUCAAAUUUAAGGAUAUUCCUCUAGAUGAAAGGUUGAAGAGAAUUUUUUUUUUUUUUUAAAACCGUAGUGUUUUGAUGGUUCAAUAAAGUAGGGUGUUGAAGUUACAAUGGCUAAGUAGGCAAAUGUGUUCAAAACUUAGGAGGAGCCAAUUUAUAGGCAAUCUCUUGGAGAACGAUUGAGGGCCUUAAAGGCCAAACAACUACAAGCCUUAAAGGCUAAAUAGUUAUGUCUUAAAGACCAAACGACUAUUGGAAUUAAACCAAAAUAAAAACCCAUUUAAUCCUCUUUGACUAGAUGGAAAAAUAAAUUCCUUUUAUUCUAUUGUGAUUAAUAAAAUACAAGUUAGGGAGAGCCAUGUAGAUCUGUGUGUGUAAUCUUGUGUGGGUUUGAGAAAGGUUGGCUCAUAGGGCUUCUAAGCAUCACACAUGUGCAAAAACUUGGUGCUUGAAUUUGUGUGUGACAGUUGGCAUCAAGCUAAGUUGAUGAGGGCGUCGAAGUCUCUAAGUGGGGGUUACUAUUUUCAAAUUCAAAACCAAAUUCAAAAUUUAAAAUAAAAUUUGGAUGUGUGCGAACACAUCACACAUUAAGGGUUUCCAGUGUGAGCCACUAGAAUUCAAGUGGGGGUUACUAAUUUCAAAUUCAAAACCAAAUUUGGAUGCAUGUGAGGAUACACCUAAGCCACCUGAAUUCCCUCUCAAAUGGGCUUGGGCCACCCCCUAGGCAUACGAGGCUCCCCUCACUUCUCCACAAGCCCAUAAAGCAAAGUGAGUUAGUAUAUAUACCCAUUAAAAGUGUCUAUCCCUUUCCAAUGUGGGAUUGCCAUUUUUCUUUCCUUUUCACUUUAAAACACUCUCACAUACGCACUCUCAACCAACAAAUCUCAUCCUUUGUUUUUCUCUCAUUUCUUAAUGAAUUCAUUUCAAUGAAUAUCUAUCCUCUGAACUCAUCUAUUCCUUUGAUUCCAAACACAUACCCAGUAAACAUAUCAUCUGAACAAACCAUUGUGGUUCUUUGCCAUGCCUGGAGAAGGAUAUUUGGAAUUAUUAUACACGUUAUCUUUACAAUGAUCACUACUUACAAUGAUAAUUAUCGAUUACCAUGCUUUUUAAAUUGUAAAGUUGGCAUUCAUGAGCCUGUUUUUUCUUUGUUCUUUGUUAUGGAUAUUGCAAUCAAACUAUUUAUGUUUAAAUAUUGAGAUAGACCAUAAGUCAGAGCUCUAGUGUUGGUGCACCGGGACACUAUGCACCUACAGUUCCUAGAAGGCAGCCACGGCCGACCAGCAUGGCCCCGCAGUCGAUUCCAAUUGGAGUUACUCCUGAAGGAUAUGCUGCUGAUGAUGAAGAAACGAUGAAACUUGGAGCAAGGAGAGGUGGGAGGGCAGGAGGGUGGAGUAUAGUAUUAAGCAAGAAAAUAUAUUUAUAUAAUUGCUAAACUAUACACAAACUCGCAAUUCAUGGUGUUGUCAAUAGACUUAGUAGAUUGCAGAUACAUUAUGGAGUUGAUUGAAUUGAAUCCAAGACGAAUUUGAUGGCUGGUUUGUCUUGGAGGAACCAGACCAGGUUUCCUAGGAAGGGUUUGGCAAAGACUUCUUUUCUAAAUAGACCCCCAUUGAACAAAAUUCUUUUCAACUCUAGCAUGGUUUGACAAACACAUAAAGAACAUUUCCAACUGUAUAUAUAAAAAACACUGCUAAGGAAGCUAAGCCCUAGCUUUUUGGUCUCGCCACCCGUUUGGCUUAUAACUCACAAUUCACUAUUUCUUAGAUUUUGAAGAUUUAAUAAAAGAGAAGGGGAUUCCCAUCCUUGAAUAACACUAUGAUCACUUGAAGGACACAGAGAACAUGCAUGCAUGAGUCUAUCAAACUUACAAAUUUUUUUUACUAGCUUGAAUUUGUCAUUCCAAAUGAAGAAUUGCAAUAUCGGCAGAAAAUACUUCUUAAGAAGAUUAACAGUAUUUGCUAAACCACCACACGUAAAAGGGAAGUGAGAGUUUUCUAUUUAUAAUCAUUUACAAAAUAUGAGAAAUUAUUACAAAUCAAAUAAUAUCAAACUAAUUACAAAGGAAAUGGAAAGUUAGAGUAAAUGGAUACAAAAGAAUAGCCUACAAUCAAGGGUCAAAUAUGAUACAUAUGGUAAAUCGUAAUGGAAGGCUAAGUAUCCUUAACACCCCCCUGCAAGCUGAGCGUCGGAUUGGAACAAACGUGAAGCUUGGAUCGGAAAAAUUCAAAGAGAGGUCGAGAAACACUUUUGGUGAAGAUGUCAGCAACCUGGAGGUAGGAGGGCAUAUACUGGGUGCAAAGUUUGCCAGCGACAACAAGUUCCUGAAGGAAAUGAUAAUCUAAUUCAACAUGCUUGGCCUACUUGUGGGAAACGGGAUUGGAGCUUAAAAAGAUAGCACUUUUGUUGUCACAUAAGAGUAGUGGCUGCUAUGGAAUGGGGACCUUGAGGUCAUGCAAAAGAUGCGUAAGCCAAAGAAGUUCAACAGUAGUCAUGGCAAAGGCACGAUACUCAGAUUCACAGCUAGAGCAUGAGAUAGUAGGUUGCUUCUUUGCACUCCAAGAAACUAGAUUGUUACCAAGAUAAAUAGAGUGGUCGGAUGUGGAACGACGAGUAUCGGGACAACCAGUUCAGUCAACAUCCGAAUAAGCUACUAGUGCACUAGGAAUAGUGGAUGGACGAAAAGUAAGGCCAAAGUGGAGUGUGCCCUUAACAUAGUGAAGAAUACGCUUGACAGCAAGAAAAUGAUCUAUAGUAGGGGCGUGCAAAAAUUGGCUGACAGAAUUGACAGCAUGGGCAAUAUCUGGAUGCGUAAUGGUCAAGUACUGAAGAGCACCAACAAGAGAUCAAUAGAGAGUAGGAUCAGAGAAAGGAGAACCAUCAACAAUCAGGUGUUGGGAAACAACCAUGGGGGUGUGAACAAGUUUUGACUCUCAAGAAAAGGAAGAAGUUGGCUUUUCCAGAGAAGAUAAUUGGAGGAAGAAAACUUGAUGGUGAUCGUGUGGAUUAGAGUGUUGAAAGGAAGAAGAUGAGAAGAGGAUUCGGAAGCCAUGGAGAAGAAGGGAUCGGGGUUGCUAAACCAGACGGGCUCUGAUACCAUAACAGUAUUUGCUAAACCACCACACAUAAAAGGGUGGUGAGAGUUUUCUAUUUAUAAUCAUUUACAGAAUAUGGGAAAUUAUUUCAAAUCAAAUAAUAUCAAACUGAUUACAAAGGAAAUGGAAAGUAGGAGUAAAUGGAUACAAAAGAAUAGCCUAUAAUCAAGGGUCAAAUAUGAUACAUAUGGUAAACCGUAAUGGAAGGCUAAGUAUCCUCAACAGAAGAAACCAACUUGAUUGAAAAAGGAAUAGAUCAAGGAUUACUACAGUGAGCAAAAAACUGAAUAUCCAAAAUGAGCAUAAUUACAAGUUCUAUUUUUCUGGACACUAACCAAAGAUUGAAAAAGAGCUCAACCACAAGUCUGAUUCUGCAUGAGAAUUAAUUACAUGACAAAAGGUUGGAAAAUAAAAAAGAGAAUAGUAGAUGUUCCUCGAUGUCACAGAAAUGCUACUUCAAGAGUGGCUCAUUGGCAUUCCGGAGGUUUUCAUCUUCUUCAGAUUGAACCUGUAGAAAGCUUCCGGAUGAUCACCCCUGAAACAGCUCUCUCAACAUAAUAAUGGGGAAUGGUUUUUGCAAUGGUGGCUUCUUAAUUGAUAGUACCUGAGAAACUUGCCUCAUGUUUGGCCGACAUUGGGGAUUCACAUGCUGGCACGCAAAUGCUAGCUUCACAGCAAACACAACUUUCUCACUCAUUUGAUCUAUGGGAGGUGGGAGGCGUUGGUCUAUUACAUCCUUCAACAACAAAGAAUCAGCCACUGCUCUAACUGAUGAUGAUGAUGAUGAUGAUGCUGAUGCUGAUGCUGAAGAAGAUGACAGGGAUGAGAUGAGAUCACCAGGAUGCCUUCCCAUGAUCACUUCCAAUGCCACCACCCCAAAGGUAUAAACAUCGGUCUUGUUAUUCACUUGGGUGGUGUAAGCAAGCUCUGCAACAUAAACAUCGCCAAUCCUACACUUGAUUUUUACAAGAGCAAUCACACACUUGAAGCAAUGACAACUUAAUUACCUGGAGCACUAUACCCAAAGGUGCCUGCGAAGGAGGUCCAAUUGGAUUAUGAGUCUGGCUUUAAAAGCCUUGCUGUGCCGAAGUUUGAUACAUGAGCCUCAUAUUGAGAGUCCAGUAAAACAUUUUUACUGGAUAUGUCCUUGUGAAUAAUAGGGGGUGAACAAUCAUGAUGCAUAUAAGAUAAUGUCUCCACCACACCUUUCACUAUAUUUAGCCUCCUACUCCAAUCCAACCUAAUUGCUUCUUCCUCGUUGCUUAGAAUGUUUCUUAGGCUUCCCUUCUCCAUCAGCUUAUAGACCAAAAACGAGUGCCUUGCAUGUGAGCAAUAGCCAUAAAACUUCACAAUGUUGCGAUGUCGAAUUUCUGUUAAGGCCCGAAUUUCACUUGUAAAAGCUGUCACACUAGUACUACUCAUCUCACCAUCUUGUGGAGGGUGAAGCUUUUUCACAGCAACAACCCGACCAGUUAGGAGAUCAGCCUUAUAAACUGUGCCAUGUCCUCCACUCCCAAUACAAUAUUUAGAGUUGAAGUCCUCAGUCACCUCAAUGAUAUCUUGAUACAAUAUCUCUCCAUCAUGACCCCAUAUUGCAAAUAGAUUUUCACAUGGUGUUUCACUGGACUUGCUUUUUCUGUUCCUUACUCUCUAGUACAGGGUAAAAUAAAUUCCCAUGGAAAUGCAUAGAAGAAAUAAGGAGCUGGAGAUAAUCAAAAUCAUAGACCUAUUGUUCUUCUUUCAUGUGAAUGGGAUACGGGGCUUCAUACCAGUGACAUUGCCACAUAAACCAUCAUUGUUUAUGAAUGCCUCAAAUGGAGCCUCCUGGAAAGCUUUGAUGUCGGGGAGAGGUCCCUCCAAGUGAUUAGAGGAUAAAUCAACAGAUGUCAAACUCAACAUAUCUUCAAAAGUGGAUGGGAUGGAACCAAAGAGUUCAUUGUGGGAGAGAUUCAAUGCUUCUAAGCGUUGUAAUUCUGCAAGCUGUGGUGGUAUUUUCCCAUUCAGCAUAUUUUGACUGAGAUCGAGACUUUGAAGAGAAUGUAUGUUCCCGAUCUCAUCAGGAAUGCUAUCCCCAAAUUCAUUCUUGCUCAAGUUCAAGAAGAAUACUUUAGAAAGUUUUCCCAGUUGUUUGGGAAUUGAACCACUUAAGUUGUUUGAUGCCAAGCUAAGAUGCUCAAGAUUAACAAGAUUUCUCACUUCCCAAGGAAUGUUGCCUGAAAGGUGGUUGUCGCUUAACGCCAAAUGGAACAUUGAGGUUAGCUUACCCAAUUCUCUAGGGAUUUUCCCAAGUAGAUGAUUCGAGGAGAGGUCAAGUUGAUGCAGCUGAAUUGCUUCCCCAAGUUGAGCUGGUAAGACACCAGAAAGAUUGUUGUUGGAGAUUUUUAGGCUUGUUAAGCUAUGGCACUGGCCCCAUUCCGGAGAAAGCUCACCAUACAAAUUGUUGUAACUCAAAUCCAUAUAACUCAAGUUUGGGUAUACACCAAAAGCUUCAAUUAUGUUUCCUCUAAGUUGGUUUUGUUCGAGCCUAACUUAGACUAAGCUAGUGCAAAUUCUCAAGCUUGUUGGAAUAGGACCAGUGAAAUUGUUGACCAAGGCUGUAAAAUUUUCAAGUCCUCCACCUAGGCAUAUUUGCUGAGGUAAAUGGCCAGUGAAAUUAUUCUCACCUAAUUGCAAAGAUUUCAAAUGUAUGAGAUUAUCCAUUUCUAGAGGGAUAGAGCCAGAAAGUUUGUUAUGAUGAAGGGACAAAUGGGUUAAGUUCAUCAAAUUUCCUAUGGAAGGAGGAAUGGGACCACUGAGAUUGUUGAUUGAUAACACAAGAUCAUUAAGAGAUCUUAACAAUCCAAUUUCCUGAGGAAUGGAACCAGAAAGGUUGCUCUUAUAAAGAUACAAACAGGUUAAAUUCCUUAAGUUUCCUAUGGAAGGAGGGAUUGGACCUUCGAGAUUGUUGAUUGACAAGUCAAGACAAUUAAGAGAUCUUAACAACCCAAUUUCUUGAGGUAUGGAACUAGAAAAUUUGUUAUCAUUAAGGAAUAAAGAGGUUAAGUUCCUCAAGUUUCCUAUGAAAGAAGGGAUGUGACCACUGAACUUGUUGAUUGACAAAACAAGAUCAUUAAGAGAUCUUAACAAUCCAAUUUCCUGAGGAAUGGAACCAGAAAGGUUGUUCUCAUAAAGAAACAAACUGGUUAAAUUCCUUAAGUUUCCUAUGGAAGGAGGGAUUGGACCUUCGAGAUUUUUUAUUGACAAGUCAAGACUAUUAAGAGAUCUCAAGAAUCCAAUUUCUUGAGGAAUGGGGCCAGAAAGAUUGUUAGUAUCAAAGCACAAAGUGAUUAACUUCGUCAAGUUUCCUAUGGAUUGAGGGAUGAGUCUGACAAAGACAUUAUAUGACAAAAAAAGUUCUUCAAGAGACCUCAACAUUCCAAUUCCAUAUGGAAUAUCACCGGAGAGGGCAUUGAUAGACAAGCUAAGGAAGGUGAGCUUGGAAAGGUAGGUGAUGUUAGAGGGGAUUGUUUUGUAGAAUGAGUUUUUUUGAAGAUUGAGAUAGAGUAGGUCAGGGAGAGAUGAAAAAUCGAGAUUGUAGAGUGUACCUCUUAGACCACAACUACUAAGAUUUAGGUGGGAGAUGGUUCCUGCAGGAUUGUUGCAAGUAACUCCAAACCAAUGAUAGCAAGGAUUGCUUCCGGACCAAGAAGAGAGGAAGGACUGGGAUUGAAUAUCAAGACUGCUUUUCCAUGUUAGAAAGGAGAGUGCUUCCUGUCCCUGUUUAAUGGUAGAGGCAGAAGCACAUGGAAAGGAGACAUGGAAUAAUGAUAUUGAAUAAAGGGGGAAAAGAAGAAAGAUUAAGAAGCUAGGAAUGAUGGUAAUUGUAGGGGGAGUGAGAAAUAGGAUGUAGGAUAUUCAGAGGCCAUUGUUGGAUGGAUGGAAAUGAAAGGAUAUUCAAGGACUUAUUUAUACGCUCAAACUCAAAUAUGCCUCCAACAUUUCCAUUAGUUGUGUUGAUAUCCCAUCGCCAAUUAAAGCAUUUGGAAAGAAAUCAUAUACAUGUCCAAGCUUAAUUAAAUUAAUUUACUUUAUUUUUAUUGAAAUGCUCUUAGUUUUCUGUUAAAACUUGCACACACAAAAUCAGUACAAAUUUUCCUUUCAUGCAAAAUAAUUAGAAAUAUUCCUUAUAAAAAAUUAUAAACUUAUCAAAAAGGAAAAUAGUACAAAUUUAAGAUUAAAUAUUGCUUAUUAUAGAAAAGAAUUGUUUGAUUCGUUAAGUUUCAUUUUAAAAUAUUUUGAAAUGUCUUUAAGUAUAUAUUCAAAUAAUAACUUGUCUUAAAUUAAUUAUCAAUUAAAAUAAUUUAUUUUUGUUGUUUAUUAUGAUUUCUAUGUUGUCAAUUAAAAUUGACAGAUACUAAUUUUCAUUAAAACAUCUGCAUUAUUCAAUAGAUAAGAAAAGUCACUGUAUCACUCAUUCUUAUCCACAAUUGCUCUAGAGGACUCUAGACCAAAGUGGCCCGUGCCAAUGACACUUCUGUCUUUGACUAAGAUAUUUGCUUCAUGGUAUUAAGCGAAGAGGCAUGUCUUCAAUAGUGGAUUCAAUUUUAUUUUAUUUUAUUUUUUAAACUAAAUAUUGUGAAAAAUGAUAUGUACUUCAAAAUAUAAAUUUUGUUAUUUAUCGUUUUAAAUAAUACUACGUUCCUCCUAUUCAGCUUUUAAUUUAAGAAAAAUGAAAACAGAUGCCAUCAUUUCUAUAGAAUGAUAAUGAAUUUGUUGAGAUUCAUUUAUCUAUGAGAUAGUUUUUGGUUCAGGGAAUCAUGUAAAUACGCAUUAACUAAAAGAAAUAUUUUUUUUUCUUUUUAGUUUAAUAAGUCAAAUGAGCUAAUAAUUUUCCAGAAAUCUUUUAAUAUCAUUUUUUCACUCUUUCAUAUUUUCAUAUUUAUUGGAUUUAAUUGUUUGUAGGAACUUUGUACUAAUAAUAAUAUAUAAUUAAUGAAAGAAAAUUUAAUAUAAAAAUAAAUAUGUAAUAAAUAAAUUUAAAAUCUUAGGAUAUAAGAUUUUAUAUAUUUAUGAUAAAUAAAAUAUUUAUUUAUUUAUUAAACAUCCAUAUUUGAAAUAUUAUAGAUGAUGCAUAAGAAUUAGAUCCUACAUCAAGGAUAAAAAUAUCGGUAAUUAUGAAUAUAUCGAAUCGGUACUUUGAUUUUCUGAAUAUAUCAGAGAUAUAUCGACGGAUAAUUUGAUACAAAAUAUUGAUGGGUUUAAAAUGGAUCAAAAUAUAAAAGUGAAAAAUAAACAAUAAAAAAAAUAAAAAGUAAAAAAGAAACUCUUAGAAAUGAAAUUAGAAGUAUAAUAGACAUAUAGACAUUUUAAAGUUAUAUAUAUAUAUAUAUAUAUGAUAUAAUUUAUCAUAUUUGAUAAUAAUAUUGUAUGUGUCGAUAAAAAAUAUAAUUUUUAUUAGUGUACAUUGAUUAUUAAAUUAUAUUAAAUAUUAUUCCAUUAUAAUAUUAUAAUAUUCAAUUAUAAUAUAUUUAAUAUUAAAAUUAUGGUACAUUUAAUUCAAUUUUAUUAAAUAAUAUAAAAUAAAUGAUGAUAAAUAUAUAAUUUUUUUAAUAUUUAAUUAAUAUAUUAAUGAUAUUAAAAACACUAUGAAGAAAAAUAUCAUGAUAAUUCUUAUAUUUUUGUUAAUUAAUUAAAAAAAUUAUUUAAUUAUAAAAUAAUUAUAAUUAAUUUGUUCUUUAAAGUAUUCUUUUAAUAUUUUAUUUAUAUGAUAAUGUUUACUAUAUAUAUAUAUUUGAUGCAAAUUAUUUAUCAAAUGGUAAAUUUGCCCCUAGUGGUGGGUCGAGGUGCUUGCCAAACGAUUUGUUUGGGGUUUACAAGUAAACAUAUAAAUGACCUAUUAUCAACUUAUAAUUGUAACAAAUUUUAUUAGUUGAUUAAAUAUCAACUCAUUAUAUCUUUUACUAAUAUACAUAUAUUUAAUAAGUAAAAAUAUACAAAUUCCUUCCUUUUAACAAUAAAUAUUGGAGCAUAAUAAAACAAUAUGAAUAUAAGUAAAUUGAUAGAUGUACUUAAUAUUGUGCUACAAAUUAUAAAAAUGUAUCAAAAUCCCUAAAAUAAAAUAAUAUGCACAUUAUUAAUAAAUAAUUUACAACCAUAUACAUAAUAUAAACUUUAAAUAUUUAAAAAUUUAGUUGGACUAUCGACCUUUAACUCAAGCAUAAUUUCAAGCCCAAAUAAUAAGAAAAUUAAGUAAAUGUAAUUAUUACAACAAUUGAAUUUCAUGUUUGGAUAGUAGAUUUUGAAAAUACUUUUAUCCACAUUAAAUUAAGAAAAAAGACGAACCUCCCUCCUCCUUUUAAGUUAAGUUUAGAAGUAUAAGAUAUAUGCACUUUUAAAAUUUUCAUUUCAAGUCGAAUUACUAUUUAUUAACAUUUGUGAAACUCUCACCAAAUCAAAUCAUAUAAGUUAUUCAAACUCAUAUGAAUUUUUCUAUGUUAUUAUCACAUCCCAUCAAUAUUUUUAGAAUUAGACCGAACAUUGAACUGAAAAAAUUAUUCAUUCAUGAUUUACUAAUCGAAUCGAUAAUUAAACUAUGAUUGAACCGAUGAUAAUAAUAUAAUUUUAUAUAAAUUUAAAAUAAUUAUAAAAAAUUAUAUAUAUAUAUAUAUAUAAUCAAAAUUUUCAAUAAUAUUUCAUUUUUAUAUUUUAUAUAUUAAAUUAAAUUAUAAAGAUAAUAUAAAUAUAUUAAUAUUUUUUAUUAAAUAGAACAUAUAUAAUAUUUAACUAUAAAAAUAUAUUUAAGAUGAAAAGAAAAUGAUAGUAUUUAAUUUGAUAUCCUCACGUCAAAGCAAGAGACGAAGGGCAUUUAAAAUGACAUUCAAGUUGGGCCACUAAUGUUGUUGGCAAGUGCAGCAAGGCCCCGCCAAGACGACCCUUUAAUUCUUGGUGGGCAGGUGGGUCCACUCUCAUCCCCAUCCUCCUCACCACCUCACAAGUCGUGUCACCAAUGCAAAAUCCAACAAGGAUAAAAAUAUAUCUCAUCCCCAUCCUCCUCACCGCCUCACCAGCAAUGUCAACAAUGCAAAAUCCGAUCAUAAUCACAAAUAUAUUACUACUUCGAUUUUAUAGAUAUGUUAGAUAUAUUGAUGAAUAUUUUGACAUAAAAUAUUCGCGAGUCUAAAAUUGAUCAAACCUUUAAAAAAUAUCAAUUUUAUUGGUAUACAUUAAUUAUUAAAUUACAUCAAAUAUUAUUCAAUAAUAAUAUUAUAAUAUUCAAAUAUAAUAUGUUUAAUUUUAAAAUAUAUUUAAUAUUAAAAUUAUGAUAUAUUUAAUUCAAUUGUAAUAAAUAAUAUAAAAUAAAUGAUGAUAAAUGUAUAAUUUUUUAACAUUUAAUUAAUAUAUUAAUGAUAUUAAAAACACUAUGUAGAAACUUAUUAUGAUAAUUUUUAUAUUUUUGUUAAUCAAUUAAAUGAAAAAUCUUCAUUUAAUUAUAAAAUGAUUAUAAUUAAUUUCUUCUUUAAAAUAUUCUUUUAAUAUUUUGUUUAUAUGAUAACGUUUAACAUAUAUAUAUAUUGUUAGCUCAAGGGUUCUCCUAAUCGGGUUUUGAUGAUAACAAACCAUAGUUAAGUGACUAAUUGGUUUAAUGUUUAAGAAUCUCAGGUAUAAACUCGAAAAUUCAUCAAAUGACCAAAUGGAUACAAGAUUGAGACGUUUGGAAGACUUGUGAUCAUAGGAAACUAAUGUAAGAUGAAUGCAUGAGUGCACUUAGGAUUUUCACACGUUUCAUGCAUCUUAGAAAACUCGGUUUAUUAUUUAAAACUUCGAUUUCAUUAAAACCCGAGUUUUUAACUAAUGUACCUUAAACAAAAUGUUUUAUAAUUAGCUUAAUAAUUCACCUAAAGACCUUGCCUAAGUGUUAGAAAAGAAAGGAAUUAAAAAAAAUAGGUUUUCGGGGCCAAAAAGGCUCAACCAAUCGAGGUUAUGGCCAAUUGGCUCAACCGAUUGAGGAACCGAUCGACCGGUUGUGCUCGUUCGGUUGAGGAUUGGUCGAGGGAUGCCAAAGACUUUCUCUCUUUCCCAGUGGCCUUCUCUUCCCGGUCUAGGACCGGUCGAGGCAACGAUAACCUGUCAAGCAUUAAAUGCUCCAACGGCUAAUGAACCGGUCGACCCCUAGCUCGACCGGAAGAGGUUACCUUUUGCUGUUUUUGACUCCCGAGCUUAGAAACCUAUAAAUUGAGAGCUCCACUUCAUUUAUUGAUAAGAGAACACUUGCAUUCAAUAGUCUACCUACUUGUUCUUGAUCAAAAAGCUCUCAUUUCUUUCAUAGUGCAUUAAAUCACCACUUGCAUAUCCUUUAGUGCACUCUUGUGUGUCAUCCUAGCUUUGUCUUGUAUUUGAGAUAUCCUUAAGCUAGGUUGAUGGAUUAUUUCUUGUACAAAUCUGAGUGUUAAAGCCUUCAAGAGGUUUGAAUCUUGAAAAGAUUAUGUAAGAGCCCAUUGGAGUCGGAAUCCAAGUGUAAGAAAAUUGAAAGCUUGGUUAAAGCUUCAAGUUAGUGAAACCUUCACUCGGUUAGGAGAUUGAGGAGAGUGGACGUAGGCAAGGAAGUGUUGAACCACUAUAAACCCGAGUUUGAAUUCUCUAAUUCUAUUUCUUUAUUUUGCUUAUAUUGUGUUUGAAUUUGUUGUGAUUGAAAAAAAUUUUAAAAACCCAAUUCACCCCCCUCCCCCCCCUUUUGGGUGUUUUUCUUAAUUAAGCAUAACCUUUGUUUUCUCAUAUGUUUGAUGCAAAUUAUUUAUCAAGUGCUAAACUUGCCAUUAAUGGUGGGUUGAGGUGCUUGCUAAACAUUUUGUUUGGGUUUGAGUCCCCUCAGCAAUAUAUGAAUACAAUCCAAUCUAGAAUAAAAAUCUAUAUAUAUGAAUACACAAUAUUUCAAUCAAAUAAAAAUCUUAUAGGGUAUACAACCCAAUCUAGAGAAUCAAAAUGCAUGAAUCAUAUCUAAUAAUAUUAAUUCAUUUAAUUGAAUUAAAUACAAUCAAUUACAUUCAAUAUUUGAAUAAUUAAUCAAAUUCAUUCAUCCCCUAGGGCCAUGGGAUGAGAACAAAUUACCCUACAAAUAGAGUUAACAACCUAGAACAUAUUUACCACACCUUAGAACAGAUCUAACAUGCUAGAACUAUCCUAGGCUUUGAUACUAGUUGUUGGGAACCUAGGAUUACUCUAUUCCCAUGUCUUGGAUCUUGUAGGGUGCAUGCAUUUAUCCUUAGGGUUCUCUAGAUUUAACGCAAUAGAAAAUAAUGACUUCAAAAAUCAUUGUAGAAUAAAGAUUUAGAGAUUUGAAACUCAUACUUGUGAUCUAGAUAUUCCCAGAUCAAAAUCCAUAUGUUGAAUAACAUGUCUAGAAAAACUAGAGAGUUUAUCUUUUCAUGUUGCUACCCACGUGCUUGUCCCAUGUGAUUCUUAUGUACGUGACCUAUGUGCAUCCCAUGUGGUGCUCGUGCACAAAACCUGUGCAUGUCCCAUGUGCUAUAGCCCUACAUCCAAAGAGGUCUCGUACACCCAAAAUCUUCUGCCCGAUGACUCAAACCAUAAUCUUAUCACUCCAAAGUGUGGGCUUUGGAAAGAAGGAGGCUAUGACGCUCUCUCUCUAGGUGGAAGGCAACGGUCACCAAAAGUCAUUAGGAAAUCCUAACCUAUAAAGGGAUAUUUAUAGGGUUACCCGUUGGGCUUAAGUGACUUAAUCUCAUUAAGACUUGGGCCAUUUAAUUUAGCUCAAAAUGGGUUCUAAUUGAUUAAUUAAUCACAUAGCGCUAUCUAAUUAAACAAUUAGCCCAAAAUAGAGACCUUUAUUAUCCCUCAUGUAGCUAUGCGAAAUUACCAAAACGCUCUUAUGCACAAAAAUGAACCUAAAGUCAAUCCAACCCUCAUAAAUUGUGUCAUCAUGGUAUAUGAGCUUAGAGGGGGAUCACUAGGACUCAUAGAGUUUUAGCUCCCUCGAAAUCUAAUUCCGGAGUCGAUUCAACAUUCCACUAAAAAUAAUCAAUUGCACUCUAAUUUUCUAUGUAAAUAACAAUGAGACGAAACUCGAAGUUCGUAACCUACUAUCCACUACAUGUAGACUCCUCAUAAACUGGUGUUUGUAAUUUAACAAGGUAGUGUUAUCACUUAUCAAAAUUACAUCUCCAAUCAUUGAGUUACAGAUCCCACUUACUAUGUGAUCAAUUGACAUAUUCUAGCUCUAAGGAGCACAUGUUAAAUUCCACUAAAUAAACUACUGUGACCACAUAUUUCAUUAUUACGUGUCAUUUAAAUCACCUAAGGGGACGCAUUGUCUCAAUCCUAUUAAAUAUCAUGGUGCCUCUAUUGAGAAUACUUGUUAUCGCUUACCUCCAUCAACAGUGACCCAAUCCAUAAGGAUAUAUGACCACUUUAAGAUCUCACCCAUAAGUCAAAGUCUCCUGCUGAUUUUGGAACAGACUCAAUAUCCUCUCAAUGUUGAGAGUUCAUAUAGUAUAGUAACUUGGUGAAUCAUGACAAUUAAUAGUCUUACGUCAUGAUUCACUAUAGGUCCUAUCUAUCAUGCAUCACAUAUACUAUUGCACUCACUAUGGGAAACCCAUCUCGAUGGCUAAGUAGAUCCAUCACUCCAACUAGAAGAUAGUGCAUUACAGUCUCCAUUGGAUUGCCCAAAUCCAUGAAUUGAUUGUGGACAACUUAUCUACUUACAAGAAACCCAUGACUUGUAUCUUAUGUGUAACUCUUAAUGCACUCAAGUCAUAUACAAUAUAAGAGACAUGGAUCGAAUGCUCAAAUUAAUGCCAAUACAUCAAAGGGAUAGUUAAGUCUAACUUUGUUACAUUAUGUCUUGUCUUUAGUGGUUCAAUCCCAACAACUAAUGCUCUUCAUCUCAAUCAAAACAAAUAUAUAUACAUGAUCUUCUUGUUCGCACCAACCUAAUGGACUCUAAGCUUGCUUCAACACUUGGUGCAUCAGGCAAAACCUUAUCUCUCCACGAUGGUGUACCAUUUGAAGACCCCGCUUUGUAUCUAAGUAUUGUCGAUGCACGUCAAUAUGUAACUUAUCAGGCCAGACAUCUCCUUUGUUGUCAACAAGGCUUCUGGCACAAACAAGCGAUGUCCAUUGGAUGGUUGUGAAACGAAUCCUACGCUACCUGAAAGGCACCUCUUCAUUUGGCCUUCACAUCGAUCUCAUGAAACCUUAUCCUUCGCUGAAUCUUUCCUUUGUCCUUCCCUGGAGACGGAACUUUCUUAAACUACGGAGUUUCACCGCUGUAACCAUCCGACUGUACGUGUGACUAUGUAUCCCCCAACCUCUUUGGCACUCCAAACAUAUACUGAUGAAGAUUGGGCUUCCUACCUUGAGACAGGAAGAGCACUAAUGGAUAUUGCAUCUUCCUCAAACCAAACCUCAUUUCCUAGAUCGACUUCAAAUAAAUGAAGCACUAUCUCCCGGAGUAGCGCCGAAUCUGAAUACUGGGGCAUCGCCAGAGUCACCUUUGAGCUUAUCUAGAUUCAGUCCAUCUUGAAGGAACUUUUCAUAUCAACUUUUGCACUCACUCAUUUGGUGUGACAAUCAAAGUGCGACACAUCUAGCAAAUAAUCCUGUUUUUCAUGCCUGUUCCAAACACAUAGAUCUUGAUCUCCAUUUUGUAAGAGAAAGAGUGCUCUCGAAGGAUCUUAGCAUUCACUAUAUUAUGUCUUCUAAUCAAAUAGUCGAUAUAUUCACCAAAUACCUUCCAAGCUCUCAGUUUAUCAACUUCAGGACCAAACUCUCCAUAAUUUCCAAACCUAUGAGCUUGCGGGGAUCAUCGUCUACCAGAAACUGCAGCUGAAGAACAUUCAAGAACCCACGUCUGAAGCUGCAAGAAAGUUACAAAACGGCUUCUCUUCUGUUAGUUAAAGAUCGUUUAACAGUUAUAGAAUUAGGUGAUCAGUUAAAGCACAGUUGAAGUUAGUAAGUACAACUGUAAGGUAUUUAGUUCAAAGCAUAUAAGACCUAAUCGUGUUCAGUUAAAGAAGUGUAAAGAAUAUAUGAAAAACAAAGAAAUAAAAAGGCUCCAAUAUUUUCUUCCAAUAUCUAUCUUCAAACUUUUCAUUUCUAAAUAAUUUAAUCUCUUCUUUCUCGAUAUUAUGUGCACCCAACCAAAUUCUUUGGUGGAAACGUUGAAAUAUCCUCUGUGUUUAUCAAAUAGUCGAUGUUUCGAAAAUAUAUUAUUAUAUUUAUAAAUAAUUUUCUUUUGAAAAAUAAAUUUAUUUUUAAUUUUCUUCUAAAAAAUAAGGUUAUUUUCAGAAAAGUAAUUCAUCCACAAAUAUACCCCUCCAAAUGAUAAUACCUUGGGUUAGAUUGAUUGAUAUCACAGAAAUUUUUGUUGCUUUGUCAGAAACUCCAAAAAUGAAAAAUCAAAUUAAAAGAGAAUUUAUAAAUUUAAACAAGGUGGUAUUAUUUAAUUUUAUAGGGUUUUAUUUCAACAUAGGCAUCCAAAAAUACAAAUACAUAAUUAGAAAAUAGGAGAAGACAAAAUAUAAAAGACAAUAUGAAAAGGAAGAGCCAUUAUAAAAGAACAUAUAUAAGCCUGGAAACUCACAUGCAAUGUGGCAGAAAUGAUGGGGAUGUUUGAAGAAAUAAUGAGGACCACCACAAUGCAAUAUUUCCCUACUCUAAAGCGAGUAAAGAGGAUCUGGACAAGCUACGAUCUUCGAUAUAAUUCACCUUGUCCUAUUUAUCAUUAUUAAUAUGGUCCCCUUUCAUACACUAUCAUAUUUCCAGAAAGAAAAAAGAAAAAUUUUAUUUUGGAAGAAAAACUGAUACUGCUCUCAAAUAAUUACAUUCUACAUUCAUCAAUGGUAUCUCUGUCAAUCCAUUUAUUUUCAUAAAAAACAUGACUAUGAUCUUUUGUGCAGGCUCAAUUUGUACCUUUCUUUUCCAACAUAAAUAAAAUCAAAAUUGAUGAGGUGGUAAUUGGGAAAAGGAGGACAACUUUUGUUUUUUUUCUUUUUCUUUUUUAUAACUCUUAUUUAUGUUUUAUUUUGGGAAACUAUUAAGAAAAAAAUCACCAAAAAUUAUUUUUUUCAUAUUUAGUUUUACUAAAAAAUAUAAAAAUAUAUACUUAAAAUUAACUAAAAACUUGUGAAUUCUUACAUCAUUUCAUAUUUGUAAAGAAGAGUUGAAACAUAUGAAAUAAGAUUUAAGUUGUACAUAAAAAAAUUAUUGAUUUUAAUUUUAUUUUUUUCUUCUUUUUUUAUUUUUUUAAGGGAAAAAGUGUGUUUUACACUCAUAUAAAAAUAUCAUAAAAUAGCAACCCAACUUUAUGAAAUACAAAUUUCAACCUAUUAUAUAAAAAUAAUUAGUAUUUUAUACUUUUUUUGUGAAAUAUAUUAUCUUUAAUCAUUCCGGUAUUAUUUUUUAAUGAUAUAGGUACUACCUUUAAUUAUCUUAGGUAUUAUCUUUAAUUGAUGAAUGCAUAAAACUCGAAUUAUUAUUAAAGAAUUUUUUUUUGUUAUUAUUUUUAUAUGAGUGAGUGAAAAGACAAUUUUUCAAUGAACACAGGUGUAGAACUAACUAUUCAUAACCAUGCAUCUUGUAAAUCCAUUGGUGCAAAAAAAACUAGUGCAACCACCAUUUGAUAGGCCACUUCUCUAGAUAUCUGUGUCACUUCUUUACUUCUCAGAAAUAUAGCUAUAAUCACAGCUCAAAUAUGACUUGGACUAUGAGCUAGGAAUUAAUUAGUUUUCAAUAUCUCAUGUAAAUUUAGUAAUUAUUACACCUUAACUUCCACAAGAACCUAACCAUUAAUUAUCAACAAUUUCCCUUCUAAUUUUCACAAUUAGUUUUAUAUUUCUUUCCAGCUCCUCUUUUAAUUCUUUUUUGUUUCCUUGCAUUAGUCCCAUAUAUGCCUCAGCAAAAAAAAAUAUUCAUACCUAGAAAUCAUGAUUUAAUUUUUAUUUCAAUAAAAAUUUUAUAUUGAAUUUAAUUUCUUGGGAUUGAAUGUCAUUUUCUUGAAAUUUACUUUACAUUCGCAAGGAAAAUGAUAAAAAGAAAAAAAAAAAUUUCCCACCAUACCCUUCUUUUUUUCUAUAAACAAUAUCUUUUUCUUCUUGAACAACAUCAGCUAUUUUGUCUUUUAAAUUUCAAAUAAUUUUAUUAUUAAUUUGCCUUAUAGUUGAAUGUAAUUAAAAUAUUAUUGAGAUUAGACUUGAAAUUUGGCCUCAAAUCUAUUAACCAAACCAUGCACAGACAGAGACAGAAAAAAAGAAAAGAAAAAGGGACAAGAUUAUUAAUGUGGUUCGAUCAUCAAUGUGAUCCUUAUAUUCACGAAGUGCACCAAUACUCAAUAAUCUACUAAUCAAAAUGAAUGAGAAGAAUUACAAUAGUAAAAUUAUCAAAAACAAAAAAACAAAAAAACUUCUCAAUUACGAUUGCAUUAUUUGAAAAAAGCAAAACCCUAACAUAAUAGGGUUAAAUAUAUAUUAGGGACCCCCACGAGCUAACCGGGUAACUCGACCCUCAAUUCGAGCGAAGCGCAAUAAUACUAAAUCAAGCUUCACAAUCCAACAAAAUCAUGGAUGAUACUUUUAGGAUUAAUACUCCGCACUCAAUUAUGUUAGUGAAUACUUUGAGAAUGUUCAAUAUAUAGCACCAAUACUUAUAAUAACUUUGAGAUAUUAUCAUAUUAAUAGAGAGGCUAGAGCAGUUGACACAAUUGGAGAGAAAACAAAAGGAAAAGAAAAGAAAGUUUUGAUAAUAAUAUUAUUAAAAAAAAGAAAAAAAAAAAAAAAACCUAAGGUCCUUGUUUAGCCAAGGAAAAAGGAAGUCAAUGAAGACUGAAGAGCAAUUCCAAGAUGAUGUUACGACUGAGGAAAAAACCAAACAGUAAGUUACAAAUGCAGCACAGCCAACAAGGCAUAAGAUGGAUUCUUCAGCAGCCAAUAGCCAUGCACAUGUCCAUAGCAAACCCCUCCUCUAUCCACAUAUAUUCCCCACCCUCAUUAAUUUCCUCAUCCUCCUCCACCUCCAAAACACCACAAAAAUGGCGCUGUCCGAAAUGGGCUUUUGUUGUUCAAAUCUUGUUGACUCUGAUCAAUCUGAAUAGAGCCACUUCUUCUUCUUCUUCAGACCCUCUUGUUCAGCAAGAGUUGGACAAGGUCCUUCAGCUCCCAGGCCAAACCUUUAAUAUCUCCUUUGCACACUAUGCUGGGUACGUCACAGUGAAUGAGUACACUGGGAGGGCUCUAUUCUACUGGCUCAUUGAGGCUGCUGAAGACCCUUCUUCUAAGCCUCUGGUUCUUUGGCUCAAUGGAGGUAGGCUUUUGCCAAACACCCUUGUCAUUAUUUUUGUCACUAUUAUUUUAUGUGUUGACUUCUAGCAAUUGGAUUAUUGUAUGGAAGUAUUUUGAUUAAAUGGUACUGUCAGUCUUUUGUCGGUACCCUACGUCUAUGAAAUAAUUGGGAGGGACUUGUUUGGGCUUUGUUUAGUUACGGAGAAAAAUGAAGAAAAGGAAGGUAUUACUAAGAAAGUUUUUGCUGGUAAUUAGGUGUAAUUUACAAUCAUAUUUCCUUUCCAUUAGUUCUUCCAUAAUGUUUUUUAAUUGCAUGCAAUUGUAGAUAAGGAUGCAUGGUAUUUGGGUGGUGUUUUUAAAUCUUUUUAUGUGAUUAAAUAGCAAACAUGAUUAAUGGCCGUACUUAGAGUUCAAUUUGUAAUUAUCUUUCUAGAUUACUAUUUCUUACCAACUAGCAUAAGUGAUUAUAAUGUAAAAUUUAUUCUCAAUCUCGUAGAUUAUAUUUGGUUUUAGAAAAGUACUAAAGAAAAGAUAUGAAAAAUGAUUUUCUUAUAAUGAAAAAUAUAUGUAAAAAAAUUAAAUAUAAUUAAAAUUAGUUAAAAUCUUAUGUAUUUUUAAAUUAUUUAAUUUUUAUAUAAAAUAGUUAAAAUAAGUUAAAUAAGUUUAAAAUACCACAUAAAAGUAAUUUAUUUACUUUAAAUCUAUUUUUUAUUUUUUUCCUUUUAUUUUUAUUCUUUGUUUUUUUUUCCUCAUAUUUUUCUAAAUAUCGAUAAUUACGGAUAUAUUGGGAAAAUAUUGAUAUAUAUUUUGACACAAAAUAUCAGUAUAUGAAAAAUUCAUAAAAAUAUUAUAAAAAACUCCAAAAAUGAUAUAAUAAUAAUAAUAAUAUAUUAAAGUUAUUUUAACAAAAAAAAAUGAUAUAUAUACCAAAGGAUAUAAUGCAUUUAAUUUGGAUGUAUUAAAAAAUAUAAAAGAAAUGUUUAUAUAUAUAUUUAAAAGUAUUUUUUAUUUAAAAAUAUUAAUACUUUUAUUUAUAAAUUUAUAUUUUUCUUGUAUUUAAUUACUAUAAUUAAAUUUAACUUAUUUUCAAUAAUUUUAUAUAUAAUAAUAAUAAUAAAUUUUAUUUCGUUUAUAAAUUUUAUUUUAUAAAUUAGUAUAUAUAAGUAAUAUGCAUUUCAUAAAACUAAGAGCAACGUAGCUUUUUUGGCAAGUGAUUUAAAUUUCAUGCAAAAUACUAGGAUUCAAGUCGCGGUGGUGUGUUUUUGGGUUUAUGAUUUUUCUAAUCUUUGUGGAAGUGAAUCCCACAUAGGACAUGGGGAGCAAAAUAAAGUUGUAUUUAAUAAGAGAUGCUCCCUUCCUAUGCAUGCUUGAGGCUUGGAUUGUGCUUCUUGUGCACGCUUAAGGUUUGGAUUGGGUUUUAGACCAAAUGAUGCAUGCUUCUGAGACUUAUAUAACGAUAUUUUCAUCUUGGUAAACCUUUUUGCUCUAAAUUUAUUUCAAUAAAUAGAUUUUGAGAAACUCAAGUCUAUUUUGUAUCCAAAUCCAUUGUUUAAGAAAACCUUUUAAAAUGUGAAUUUGGAUUUAAAAUUGAUGGAGUUUACAAUAUAAUGUCAAGAAUUUUUUGGCAAUAAAUAAAAGCCCAAAGGCAACCACUCAAAUUACAUAUUUUGCACAAUAAUUGCUUGCCUCAAUUAGCCAUCCAGGCAUCUUGCCUCCAAAGUUAUUCAUGUACAUGCCUCUCUUCUCUUUAGUUAUAGGUAAAUGUAGCUCUAACCUCUUGCUAUCUCGUAGUCAAUUCUUAUAUAUAGAAAGACUAAGAUGCCCCGUGUGUGUGUUUUUUUUUGUCCUUGUUUCUUUUGCUCAAAAUAUUAAUAAAUAUUAAUUUAAUUUAAAUCUUAAUAGAUUGGAAUGUCAUUAAGUUUUUAUUCUAUUUUUAUUAAUGUUAUUAAGUAUUAAAUUGCUUGUUUUUUAUUGAUAUCUCAAUGUUAAUUCUCAUAUAAAUUAUUUGAGACUAUGGUAGUUUGGUUUAUUUUAAUUAAGUCCAUAAUUAUAAGAAGUUUUUAAGAGUGGAUUUGGAUUUAUUUUGAAUAAUAAAUUAAUUUUGGAUGUUGCAGAACAUAAAAGUUGGAAAAGAGAAAGGAAAAAUGAUUUAUGCCUUUGACGAAGUUAAAAUUUCUUAACUUUUUCUAAGAAAACAAAAUUAUCUUAAGAAAAAGUGAUAAAAUUGAAAAGUAAAUUGGUCAAAAAUAUUGUCAGUACAAACAAGCCUAACUAUAGUAAGUUUGUAUAUGAGAUUAAUAGGUUCUCUUUGUCAAGCAAUAGAACUCCUAAUUAAAAUUAACUUUUUCAUUUAAGAUUUGUAAGAUACUUUUCCUAUUAUAUUCUUAUACUUUUCUAAAUUAAAUUAGAAUAUGAUUAACUUCUACAUUUAAUCGUCAUCAGUAGUUAAAAAUAAUAAAUAAAUAAACAAAAAAAACUAAGAUCCAAUGAUUAUUAGUACUAUCAUGUCCAAUUAAUAAAUCACAUUUCCCAUUAGAUCGAGUGCAUGUACUUGUUAUAAUACAUUCACUUGUUUGCUUAAGAUCACCAACUCAAUGAUGUAUAAUCCUAUCAAUAGUAGCACAAGUGUAGACUUAUUUGUUGGUAUUAUUGUACCACCAAUGCUAAGAAUAUUUUCAAUUAACAAGGAGUUAAAAAUAAAUCAUCAUUCCUUGCUUUGGGUUCAUUAAACAAUAGUAUGGUUUUUGUACAAUGUUAUCAUGUUAAUUUUCAUUAUGAGAUCAUACAUAACAUAUAAAUACAAAUAAUAAAAUAAUAAUAUGAAAUCUCUUUUAAAUAACAAUACAAAACAAAUUUAAUAAAAUAAAAAUUCUAAAAUAGGUUGAGCAUAAUCUAAUAAUCUCCAACUUGCAUUCGAAACCAAUUGUACACUUUUUUUAUCUUCAUUGUCUCGACAUUUUUUGUUAAGGCAAUCCUUGCUAUUGUUGUAUCAUCUCUUUUUAUUAUGUCAUCAAGUGAAAUCUAUGUUCGAUGUGUUUCUUUCUUAAGAGUUCUGGGCUCAAGAUAUGUCUUAUUCACGUUAUCACAAUCAUGAUGAAUUUUCAUUGGAAGUUGAAUGGAUAGAAUGACUUCAAGUUCUAGAAUGAGCUUACAAAUCCACACCACUUUUGUAGCUAUAUACUCCACUACCAUGAUGGUCUACUAUAAUAUCUCGCUUUCAAUUUCUCCAACUUAUUAUUUCUUUACGAAGUGGAAAAUACGACACCAAAAGUAGGUAUUCUAUCAACACUUUAUUGUAAAUUAGUGUGCAACAUCAAAUAAUUAAAGAAAAAAAGAAGAUGGUCGAUAAUCCAUCUAUACAUUUCAUGCUCUAAAUAUGUGAUUUACAUUGACAUAUACACAAAGGUAUAAUACUACUAUGGAGAUGAUAAAGAAUUGAAAAUUGACACUUGAUUAUAGGAGUGAAUAAGCUAUCAAGCCAUAUGUAGCAAACCUUUCAAUAUAUACAAGUGAGCAAUUCCAUUCCUCACUCAUUGGGAAGCCAUGUGCAACAUGCCUUGAGAUAUAUACAACAAUUGUCAUUCCUCGAUCAUUAGGUUGAGCAACAACCAUGAGAUAUUCAUGGAGAAAAUAUGAUAAUAGGAAAUCCUUGUGACAACAAUUUACAUUCCACUAGGUUUGCAUGCAAUAGUUGUUUAUCAUUCCCCCUUAAGAGUGAACAAAAUUUAAUGAAAUCUGAACUUGUAAAAAAAACUAAGAAAAUUGAAUCUUAGGCAAGACCUUUGUAAAAUGUCAACUAUUUGAAGAUUUAAAAGUAGAAAUUGAGUGACUAAAACACCAAAUAUAGCAUUUUCUUGAAAAAAAAAAUGGUAGCGAAGCUCAAUAUGCUUAGAGCAAGCAUAAAAAAUGAGGUUUAUGGUUGUAUAAAGGGAACUUCUUAUAUAUAUAUAUAUAAACAUUGGAUAACUAGACAUAUAUUUUCAAGUAAAAGAUACUUUUUUAAGGGAUAUUUGGUUAAAAGGGGCAAAAUAAGUUGGUAUUCGGAAAAAUAACCUCUGCCUUUUUAAAACCUUAAAAAAAAAAAUUAAAAGAGAAACCUUUGAAAUUCAAAAGAGUAGAAAAGAAGAGAAAGAGAGCAAAACGAAGGGUUCUUCUAUUUUGAAUGGUAAAUUAGAAUGUAUGCUUUAGUCUUCUGAUUUUUAUUUUUAUUUAUUUUUUUUGUAGAUUUUCGUACUAUUGUUGAUUCUCUGUCUAAAAGGAUUCUAAAAUGUUCAUUUGAUUGAAGUGUGAUUUUUUUUUUUUAUCCAGUUUUUGAAAAAACACGGGAGAUGAAAAGAACGAAACAAAGUGGAGAAGGAUCUUGAAAGGUACGUUUAUUACUUUCAAAUAGUUUGUUUUUCAUAUUUUUUUUAUCUCUUUAUUGAUUUCAUACAUGUGCUUGAGGUGUGUGUGUGUGUGUGUGUGUGUGUGUUUUCAUAUGGUUUUAGAAAAAACGCGGAAAGAAGUAAUGGGUUUAUAUGUUCAUUUUUUGUUAAGCGUAAAUAUAAGAGAUUUUCUUAAAUUUGUUAGUCUAUUCCUCUUUGAAUUCAAAAAGAAAAUUUUUGUAUUUAAUUAGAUUUCAUGGCUAUUUUAUUUUGAAGUUUUGCUCUACUUGUUAAGAUUUUGAAGUGUGAUAUUAUGGCAAUUGCUCUGAUUUUAUAGUGUAGAAAACUGUUCAUAUGGUUCUUGUUGCAUGUGUACUUUUAAGCAUAAAUCUAGUGGAAAAGUAACAAAUGUGUUGAUCAAUUGUGUUCAAAAGAGCUGAAACAUAAUUAGAGAAACAAAAUAUGCCCCCAUUUUUAUUUCUCCUCCCUAGUGAUUAGAAGAAACCUUGCAUUUGUCCUACGAAGGAAGAUGAAUUUGUUUCCUUAAAAUUCCCAAGUGGAGAUAUUGGAGGUGUUGCUGAAGUCUUUUUCCAUGAGCAUUCGUGUCAAAUAUUCUCUUUUUGUGCUGUUUAACCUCCAAUUAAUGGAACCAAUUUGAUAGACAUGAAUAGUCAUUCUUUUCUAUUAAUGAAAAAAUUGGAGAUCAUUGCAGUCUUUGCCAAUUGGGUAUCUAGUUUUCAGCAGUUUAGGAAAAAGAUCUUUUCCUAUUUACAGUUCUCUUCCCAAGGGAUAAGAAGUUGGUUUAACCAAAAAUCUCAAUUUUAAUAAAACAAUUUGCAUUCCUUGCCUACUACAGUUUCCAUUUCACUUGUAUAGAUUAAGAAGAAAACACCUGCCCUCCCUUGGAGGUAAACAAACAUUAACAUGCACCCUAUCAAGUUCUGAACCCAGUUUGCUUUUACUAUAUCAUAGGUGACAUUUGCUAAAUCUAAAACCCAAUUGGUCUUGCAAUGCAAACUAUAACAUUCAAAUAGUAAUCUCCAACAAAAGUCAUGGCAAAGAAUGAUACUAACUGAUGGUUGAAAUAUUACUCACAACUAAAAUAUUGAGUGAGAUAAAGCAUAUGCAUAGCCAAAAUACUCAAAAUACUUCUACCAUAUCCUUUUUGUAAGUAAUAUGAUUUAUACCUAGAUAUGGAUGUGAGGAAAAGUAAUAUGACAUGGAUUCACAAUUAGUUCUUGAAAUUUAAGCAAAAAUAACCAAAGUGUUUGAACUCAUGGAAAGAUAAUGUUAGAUUUGAUAAAUUUUCUGCAUACAAUUUUUUAGCAUAAAGAUACUUGAAGACUCUAAAGAUAAUAUUCAUGAACAAAAUGAGAUGUUGAAACACUCCAAAACUCUUAAACAACCUAGAUAUAUGUAAACUUCACUUGAAUCUCCCACGUUAUUGACAAAAAGUAAUACAUAUAUAACAUAUGAUUUACCAAACAAGUAAGAGGAAAGAAAAGAAAGAAACUUUAACAUAUUUAUUCACCCAUAGAAGUAUAGGGAAACAAAAAUGGUUAACACUAUCUAUGAAGCAGCUUCAAAGAAGAAUAGACUUUCGAUGGCUAGUAGAUUAACUUCUAAUAGUGAAUAAGGUAGACAUCUUUAAGAGUUAUUCUUUUUACAAUUCUUUCAAUCAUCACCACAAAUCAUCAUAUUUCUUAGGAUUAAUUCAAUGUUUCUAAUAAAAUUCGUGAGUAAUUUUCUCAAGAAAAAAAUGAAUAAAUAUAAAAGGAAAAAUAUUGCUUCCAUCCAUAGCCACAGCCACAAGAAUUGGAAAAUCAUGUGCAUUAUGCAAUCUCGUUCAUCAAUGAUCCAUUUAAAAUAAGUAAAUGAAAAAUGUAGUGCAAGUUUUAUCAAAAUGUAAAUUUCCAAGAAUUGUUUCUAAGGUGAUGUAAAAGAAUGUUGUACAAUGGUCUUUCUCUCUUUCUCUCUUUCUUCUUUAUAUAUAUAUAUAUAUAUCUUGACAUCUAUAUUGUUUACUUUCUUAGUACAAAUUUAUGGAUUUUAAUAAGUAAAUUUGUGAUUGUUAUUUGAAUCUUUUUUUAUAUUUAUUUUUCAGGGAAAAAGACUUAGAUUUGCAAUAUUGUAUAACUUCAAAAGUGGUCAUCCUAGAAAGUGAACAACUCAUCUUUAAUGGCAAAUACUGAAGAAUCUAAUGAGAUGGUUUGUAUUUUUUAUACUAUUUGGGAUGUUAAUGUGUUGCUGAUUCUUGUAUAUGAGAUUACUCCUUCAAUAGAAAAAUAUAUUUCUAUUGCUUUUCAUAUGCUAAAAAGAAGAUCCCAAAUAAGUUAAACCUAGAUAAUAAGUUUACAGAUGAUAUUGUAUCUCGGGUUUGCCAUAAAUAAUGAACUAAUCAGGUUAAGUUUUUAUAUGUUAAUCAAAAUAUUCACUUAGACUACACUUGGUUAAGUUUUAUUUACAAAGAACUUAAUCGAGGUUAAGUUUCAUUAACAAAUAACAUAAUUGUAGUUAAGUUUUUAGUUAAAAUGUUUCAAACCUAUUUAUAAUAUAAUUAAUUGAAUCAGUAUUUUGAUUUUAGUAUAAAUGGUUAAAUUUUUUGUAAUUUAUUUUAGUUCAUGUAGAAUGUUUAUAACUUUUAAUAUAUUUUCUUAAUGUGAAGCACAAUAUGUGUGACUUUGCAGGCUACCACAUCUUCAACAAUAUUCAUACAGAAAAUAUGUAAUGAAGAUCACUUCCCAUCUAAGGUGGCUUGCUUAUCCCACAUUAUUGUCAUUGACAACAUAAAGAAGAACUUGAAUGAAACCCAACUAGAGAUGUUUAAAAAAUCUUGUUUUGGCCACUUCUUAGGUAUGGCUAAUUUGAAAUUUUCUGCUCAAAUUGUUCAUAAUAUGUUGUUACGCCAAUGUGACAUUAGAAGAGAAGAUGAGAUGUGGAUACUUGUUCACUCAAAAGGAUUGAGAUUUAGUGCGUCGGAGUUUGCAUUGAUAACUGGGUUGAAAUUUGGUAAUAUUUCACAAUUUGACUUAACAUCUUCAAGAAUAAGAGAUCAAUAUUUCAAUGGAGAGAAUAAGAUUCAUAAUAAUCGAUUGGAGGAGGUUUUCAUCUCAUUAUGUAAGAAAGGAAAGAGAACAAGCACAAAGAGGGCAAAAAAAAAGGCAAAGUUAAGUGGGAAAUCAAAUCUUGAUGAAGAUAUUGUGAAGUUAGCAUUGUUGUACUUUGUUGAGCAUGUCCUACUAGGAAAAGAAGGGAAGAAUUUGAUAGAUUUACAAUGGGUUCAACUUGUUGAUAGUCUAGAGGAGUUCAACAAGUAUCCUUGGGGAAGAAUUUGCUAUGAAAGAACAUUGUUUGGGUUGCAAAGGGCUUUGGAUAAAAGACAGUCAAAAUAUGUAGAGAAAAAAAAAAGGAGGAAUGCAACCUAUGAAGCAUAUGCACUUGUGGGAUUUCCAUAUGCCUUUCAAAUUUGGGCAUAUGAAGUCAUUCCAUUGCUUGGAAUGAAAUAUGCAAGUCGCAUUGGUAGAAGUUUCCCCAGAAUUUUAAAUUGGACAAGUAUUGCAACUCCAAAAUACACUGAGAUUCAAUCCUUAUUUGUAGAGUCAAAUGUGAGUAAUAUCUUAAUAUUUGUUUAUACUUUCUUUUUUAUUUACAUAAGCAUAUUAUUAUUAUUAACUACUUUCUUUCUACUUUGAAUUAUUAGUUAUCUUUGCAUUCCAUACUCAUUCCCACAUUGGAAGAGCGUGAACAAGAGUAUGUGAAAUGUUUUGAAUUCGAGGUUGAAUCAAAUGAUGUCUUCCAAGAUGAUGUGAAUGAUUGGGAGAAAGAUGAAGAUCAUGAAGAAGCCGAGGCCUAUACCACUGCUACAACAACAACAAUGAAAUGUGGAAAAAAAGGUGAUAGUUCUAAUUAAAUUACCUUCAUUCAAGGUAACUAAACUGAAAGUUAUUAACAUUAUUUCACUAUACAUGUUUAAGAAUGUUUGACUAAUGUUAUGAUGUUUUUUGUGAUGUAAAGGAAUUGUUUAUGAUGUUCAUCAACUUUCAAGAAAAGACAGAAGCAAAUUUUAAUGAAGUUAGAGCAGAAUUGAAAGAAGUAGGAAGCAAGAUUGAUGGUUUGAGGAAGCUAUUAUUGGAUGUUAGUAACAUGUGCUAGAUUCCUCUUUUUUUUUUUUUUUUUGGUAAUACCAACAAUGCAUUUUAAAAUAUAUUCAUAUAUUUCUAUGCAAUUUCAUAGUAGAAACCUAAGAAGUGAGCCAUAUAAUGUUACAAUGGGGAAUGAUGUGACAAUGGACUUUAAAUCAAAGUCAAGAAAAUUUGAAACAUUGGGAAAAGACAAUAAAAUGGAGGCUUCAAUGGAUGAUGCACUAAAUGAAACACCAGUUAAUGUUUUUCCAUGGCUUUAUAUUCUUUAUAUUUUUUGAAUUACUGACAAUGCAUUUUCAAAUAUACUUCUAUGUAAUUUCAGGUUGGAAACUCGAGUAAUGAGCCAUAUACUGCAACAAUGGGAAAUGAAACAAUGUUCGACUUCAAAAAAAUUGAGACAUCCAAGAAAGACAAUGAUAAGGAGGCUUUGAUAGAUGACCCACCUAAUGCAACAGUAGUUAAUGUUUUCUCACAUCAAGUAUCACCGAAUAUUUUUAAGCGAAGAAGGGAAGUAAAAAAAUCUUACCUAUUGCAACACCCAUUUAUAGAUCCCACUAAGAGAAGGAAGUUGGUAAUGACUAAGACUGACAUAGCAUCAUCAAUCUUUGAUCCAUUGCAACCACCAUCAAUGGAGGCAAAGAUGGCCUAUACACAAUUAUUAAUGAUGGGUGUAGACCCUCUAUUUUGUCUUCCUCGCACAUGUCGUUUACAGCAAUUCCCUGGUGGCCCAUUAAUACUCGUGUAGCCUAUCUACUCUAAGCCACCUUGGGGACUAUGGUUGAGGGAUUUAUCGAACUCUAUUGCAACUUCUGGUAGCCCAUUUAGACUUAGAUAUACUUAAGCACCACCCUAGGCCCACUUAGGCCCUUUAAGCCCAUUAGGCACCAUCCUAGGCCCGUUUAGACACUUUAGGAUCAUUUAGGUACACUUGGCCCAUUAGGCAUCGCCCUAGGUCCAUUUAGACACCUUAGGUUCACUUAGUGCACCUUAGGCCCAUUAGGCAUCACCCUAGGCCCAUUUAGACACCGUAGGUUCACUUAGUGCACCUUAGGCCCAUUAGACGCACUUGGCCCAUUAGGCACGGCCUUAGGCCCACUUAAACACUUUUCAAGGUUUAGUUUCACUUAGAUUUGUUUUCUUGUUUUUAUUUAUUUAUUUAUUUUAUUGAUUGCUUUUAAGAUUAAGUGAGUUUUGAUAUAUUUAUAUUAUUUCAUCAUUAUUAUUAUUUGUAUUUUCGUUUAUUUAUUUUAUUUUAUAAUUGCAUGAAAUGAGUUAUUUGUUUAUUUAUUAUUUUUGGUGGUUUGAGUUUGACACUUCGACUAUUAUUAUAUGUUGCAUUAGUUUAAUUUUAUUAUUAUUAUUAUUAAAUAUAUCUAAUAUUUAUUAAUUAAUUUAUUUAUUUUUAGGUAUAUAUCAUUUUAUCUAUGUAUUGAUAUUUUCUUAUUUGGGAUUUAAGGACUUCUUGAAAUUUUAAUGAAAGGAAUAUUGACUUUGAUUUAUGGGAAUGGUUCUGACUUUAUGGAUUAUUGCUUUCUUUUUUGGAAUUUUUUUUUAUUGUUAUUUUUCCAUGUAGGUGGAGUCAAUGGGAAGGUGUGCAGAGGAUGCUCAUGGAAAAGACCACACUGUUUUUUUGAAAGGUAGAUUCGGGGCGGGAAAACGGACUAUAAAUCAGGGAUGAAUGCGGAUGAUUUUUAGAGGAAGAUACAGAAAGGUUUUUUAAAAGGUAUUGCGCUGAUUUUGGGAGGAGACAGAGCGCUCUAUAGAGAAAGGAAGGUGGCUAGUUUUUUUUAGGAGAGAAUAAGAGAGAGGAUGAGGAGGACGGAAAAGGAAGAGGGGACCAUUGAGAAAGAAAGUGAUUUUCUGGAAGAAAGUGGCAGCCGCGCCGGGAAAGGGAGGAAUUUUGGCAUUAAGAAAGAAGGAACAAGGGGUGCCAUCUAGAGGGGAGAGAGGUGAUUCACAUCUCCAUGUUUGACUGGGAAAGAGAGGUGACGACUAGAGAUUAUCUCUGGUCUCAGCCUUGAGAAAGAUCAGCAUCGUGCUUUCUCUCAAACCAACCAGACGUCUCACCACGGGAACACCAGCUUCACCACUACCAGUCCGCUCAUCUUGAUGAUUCGCCUAUCACCAUAACGAGAAACACUUGCGAUGUCGUAUUAAUCAUCAUCGGACCAAUAUCUUCUCAUCUCGCCGCAUGCCUUUUCCCCCUCCCCUCACGAUCUGCAUCCGUCAUCAGUCCACGCAUCAAGCCUUCAUCCACACGACUGCCACUUUGAGAGGAAAGCAAUCCACGCACCAAUAGAGCCUCCACGGGUGGCACUUUUGAGCACCAUCUCCAUGCUGCAACCUAUUGCUACCUGUCCCUAAACACCACAGCAAACCAAACGCCAUUCGGAUUGCUUUGGAGCAGGCAUAGCCAACCAGAUUUGACUCAUCAUACCAUCCACUUACACAGCUGCCACUUUUGAGAAGAACAGUCCACGCACCUAGCCGUUGGUAAGUUGAUUUGUUUUCUACAUUGGGUUGCUUUGAAAAUAUAUAUAUAUAUAAAAAUUUGGUUUCAUUUCAGUUUAGAUUAUUAUAUCAGGUUGAAUGCUUUACAGGGUCCAGUACGUUUUCAUUUGAAUAAAUAAAAAAUGUUACUUGUGGUUUAAUUGUUUAAGUUAUUACAUUUGGUGGAGCUUUGAUGUCUCGUGAUGUACCAUUUUCGGAUUAUUAUAUUGGGUUGAGUGGGUUGAUUUGUUUAUUAGCUCCGAUACGUGUUUGCUUUAAUAUGGCAAUACAAUCUCACAUUUGUUUAUUUAUUUUUUCUUUAUUCAUCACGUUAAAGGUUAGUUUUAAUGUAUUAUAUUAAAUUCAUAAAAUAUGAUUUUAGAUAGCUUCAUAUGAAAAAUAAAUAUAUAUACUUUAAUCUUCAUUUGAUAUGGUUUUGAUUCAUUUAAUUAUUGAUUGUUUAUUUAUUUACUUGUUACCAAUUUAAUGCUUUGUAAUUUAUUUAAUUAUAAAUAAAAUUGAUUCUAUAGGAUAGAGAUUUAGUUUUAAAAAUCAUUUUUGUUAGUUUUUUUAAUUUUACCUUAGAUUUAAGCACUCUUGUAAAAUUUUAGUUCAUUAAAAUAAUUGAUCAUAUAUAUAUUUAUCCAAUUAUAAAUUAAUUAAUUAAUUAUUAUUGAUUUAUUAUUCCAUCUUGAAAAUUAUGAUCUUUGUCUAAUGUGGUUACAAUUCAUUUUCUUAGUUUGACAAAUUAGUUUUUUUUUAGUAUUGGUUUGGGCAAUUUUUGUUAAUAAUGGAAAAGUUAGGAUUUCUUUAGAGUUUAGAUAAUUUGUGAUGAUAGUUAAAAAUUUAGAAUUUUGAUUGGCAUUAUUUUUGUUCUCAAUUAGGAAAUUCAUAAUUUCUUUUUAGUUUAGUUUUAAUUUAUCUUUUAGUUUAAAUGUUAUUAAAAUUCAGUUUAUUAGUUCAAUUGCUUCCAUGUCACUCUUUUCAUAUCUAAAGGUUGUUAAAUUUAAUUCAUGAUUCAUCCUUUUAGUUUAUUAGUUUUAGAAUUUAAGUUGGUUAAUUUAUUUCAUUCCGCGUUGAUAUAUUCAUGUUUUAAAAUAAAAUAAAAAAUAAAUAAAAUAUAAAUAAAUAAAUAAAUGGUUAUUUUAGUUUUGAUUGAUCCUGUUUUAGUUGAUAUUUUUUAGAGUUUUAAUUAAUUUGGUUGGUUUCAUAUUGUUUAGUUUAUGUUAAGAUUUUUUAUUCCAUUUUUCCAUUAAUUCUAUGCUUUCGAAUUGUAGGCUAUUAGUUUAAUGUAUUCCCAUGUUGUCAUUUUGUGUUUAAAAAUAGUUCAUUUUAGUUUUUGACUAAUUUUAUUUAUUCUAUGUGUUUGUUUUCUUUUAUUCAAUUGUUAGUUAGCCGAUUAGAUUUAUGACUCAAAAUUGUCAAUAUUAGUUAAUACGUAUCGCUUGUACUGUUUUAAAGGUCACAUAAUAUUUAGUGCUUGAUUAAGUUUAUCUUAAGAUUAAAUGUUUUUAAAGUUUCAGUGCUUAUAAGAUCUAAGGUUUUGGUUUAUCACUUUGGUCAUCCUUUGUCAAAAUCAAUUUUUAGAGGCUAUCAGAAAAUAGUGAAGAUUGGCCUCCAUUCCCACCACUUCAAUUUUAUCGGUUGUCAAAAACUCUACUUUGUGAUUUUGUUCUUUUUUUUUUUUUUUUUUUUCUUUUGCUUGAUAUUUUGAUUCAUACAUUUUAUUGUUUUCAAAUUAACUUUUUUAUCUUUAAAACAUAACAAUAUUCUCAAAAUCUCAUUUCCUUAAAAACAAACCAUUUCAAAAAUUCAUUUAGAGUUCUCAGAAUCAAAAUCCCCUUCCCUUUAAAAAUUCAUUUCAAGGAUUCCUUUAGGAUUCUUAAAAUCAAAACCUCACUUUCUUAAAAUAAUAUGCAACCAUUUUUUUUAUCGGUUUGCAUCUUUCUCGGUUUUUAACGAAAAUUUUGGUUUGAAAUCAGACACGAAUCAAAGCUUGUGGUCCCACAUAAAUGGGAUAAUUUUGAGCUAAAUUCGUGUAUAUCAAUUGGGGAAUUGGUGAAACCCCUACAUAAAAAAAAAUCUUUUCAAAAAAUUAUUUUUGUUGCCACUUUUGUCACUUGUUGAAAUUAUGUCUAUUUUUUCAGGAAUUGUAUAUAAGAUGAGUGUGAUAACUAGUGUUUUCAUAUACUUUGAUAAUUUCUGCUAUGCUAAUUAGAUAACGAGCAUGCUAGGAUUCCUAUAUUUUAUUAUUUAUUAUCUAACCCCUCAUGUCUUAUGGAAGCGCAUUGUAAGUCAUCUAUGUUAUCCAGGUACGUAUCACCUACUUUCUAAAUUUUGUAAACAAUCAUGUCAUUGUGAAAUAUGCAUAUGUUUGAUAAUCCUUAGGUGCUUAGAUGUAUGCUAGAUUCACUAUGAUUAAAAACAAAUGUUGUGUGAUGUAUCUCCAAACUAAUCUCUUAUGUUUUAUGAUAGCGCUUGGGAAGCCGUCCAGGUACGCAUUUUUAACUCUCCUUAAUUGUGAUUCGAUUUUGUUUGAUAUGUUAUGUUUUUUUUUGGAAUCACCUAGCCUACUUAGGUAUCCGAGAUCAACCAUUUAAUUGCCACGCUUCCCUUAACUUAGUCAGUAGAGACCUCUUUAGGGCUUAGAGGGGUGCUACCUCCUAGAGGUACCUUCCCAAUAAGUAACCUGAUCCCCGAACCAAGACUUGGGUUUUCAAAGACACGCUUUUCCAAAAAUUAUGGAGUCAUUUUUUUAGGGUUUUAUUUCUUGUUUUAUUUUCCCUUCAAAAAUAAAAAUAAAAUAAGUGGCGACUCCAACUUUUUUUUAAAAUUAAUUUUUCACAAUAAAAAGCGAGUCUUGCCGAUCGAGUGGGGACGCACGUGUAAAAUGCGGGUCCACAAAUUGGCGACUCCACUGGGGAUUUUGAGGAUCAAGCUUGAACACUAGUUAAGGAAAAUGUGGCGUUUAAUUGGUCGAUUAGAGGGUACCCCCUUUUCCUAGGCAAGGUGAUUCGAUUUGCUUGUUUGUUUGGUUUGAUAUCUUAACAUGUUUGAUUGCCUUGGAUGAUCACUUGAUUGUUUUGCUCACUUAGCAUGAUUCACUCUCACAUAUGUUAGAUAGGACUUUGUUUGUUUGAUAUUUAUUUGCUUCGUAUGACUGUUUGGAUGAUCACUUGAUUGCUUGCUCACUUCAGCAUGAUUCACUUUCACGUAUGCUAGAUAAGACUUUGAUUGUAUGAUACUUAUUUGCUUGGUAUGACUGCUUGUUGCAUGACAACCCUUUCUCUUGCAUGAUUGUAUGAUUGCUUGUCUUUGUUCACUAUCUCACUUUAGAUCUUAGGUUUUUCGGAUGCACCCACAUUCUUCACCGUGCACUUUAGAUUAUCCUUGAGUGUUGAGAGAUGGGAGAGCCUUCACCCUUAAGAAACCCCCUGGGAACGCGAGGAAGUGCAUGUGUGGAGGUGAUGACCACCUUGCAUGGAAGCACCCCGUCUCCUUGGAGGCGUGCAGAGGGUUGCGUACCGCCGGAGGGUACGAUCGCUUCUGCUAGGGAUCCUUUAAUCCACCCAUUUUUUUUUAUCUUAUAGAACCACCACAACCUUAUAGGCUAGCCUAGACCCAAUUAGGAUUUCACUCUUACACGUGGAUGCAUUUGUGGACCUUCAGAGCUGCCUUGGUUACAAUUGGGUUCGAUUACCCUCUCCAUAGUCCCAUUUUGGUAUGAUCAGAUACGAGUAUCAGUUUGAGUAUACAUGGGCUAUAUGCUUGAUUACCUUUUAGUCGGUUUCUAUAGAGUUACCCUUGUACAGCGUCUCAUCUAGUGUUUCCGUGUUUAUAGGAGUAUUUUUUGGUGCCCAGUCUGGAUUCGCCUUCGUGGACUAGAGUUAGAGGCAGAUUGACCAGAGUAUCAGAUCAGCCAGACCAGGGAGUAGAUCAGAGAGAUAUGGACUCCCAGGUAGUCACAGUUGACCAGUUUGCUACGGCCAUGGCUUCGAUUCAGGAGGCUAUAGCCGGCCUUGGCCAGAGGAUAGACGGGCAGCAGGCCCCACCUUAGGAUGGUGCACAGUAUGACUCUACGGCACCACCACCCCCUCCACUCAGUCAGCCAGUUCCACACCCGACACCGUAUGUUUUGCAUAGUCAGACUGAUGCUACCCCACUUCCUGUUGUAGCACCCAUUCAGGCAUCAGAGGAUGCACAUGCUCGUAUGGAUAGACUCGAGCAGAGGAUGAGACAGAUGAGGGUUUCGGAUGGAGACAUCAGUUGGGAUGAUUUUGAUGGAGCACCGGUAGUCAGUUUACCGACUCAGUUCAGGAUGCCAGAGAUUGAGAGGUAUACGGGCAUAGGUUGCCCUAAGAUUCAUUUGAGGUUAUACAGUAGUGUGAUGAGGGCCCACGGGUUGGAUGAGGCCCAUUUGAUUAUGCUUUUUCCCAUGUCCUUGAGUGGUGCAGCACAGCGUUGGUUUGCUUCUUUAGACGCUUCACGCCGUAGGACUUGGGAUGACUUGGCCCAAGAGUUUUUGAGACAGUUCGCGUUUAACACUGUCAUUGAUGUCUCGAGGAGAGAGUUGGAGGCCUUGAGACAGGGGCCAGAUGAGUCAGUUACUUCAUUUAUCUCCCGAUGGAGGGAGAAGAUCGCCCAGAUUGUUGAUCGUCCUUCCGAGAAGGACCAGAUUAGUAUGAUUUUGAGGAGUUUACAGCCUAGAUUUGCUAGACAUUUGAUGGGAUUUCCUCAUACGGAUUUUGGAUCCUUGGUACAGGCCCUGUAUGGCAUAGAGGAGGGCAUCGCUAGAGGGUUGUGGCCCGAGUCUUCUCCUUACGAUUCAAAGGGGAAGAAACCCUUAGGAGGACAGAGACCAGGAGAUGUGAGUGCUAUCAGUUCAGUAGGAUCGAGAUCUCCCAGGCGCUAUCAGACAUUCGGGCAGACUUCACGAGCCUAUUACCCGCAGCGUUAUGCUCAGUAUAGACCACCCAGGCCCAUGAUUCCUACAUACCUACACCAGACCCCAGAGCCUGUUUUUGCUGCACAGGUCUCGGAGAGGCCUCCUACCUUAUAUCCUCGGCCUCGAGCUCCACAGACUACUAUUCCUCUUGUACAGAGGCCGACACGACAGUUCUCCCAGCUAGGUAUGCCUUUGAGUCGAGCUUUCCAAAAGCUCAUGGAGGGUGGUUUGUUGACUCAGUUGGCACCUAGGCCUGUACCCCAGCCUGUGCCACCACGCUUCAGGAUGGAUCUACAUUGUUCCUACCAUCAGGGCCCAGGGCAUGACACAGAUCAUUGCGCCGCCUUGAGACAUGCUAUACAGGACUUGAUAGAUCAGGGUCUGGUUAACUUAGGGCAGCCGAGUGUAACCACGAACCCUCUACCGGCUCACUCUACACAUACAGUGCCACCACCCCCGGGUGGUAUACAUCAUAUAGAUUUUGUAGAGGAUGACAGCAUACACAUGAUGAGUUGGGAUGAUGGAGUGCCAGAGCCGAUUGUUUUGGAUGAUGGUUAUGAGGUUGACACAGUGGGUUCUCAGACUUUUACUCCAUUCAGUUUGAUUUCAGAUUGGAUACCAUUUGAGUUGACUCCUAUUGCACCAUCGGCCAUAGCACGUCAGGGCCCGCCCGCUCCAUUUAUCCUACGGCUAGAUGAUGAUGAUUUAGAGGGGAGAGAUGUACAGAUUGUGACCCGUAGUGGGAGAGUAGCUCAGCCCCCACCUCUAGUAGCUAGGCCAUUUGAUGGCGCGGUUUCUCGUGAGGAGAAUAGGAGAGAGGAUGAUGAGAUAUUGAGGCAGUUACAGAGUACACAGGCACGCAUAUCUAUCUGGAGUUUGUUAGCAUCUUCUAGUACUCAUAGAGAUGCAUUGAUUCGAGCUUUGAGCCAGAUCCGCGUAGAGACCACCACUACCCCGGAGGGGUUGAUUCACAUGAUGACGGCCGACAGGGCCACAUGUAUUGUGUUUUCAGAUGAUGACUUACCACCAGAGGGUUCGGACCACACACACCCUUUAUAUAUUAUAGUUGGUUGUUCAGGUCGUAGAGUCCCAUCCGUCCUAUUGGACAAUGGCUCAGCCUUGAACGUUUGCCCAUUGGCUACUGCUAUUGCUCUUGGUUAUGCACCUUCAGACUUCGGUACCUCUACACAGACGGUCAGAGCAUAUGAUAGUACUAAGAGGGAGGUCAUGGGUACUCUGAUGAUAGAGUUGAUGAUUGGUCCGACUACAUUUCCCAUCCUAUUUCAGGUUUUGAGGAUUCCCGCAUCCUUCAACCUGCUUCUGGGCCGACCAUGGAUUCACGGGGCCGGGGCUAUUCCAUCUUCCCUUCAUCAGAAGGUGAAGUUUAUUCAUGAUGGGCAGGUCAUCACAGUUCACUCUACCAGGGAUAUAUUCGCCACUUCUGAGCCAGUACUUCAGAUUAGUCAUAGUGAGGACGACCUACUUCUGACUGGGUUUACUUUUGAUGAGAUACAGACUCUCGAGAUUGAGGAUUUUUGUAGAGACUUUGUGGCUAUGUCAUUUGAUCAGCACAGUAGCAUAGUGGUCCUUGAUAUGAUGAGGGGUAUGACCUUUCUACCUGGCAUGGGGUUAGGACGACGUCAGCAGGGACCGAGCGAGUUCAUAGCUGCCAUUGACCAUGAUACGACAUUUGGACUUGGAUUCAUCCCUACUGAGGCCGAUUACCGUCACAUGGCGCGGUUGCGCAAGGAGAGGGUGAGAGCUCGCUUAUCCCACACACCAUUUGAUUAUCCUAUUCGACCAUAUAGGAUGAGUUUGACUGACUACUUUGUCAGAGGAUCAGAGACUCGACCUCGUCUAGAGGAGAUUCAUAGUGUGGCUCAUACAGAUGGAGAGACCGAUCUUCAGCAUCUAUUUCACCAGCUACAGUUGAGUGAUGGGGGUCCUGACACUUCUUUCCCUUUGACGAUUACCCCCACGUCUCCAGAUCGAGCUAGCAUGUUGUCUUUAUGCUUUCCAGAGGAGAUCACUGGCGAUGGGGUGAUUGUUGAUCCUACUGAGGUGAUUGAUGGAGUUGUUCCCCAUGAUGAGUACCGUGAUGAGAUGGACAUGAUGACCGUGAGCCAGAUUGCCGGCAUUGUUCAGCUUCAGCCUGUUUCAGCAUUUGAUAUGUUUGGGGUGUCUACCAUUGAGGUUUUUGAGGGGACUCAGACUCUUCCUGUUCCAGAGCUUCCAGAUGAUGAUAGUAGUUUGUUUGAGGGCAUUGUUAGCCCAGUUGAGGGAGCGUCCGACGUUGUGGACCCACCUCUUUCUUUUGAUGUUUUAUCGGGAUUUGUCUCCCGCUCUGACGAUGUUUCUGUUGCUUCAUUUAUGGAUUUGAGCAUUUUUGAGUAUUCGCCUGUCUCUUGUGAUAGUAUCUCUACAUCUGCACCUCACUCACCCAUUACACCGAUAUUUGAUAUAGAUGAUGAGAUUGCACAUCCCAGUUCGGAUAGGGACUCUUUUGAUCAUGACUCUGGUCCCAUAGAUGAGAGAGUUUCACCUGCUGCAGGGGACGUUGAGACUGUUGAUUUUGGCACGGAGGAUCAGCCUAGAGAGCUGAAGAUUGGUUCACCCCUAUCUACAGAUGAGAGAGAUAGACUCAUCCAUUUACUCAGGUCAUACUUGGAUGUCUUUGCGUGGUCUUAUGAGGACAUGCCAGGUCUUGAUCCCUCUAUAGUCCAGCACCAUUUACCUACCCUACCACAUGUUAGACCAGUUAAGCAGAAACUGAGACGGUUGCAUCCACAUUGGAGUCUACAGGUAAAAGAGGAGAUUCAGAAACAACUCAGUGUUGGGUUCAUAUCAGUAGUUGAGUAUCCAGAGUGGUUGGCUAAUGUCGUCCCUGUUCCCAAAAAGGAUGGCAAGGUUAGAGUUUGUGUCGAUUUCAGAGACCUUAAUAAAGCUAGCCCUAAGGAUGAUUUUCCCCUCCCACACAUUGAUUUGUUGGUUGAUGGCACCGCAGGCCAUUCGAUGUUGUCUUUCAUGGAUGGAUUCUCCGGGUAUAAUCAGAUUUUGAUGGCUCCAGAGGAUAUGGAGAAGACGGCCUUCAUUACCGAGUGGGGUACCUACUGUUACAGAGUUAUGCCAUUUGGGUUGAAAAACGCAGGAGCCACUUAUCAGAGAGCCGCUACCACUUUGUUUCAUGACAUGAUGCAUAGGGAUGUCGAGGUUUACGUGGAUGAUAUGAUUGUGAAAUCCCGAGGUAGAGCAGAUCACCUAGAUGCUUUAGAGAGAUUCUUUGAGAGGAUCCGGAAGUUUAGAUUGAGGUUGAAUCCCAAGAAGUGCACCUUUGGAGUGACUUCUGGGAAACUGUUGGGGCAUAUGGUCAGUGAUCGGGGCAUAGAGGUCGACCCAGAUAAAAUCAAAGCCAUACUUGACAUGCCUGUGCCGAGGACUGAGAAAGAGAUCAGGGGUUUUCUAGGCAGGUUACAGUAUAUUAGUCGUUUCAUAGCCAGAUUGACAGACGUAUGUGAGCCCAUCUUUCGUCUUUUGAGGAAGAAUCAGCCAACGGUUUGGAAUGACGGCUGCCAGAUUGCAUUUGAGAAGAUCAAGGAGUAUUUGCUUUCUCCUCCUAUUUUAGUGCCUCCUAUGCCAGGACGUCCACUUCUUCUAUAUUUGUCAGUUUCAGACAUGGCCUUGGGAUGCAUGUUAGCUCAGCUCGAUGACUCCGGGAAAGAGCGAGCAAUUUACUAUUUGAGUAAGAGGAUGCUGGAGUAUGAGAUGAGAUAUGUUAUGAUUGAGCGCAUGUGUUUAGCGUUAGUUUGGGCUACCAGGAGAUUGAGGCACUACAUGACUGAGUAUUCGGUGUGCUUGAUUUCUCGGUUAGAUCCUUUGAGGUAUCUGUUUGAUAGACCUGCAUUGACUGGUAGAUUGAUGAGAUGGCUCGUACUCCUGACAGAGUUUGAUAUUCAGUACGUUUCUCAGAAGUCUAUUAAGGGAAGUAUUGUUGCCGAUCAUUUGGCUUCAUUGCCGAUAUCUGAGGGUAGACCAGUUGAUGAUGAUUUUCCAGAUGAGGAGUUCAUUGCCAUGACUAGCUUAUCAGGUUGGCGCAUGUACUUCGAUGGUGCAGCCAAUCAGUCAGGGUAUGGGAUAGGUGUUCUAUUGGUAUCCCCUCAGGGUGAUCAUAUUUCGAGGUCCGUUCGUUUGGCAUUCUCUGAUCGACAUCCUGCCACGAAUAACAUAGUUGAGUAUGAGGCUUGUAUCCUUGGUUUAGAGACUGCACUGGAGCUUGACAUUAGACAGAUGGAGGUAUUUGGUGACUCCAAUCUAGUACUCAGGCAGAUUCAGGGGGAUUGGAAGACCAGGGAUGUGAAGCUUAGGCCAUAUCAUGCUUAUUUAGAGUUGUUGGUUACGAGAUUUGAUGACUUGAGAUAUGUUCAUCUGCCUAGAGCGCAAAACCGAUUUGCUGACGCCUUAGCUACCUUAGCUUCCUCCGUAGACAUUCCGAUUGAUGUAGUCAUACGUCCAUUGCUGAUUGAGUUGAGGUCUGCACCCGCCUAUUGUUGUUUGAUUGGAGAGACAGAGGUACAGGAUGACCUACCUUGGUAUCAUGACAUUUAUCAGUUCCUUAGAUAUGGCACAUACCCUGAGGUAGCCACUACCAAGGAUCGGAGAGCACUGAGGAAUUUGGCCACUAGAUUUGUGAUUUGUGGAGAUACCUUAUACAGGCGAUCAGCUGAUGAUAUGCUUCUAUUAUGUUUAGAUCGAGCCUCUGCAGAUCGAGUGAUGAGAGAGGUUCAUACAGGAGUUUGUGGUCCGCAUAUGGGAGGACACAUGCUAGCCCGUAAGAUCAUGAGGACGGGCUAUUUCUGGUUGACUAUGGAGACAGAUUGUUGUCAGUUUGUCCAGAAAUGCCCAGAGUGUCAGAUUCAUGGUGAUCUCAUACAUGCACCACCAUCAGAGUUACACGCCUUGACUUCGCCAUGGCCAUUUUCAGUAUGGGGUAUUGAUAUUAUUGGGAAGGUUUCACCAAAAUCUUCCAGUGGUCAUGAGUUCAUCCUAGUUGCCAUAGAUUAUUUCACCAAGUGGGUGGAAGCCGCAUCAUAUGCGAGGUUGACAUCUGCUAGGGUUGCCAGUUUUAUCAGAUCACACAUCAUUUGCCGCUAUGGGGUUCCUCAUGAGUUGAUUUCCGACAGAGGGGUGCACUUCCGAGCUGAGGUAGAUACUUUGUUGCAGAAGUAUGCUAUCUGACAUCAUAGAUCUUCAGCAUAUAGGCCACAGACCAACGGGGCAGUAGAGGCUGCAAACAAGAAUAUUAAGAGGAUUUUGAGGAAAAUGGUUGAGACUUCUCGAGACUGGUCAGAGAAGCUUCCCUUUGCGUUGUGGGCAUAUCGUACAUCUUUUCGUACUUCUACAGGAGCUACGCCUUACUCUCUAGUGUAUGGUAUGGAGGCUGUUUUGCCAGUCGAGACAGAAAUGGGCUCAUUGAGAGUAGCCCUUGAGCAGCAGAUUUCUGAGACAGAGUGGGCUCAGGCUCGAUUUGAUCAGCUUAACCUUUUAGAUGAGAGGAGAUUGAGAGCGGCAGAUCAUGUUCAGGCCUAUCAGAGAAAGAUGGCUCGUGCCUUCAAGAAACGGGUUAAGCCUAGACCAUUGCAAAAAGGGGACUUAGUUUUGAGGAUUCUCAGAGGUUUGAUUGGAGACCCUAGAGGAAAGUUUAGACCUAAUUGGAGUGGGCCUUAUGUUAUCCGAGAGUUGACUCCAGAAGGGGCUGCAUGGUUGACAGACUUAGAUGGAAACCAAUUUUCGGAGCCUACCAAUGUGGAUCAGCUGAAGAAGUAUUAUGUUUGAGACCGUGGUCGCAGGAUGGGUGGCCAUCAUUUCGGUUAGCCUCAUACUUUAUCACCUCUAUAUAUUAGACCGUUGCUAGCCCAUUGAGCUUCGCGUGGUAUGUUAUAGCCUUAUUUCUUUCUUAUAGCUUUGAUUACCAUUUCUAUACCCGGGUUGGGGCCUUUGAUGUAUACGCAUGCUUUGCUAGGAAAGUCUCAUGAGCUUUAGACUUAUAGGUCAUCUUCUCAUUUUGUUACCAUCCUCUUAUCACCCUAUUUGUUCUAUUUUUAUUAUCACCACAUAUUCAUUCUCUUUCUUGUCUCUAUCAUUAUUUGCUUUAUCUGAUCUAUUCUCUUCCUUGGGUUGAUGAUUCUUCACGUCUUAGUGCAAAGAGGGCAAGUUAUAUCACUCUAUUCAUUCCAUCAUUUGACAUUGAUUCGGAGAUCUUAGUUUGAGAGGUUGUCUCAAGGGUUGGGGUUCAUGUAUUCAUCAGUGGUUAGAGAGAGUUUGUUCAUUCCUUAUAUUUUUUCCAUUGGAGUUUGAUUUAUUGAUGAUCAGAGCAUGCGCAAAAAAAAAAAAAAAAAAAAAAAAAAAAAGAGAAAGAAAGAAAAAAAAAAAAGAAAAAAACAAAAACAAAAAAAAAAAAAGGAAAAGAAAAGCGCAAUGAUAUGCUCAUGUAUGGUAUCUCGUUCCAUUGGGUAUUUAUGCCACCUUUUGAGGUUCAUUUAUUGGGUAUAUUUGUCAUUGUGGGUUUUUGUGAGUUUUUAUGAGUUUUUAUGAGUUUUUCAGUCCUUGAGCCACUCUUGUUAUGCAUUUGGAGUGUCGAGGGUUCAUAUGAGAGUUCUAUGAGAUCCUAUGCUUUUUGGAUCAUGUUUGAUAUAUACUAGGUAUGAGAGAUGAGUAAUCUUUUUACUAAGGUCUCCGGAUCAUUGCCUUACCCACCAUUCCAUCAUUGGUGAUAUGACUUUCCUUUAUUGUACUAACAUGGGUUGAUCAUCACUCAUUCCACUUUCUCAUUGCUUUCUUUUGUAUCCCAUUACCGCAUUCCAGAUCUUUGUUCCACCUUUUAUUCAUUCCCUACAUAUUGAUACUCAUUACUGAUUUGAUACCUUCUUCACAUCAUUCACAUAUUUCAUUGAUGGUUUGACCAUUCAUCCUUCCUCUCAUUUCGUUAUCGGCAUUCCCUUUGGUUACUUCUAAGUCCAUGACUCAUGAGAUUUUUCUAUGCAUUACAUCUUGUACACGAGGGUACGGGUUUGAUCAUUGGGUAUUUGAGCCUAGUUUCCCUUCAUUUCUUUCACCCUAUCACCUUGGCCUACGUUACGUCCCGUGUCUUAAGACCACCCUGAGGCCACGAGAUCAGACGUUAUCUUUGACAGUCUUCACUUGGACAGGUUUUUGGUAGAUUGGUUGAAGUAUGGUCGUUACUAUGUUAUCUUUUAUGGAAGAUACUUUUGGAAGCAUUUGGUCUCUCUCUUGCUUGACAUAUUGAUUUUGAUGGAUUUUUGGGUUUGGAGACAGUUCAUUGAGGAUAUCGGAUUCAUCAUUUUCUCGUGCACCAGACAUCCACACUGGGGCAUAUUUCCCCAUCUCGAGAUUGUCACAUCCCUCAUCAUUUUGGCUAUUCAUUUGAGGUUGGAUUUAGAGUGUCUCCCUUGAGACAUUGGUCGAUACUUUAUUCUGACUUCUUAGCAGAUUAUUGUUGAGCUGAGGAUAGUUGAUUGAUGAUAUUGGAUUCAUCCUUUGGUUGUGCAUUAUAUAUUCACACUGGGGCAUAUUCCCCCUUCCUCUGAGAUUCUUAUCUGUUAUUGUAUACGGUUCGAGGAUGGAUGAUCAUUGUUAGGUUGUUUACCUGACGACUUCGACAUUAGGUUAUCCACACUGGGGCAUAUUCCCCUCUCCUUGACGAGAUUUCUUUGGGCAGUGAUAUGAGGAUGGAUGAUUGGUGUCGGUUGUUUAGCUUAUGACUUUGACAUCAGGUCUCAUACUGGGGCAUAUUUCCCCAUUUUCUUUGAGUAUCCUUAAGUUUGGGACAGUAGCCAGUUUGGUUUCAGAUUGAGUACUAGCCCUGAGCGUUCGAUGAUUGACUGUAUCAGGACCCCCCUAUAUGGAUUUGUUGAGAUAGAGAUGGAUCACAUCAGGUUUCACCCGAGGAGCAUGGAUGGAUCCUUUAGCUAGAUGCUCAUGAGAUAGAUUAUUUUCUUCAUUGAUUAUCUUGUGGAUCGGGUUAUCUAGCUUGUGAGACAUAGAGGGCUCUUUUAGUUCAGAAUUUUCAGAGGUUUGUCACGAUGCAUCGGUUACAGAAACCUUGAUUUUAGCGAAUGAUUGAUUUAUUGGUUGUUUCAGCACUGCGAGCACCUUGGAUACCGGGGCAUAUUUUCUUUCCUAAGCUUACAAGUCUAACCCUUUAGCAUUUCGAUCACACGACUUUGAUCCAUUUGGUUCCUACCCCCUUUUGAGUUAGUCUCCAUUUCUUUUCCAUUUAGAGCCCAGAGCUCUCGACCUAGAGUCAUUUUCUUCGUUUAUGACCCAGAGUCAUUUCUUUUCCAUUUAGAGCCCAGAGCUCUCAACCUAAAGUCGAUUUUCCAUUUAGAGCCCAGAGCUCUCGACCCAGAGUCGUUUUUUUCGUUUAUGACCUAGAGUCAUUUCUUUUCCAUUUAGAGCCCAGAGCUCUCGACCCAAAGUCGUUUUUUUUUUUUUUUUUUUUUUUUUUUUUUUUUUUUUUCAUUUAUGACCCAGAGUCAUUUAUUUUCCAUUUAGAGCCCAGAGCUCUCGACCCAGAGUCGAUUUUCCAUUUAGAGCCUAGAGCUCUCGGCCCAGAGUUGAUUUUCCAUUUAGAGCCCAGAGCUCUCGACCCAGAGUCGAUUUCCCAGUUAGAGCCUAGAGCGCUCGACCCAGAGUCGAUUUUCCAUUUAGAGCCCAGAGCUCUCGACCCAGAGUCGAUUUCCCAUUUAGAGCCCAGAGCUCUCGACCCAGAGUCGUUUUUCAUUUAUGACCCAGAGUCAUUUCUUUUCCAUUUAGAGCCCAGAGCUCUCGACCCGGAGUCGAUUUCCCAUUUAGAGCCCAGAGCUCUCGACCUAGAGUCGAAUUUUCCAUUUAGAGCCUAGAGCUCUCGACCUAGAGUCGAUUUUCCAUUUAGAGCCCAGAGCUCUCGACCCAGAGUCGAUUUCCCAUUUAGAGCCCAGAGCUCUCGACCCAGAGUCGAUUUUCCAUUUAGAGCCCAGAGCUCUCGACCCAGAGUCGAUUUUCCAUUUAGAGCCUAGAGCUCUCGACCCAGAGUCGUUUUUCAUUUAUGACCCAGAGUCAUUUCUUUUCCAUUUAGAGCCCAGAGCUCUCGACCCAGAGUCGAUUUUCCAUUUAGAGCCCAGAGCUCUCGACCCAGAGUCGUUUUUCAUUUAUGACCUAGAGUCAUUUCUUUUCCAUUUAGAGCCCAGAGCUCUCGACCCAGAGUCGAUUUUCCAUUUAGAGCCCAGAGCUCUCGACCCAGAGUCGAUUUUCCAUUUAGAGCCCAGAGCUCUCGACCCAGAGUCAUUUCUUUUCCAUUUAGAGCCCAGAGCUCUCGACCCAGAGUCGAUUUUCCAUUUAGAGCCCAGAGCUCUCGACCCAGAGUCGAUCUUUCAUUUAUGACCCAGAGUCAUUUCUGUUCCAUUUAGAGCCUAGAGCUCUUGACCCAGAGUCGAUUUUUCACUUAUGACCCAGAGUCAUUUCUUUCACUUAUGACCCAGAGUCAUUCUUUCUGUGUAAAGCUUUGAGCUCACGACCUGAAGUUAUUCCUUUUUUGUGAUUGCGUCCCCGUGUUUAGAGCUUAUUCUCGUCAUGUGCUAGGACAAAAUCUCAGGUCCUUUUCUUUUAGUUCUUCGGUAUAGUUCACUUCGUUCCGCUCAUUAUUCGUACUUUUACUCACAUUCCCUACACUCGUGAUCUCUACCAAAGAGGGGCAUAUUUGUAGACCCUCUAUUUUGUCUUCCUCGCACAUGUCGUUUACAGCAAUUCCCUGGUGGCCCAUUAAUACUCGUGUAGCCUAUCUACUCUAAGCCACCUUGGGGACUAUGGUUGAGGGAUUUAUCGAACUCUAUUGCAACUUCUGGUAGCCCAUUUAGACUUAGAUAUACUUAAGCACCACCCUAGGCCCACUUAGGCCCUUUAAGCCCAUUAGGCACCAUCCUAGGCCCGUUUAGACACUUUAGGAUCAUUUAGGUACACUUGGCCCAUUAGGCAUCGCCCUAGGUCCAUUUAGACACCUUAGGUUCACUUAGUGCACCUUAGGCCCAUUAGGCAUCACCCUAAGCCCAUUUAGACACCGUAGGUUCACUUAGUGCACCUUAGGCCCAUUAGACGCACUUGGCCCAUUAGGCACGGCCUUAGGCCCACUUAAACACUUUUCAAGGUUUAGUUUCACUUAGAUUUGUUUUCUUGUUUUUAUUUAUUUAUUUAUUUUAUUGAUUGCUUUUAAGAUUAAGUGAGUUUUGAUAUAUUUAUAUUAUUUCAUCAUUAUUAUUAUUUGUAUUUUCGUUUAUUUAUUUUAUUUUAUAAUUGCAUGAAAUGAGUUAUUUGUUUAUUUAUUAUUUUUGGUGGUUUGAGUUUGACACUUCGACUAUUAUUAUAUGUUGCAUUAGUUUAAUUUUAUUAUUAUUAUUAUUAAAUAUAUCUAAUAUUUAUUAAUUAAUUUAUUUAUUUUUAGGUAUAUAUCAUUUUAUCUAUGUAUUGAUAUUUUCUUAUUUGGGAUUUAAGGACUUCUUGAAAUUUUAAUGAAAGGAAUAUUGACUUUGAUUUAUGGGAAUGGUUCUGACUUUAUGGAUUAUUGCUUUCUUUUUUGGAAUUUUUUUUUAUUGUUAUUUUUCCAUGUAGGUGGAGUCAAUGGGGAAGGUGUGCAGAGGAUGCUCAUGGAAAAGACCACACUGUUUUUUUGAAAGGUAGAUUCGGGGCGGGAAAACGGACUAUAAAUCAGGAUGAAUGCGGAUGAUUUUUAGAGGAAGAUACAGAAAGGUUUUUUAAAAGGUAUUGCGCUGAUUUUGGGAGGAGACAGAGCGCUCUAUAGANAAAGGAAGGUGGCUAGUUUUUUUNNNNNNNNNNNNNNNNNNNNNNNNNNNNNNNNNNNNNNNNNNNNNNNNNNNNNNNNNNNNNNNNNNNNNNNNNNNNNNNNNNNNNNNNNNNNNNNNNNNNNNNNNNNNNNNNNNNNNNNNNNNNNNNNNNNNNNNNNNNNNNNNNNNNNNNNNNNNNNNNNNNNNNNNNNNNNNNNNNNNNNNNNNNNNNNNNNNNNNNNNNNNNNNNNNNNNNNNNNNNNNNNNNNNNNNNNNNNNNNNNNNNNNNNNNNNNNNNNNNNNNNNNNNNNNNNNNNNNNNNNNNNNNNNNNNNNNNNNNNNNNNNNNNNNNNNNNNNNNNNNNNNNNNNNNNNNNNNNNNNNNNNNNNNNNNNNNNNNNNNNNNNNNNNNNNNNNNNNNNNNNNNNNNNNNNNNNNNNNNNNNNNNNNNNNNNNNNNNNNNNNNNNNNNNNNNNNNNNNNNNNNNNNNNNNNNNNNNNNNNNNNNNNNNNNNNNNNNNNNNNNNNNNNNNNNNNNNNNNNNNNNNNNNNNNNNNNNNNNNNNNNNNNNNNNNNNNNNNNNNNNNNNNNNNNNNNNNNNNNNNNNNNNNNNNNNNNNNNNNNNNNNNNNNNNNNNNNNNNNNNNNNNNNNNNNNNNNNNNNNNNNNNNNNNNNNNNNNNNNNNNNNNNNNNNNNNNNNNNNNNNNNNNNNNNNNNNNNNNNNNNNNNNNNNNNNNNNNNNNNNNNNNNNNNNNNNNNNNNNNNNNNNNNNNNNNNNNNNNNNNNNNNNNNNNNNNNNNNNNNNNNNNNNNNNNNNNNNNNNNNNNNNNNNNNNNNNNNNNNNNNNNNNNNNNNNNNNNNNNNNNNNNNNNNNNNNNNNNNNNNNNNNNNNNNNNNNNNNNNNNNNNNNNNNNNNNNNNNNNNNNNNNNNNNNNNNNNNNNNNNNNNNNNNNNNNNNNNNNNNNNNNNNNNNNNNNNNNNNNNNNNNNNNNNNNNNNNNNNNNNNNNNNNNNNNNNNNNNNNNNNNNNNNNNNNNNNNNNNNNNNNNNNNNNNNNNNNNNNNNNNNNNNNNNNNNNNNNNNNNNNNNNNNNNNNNNNNNNNNNNNNNNNNNNNNNNNNNNNNNNNNNNNNNNNNNNNNNNNNNNNNNNNNNNNNNNNNNNNNNNNNNNNNNNNNNNNNNNNNNNNNNNNNNNNNNNNNNNNNNNNNNNNNNNNNNNNNNNNNNNNNNNNNNNNNNNNNNNNNNNNNNNNNNNNNNNNNNNNNNNNNNNNNNNNNNNNNNNNNNNNNNNNNNNNNNNNNNNNNNNNNNNNNNNNNNNNNNNNNNNNNNNNNNNNNNNNNNNNNNNNNNNNNNNNNNNNNNNNNNNNNNNNNNNNNNNNNNNNNNNNNNNNNNNNNNNNNNNNNNNNNNNNNNNNNNNNNNNNNNNNNNNNNNNNNNNNNNNNNNNNNNNNNNNNNNNNNNNNNNNNNNNNNNNNNNNNNNNNNNNNNNNNNNNNNNNNNNNNNNNNNNNNNNNNNNNNNNNNNNNNNNNNNNNNNNNNNNNNNNNNNNNNNNNNNNNNNNNNNNNNNNNNNNNNNNNNNNNNNNNNNNNNNNNNNNNNNNNNNNNNNNNNNNNNNNNNNNNNNNNNNNNNNNNNNNNNNNNNNNNNNNNNNNNNNNNNNNNNNNNNNAAACCCCUACAUAAAAAAAAAUCUUUUCAAAAAAUUAUUUUUGUUGCCACUUUUGUCACUUGUUGAAAUUAUGUCUAUUUUUUCAGGAAUUGUAUAUAAGAUGAGUGUGAUAACUAGUGUUUUCAUAUACUUUGAUAAUUUCUGCUAUGCUAAUUAGAUAACGAGCAUGCUAGGAUUCCUAUAUUUUAUUAUUUAUUAUCUAACCCCUCAUGUCUUAUGGAAGCGCAUUGUAAGUCAUCUAUGUUAUCCAGGUACGUAUCACCUACUUUCUAAAUUUUGUAAACAAUCAUGUCAUUGUGAAAUAUGCAUAUGUUUGAUAAUCCUUAGGUGCUUAGAUGUAUGCUAGAUUCACUAUGAUUAAAAACAAAUGUUGUGUGAUGUAUCUCCAAACUAAUCUCUUAUGUUUUAUGAUAGCGCUUGGGAAGCCGUCCAGGUACGCAUUUUUAACUCUCCUUAAUUGUGAUUCGAUUUUGUUUGAUAUGUUAUGUUUUUUUUUGGAAUCACCUAGCCUACUUAGGUAUCCGAGAUCAACCAUUUAAUUGCCACGCUUCCCUUAACUUAGUCAGUAGAGACCUCUUUAGGGCUUAGAGGGGUGCUACCUCCUAGAGGUACCUUCCCAAUAAGUAACCUGAUCCCCGAACCAAGACUUGGGUUUUCAAAGACACGCUUUUCCAAAAAUUAUGGAGUCAUUUUUUUAGGGUUUUAUUUCUUGUUUUAUUUUCCCUUCAAAAAUAAAAAUAAAAUAAGUGGCGACUCCAACUUUUUUUUAAAAUUAAUUUUUCACAAUAAAAAGCGAGUCUUGCCGAUCGAGUGGGGACGCACGUGUAAAAUGCGGGUCCACAAUGGGAUUGAGGAAGAGUAAGUUAUCUACAACAUUGACUCAAUUAAUUUUUUGUUAGGUAAUUUAUGAAGUUGACAAAUGGUUUAUUUCCUUAUAUGGCAUAAAGGUUUGAAGUCAACAUCGAGUAUAUGGAGGUGGACCAAAAAUGGUUUCAGAAAAUAAUGCUUCCUGGAGAAUGGCUUAGUGACUCGGUUUGUGACUGUUGCCUACAUUAUUCAUUGAUAUACAAAAUUUUCUUGAUUACUAAUUAUCAUUCCUCACAAUUUUCAGCAUAUUGAUGUCAUUUUAUACUUUUUUCGGAAAAGGAGGAUAGCAAACCCCGAUGUAUUUACACAAAAAUUCACCACUACUGACACAUUAUUUUGGGUAUGCAUAUUAGUGCAUUUUAACUUUGUUUCACAUUUUUUCUUUAAUUAUAUUCACCACUUCUGAUAAUUUGUUCCUUAUGUAGCAAAAAGUGAAUGGUUGUUGGAGGAUGAAUCAAAAGGCAUGGAACAAAUACAUUUUACCGAAAGAUGACAUCCUCAUCGAUUAUGCCAUGGGUCUUUAUCCUAGGCCUUCUUUGAAAUGGUCUGAGGUUGAUGUUAUAUAUGUUCCUAUUAAUCUAAGGAACACACAUUGGGUAUUGGGAGUUGUCCACCUUCGUAGUAGGAAAAUUUACAUUUAUGACUCCUUAAAGUCAAUUAACAAACCCAAUGGAUUGAAAACACUCAUCACACCAUUAGCAAUGUUGUUACCACGUAUCUUAAGUGCUAUAAAAUACUAUGAGGAGAAUGGUGACCCCAAGGGUGAUAAAGGGUGGGACAUUGAGAUAUUGAACAACAUUCCACAACAAACAAAGGAGUAUGUACAAUAUUUUCCAUGGCAGCAUGCAUGUUUUGUUAUAUAUACAAUAAUAUUGAAAAUUGUUAACAUCACAUUUUUUUAUGUUCAUGUAGUGGUUAUUGUGGAAUGUUUUUGAUCAAAUUUGUGGAAUACCUAUUGCACAACCAUCCAAUGGAUACACUAACAGGCGAGCGGAUGGAUUGGUUUCGUGAGAAAAUGGCAGUGGAGUUAUUUUUCCAUAAAGGACUUCCUAUGUGAUCCCACCACUAUAAAUGGAUUGUAAAUGGAUAGUGGAAGAUGUUUCUAUGUAAUGAAAUUGAAGUUUUUUGUUUGGAAUAUUUCUUUAUUGUGACACUUAUUUAAAUUGUAAAGACAUUUAAGUUUUUUGUUUAGCAUAUUCCUAUGUUAUAGCCCUUAUUUAAAUAGUCACAUGUUUUUCAUACAUCUAGAUAAAAUGAAUGGUUGCAAUUUUUUUUUAUAUUUAUAAAUGUCACUAUGUUAUGAUUGUUAAUAGGUUUGAAUUUGUUGUAGUAAGCAUAAUAAGAGAAACUUAUACUUCAAUGUAGUUCAGACCAUUUUUUUUAAACUCAAAUUUAACGAGUGUUAAGUUACUUGUAAAAGAAACUUAACCCUAGUACAAUUCAGGUUAAUAUCCUGAAUUAAAAUUGAACUCCUACUAAGUUAUUUAUUAAAAAAAACUUAACUUCAGUGUAGUUUAGGACAUUUGUUUUUAAUUCAAACUUAACGAGUGUUAAGUUACUUGUAAAUGAAACUUAACCCUAAUGCAAUUCAGGUGAAUAUCGUCAAUUAAAACUUAACUCCUACUAAGUUUUUUAUUAAAAAAUUUAACUUCAGUUUUGUUCAAGUAAUUUUUUUUUUCAACUAAAACUUAAUCCUAGUACAGUUCAGGUGAAUAUCCUCAAUUAAAACUUAUUUCCUACUAAGUUUUUUAUUAAAAAAACUUAACUUAAGUUUCGCUCAGGUAAUUUUUUAACUGAAACUUAACCAUUGUUAAGUUCAUUAUAAAAGAAACUUAACCCUAGUGCAAUUCAUGUGAAUAUUCUCAAUUAAAACUUAACUCCUACUAAGUUCUUUAUUAAAAAACUUAACUUCAAUUUUGUUUAGGUAAUUUUUUUUAACUAAAAAUUAACCACUGUUAAGUUCAUUGUAAAAAAAAAAAAACUUAACCUUAGUAUAGUUCAAGUGAAUAUCCUCAAUUAAAACUUAACUCCUAUUAAGUUCUUUAUUAAAAAAACUUAACUUCAGUUUUGUUAAGUAAUUUUUUUUUAACUAAAACUUAACUACUGUUAAGUUCAUUGUAAAAAAAAAACGUAACCCUAGUGCAAUUCAGGUGAAUAUCCUCAAUUAAAGUUGUAUAUAUGGACAAUCUCAACAUACAGAAUUUGUUUGAUAUUAACAUCAAUAAAAUAUUAAAACAUCUCCAAAUAUGUAUGAUCAAAUAUUAAUGAGACAAGUAUUCCAAAAAAAAUAAUAAAGAGUUCACUUGUCAUUUCAAAUGAGUUGGUAUCGAGGGAUGAACUUAAACUUCAUUUUUAAGCUUUAAGUUCAUCGCUCAAUUAAAAAGGAUUGCAACAAAGUAUGAUUACAUGGCUUUUGCCUCUAUUCACAAUGUACAAAAAAUUACAACAUCAAAUCUUUUAUAUGCCCAAUCACCAUCUACAAAAAACAACAAAAAUUCACCAUAAAAUUAGCUUAGUGACAAUUUCAUUCAUUCUCUAGUUGUAAGGAGAAAUCUUGCAUUCUUAUCUCAAUGUGUCCACUAUUAUCAUUCUAAUAAUGCAGGGGGAUUGAUCGUUUGCAAGACUUUCGAUUAUAACCAUAAUCACCUCAUCGACCACAACGUCGUCUGCGUUUACCCUCGCCACCUAAAGGGAUUCUUUCCUUCCUUGGUCUUUCUGUUGGUCGCCUUGUUUUUUGUGGUAAUACAACUCUAUUGCUUGUAUCAUCAGGUAUCACCCAAUUUCUUUGAUGUCUAGGAUGAUAGAUGGACUCAACAUAUGAAGAUAAUAAUGAGUUCACUAUAUGAUAUUUGGAGCAUAGAGGAUAACAUGACAUAUGUGCAUAUCUACAAGUAGCAAUAGCAUGUGAACACAAUAUGUGAUCAAGAUCAAUACGUCGACAUGUGCAUGAUUGAUUAUGUAAAUUAACAUGAUCACUAACACCAUUAUAUUUAACAUUAUACUUAAUCGAGUUGAUUACUUCAACUUCAUAUGUCGAUGAUGUAUUGUACCUUACACGAAGCUCUCUAUCAGCCAUGUUGUUAGCUUAGUUUUCAUUGAUAGUGCUUGUUUUUUACGGUUUGCAAACCAUUUUUGAAGUAAAUUUCUUAACUCUUCAACUAGUUGCAAAAUAGGAAGAUCCCUUGCAUUCUUUAACACAACAUUGAGACUUUCAACAAUCCCUAUGGUCAUAACAUUAUAUCUUUUUUUUGGUGGUGUGUGAACGCGCCCAUCAAUCAACACCUGCAUCCAUUACAUAUAUUGCUGCUCUUGGAGAAAUCAUUUGUAGUUGCCCAAAUAUAAUAUUGAAUUUUGAUGAGCAAUAUAUAUAAGCAGUGUCAUGAAAAAACUUAUGGACUUCGAAAUUUUUAAACUUUGUUUUAAGGUUUUGCUUAAUGUGAUAAGUGCACACACCAUGGCUUGCAUGAGGAAAAAAAUUCCGUAUAGCUUUUUCAAUGUUGUUGUGACGAUUUGAAACCAUCACAAGAUCAUCAACAUGGCCAAUUGCUCUAUGCAAUUUUUUUAGGAACCAUUCCCAAGAAGCAUCAUUUUCAAAAUCACUAAUUCCGAAACAUAAGGGGUAUAUUUGAUUGUUGUCAUCCUUGCAUGCAACAACAAACAAAGUUCCUAAGUACUUUGCCUUAAAAAAUGUUUCAUCGAUUGUAAUGACAAGCCUUAUUGAUGUAAGAAACCCAAAAAUACAUGCACCAAGAGCCAUGAAAAAAAAUACUUAGAUUGAUUGUCAUGGUCAAUAACUAUAUCGAUAAUGUUGUUAGGAUUUUUUUUGCUCCAACACAUAACAAGAAGAUGGUAAAGCACUAUAGGACUCUUCUGGUGAUCCUCUAAUUGAACUUAGAGCAAAUUCUCUAGUUUUCCAUGCCUUAUCAUAGCUUAUUCCCACACCAUACUUGUUUUGAAUAUCAGCUACAAUGUCUUUUGGUCGAUACUAAUGACUAACCCCUUGAUAUAUUUCUCAUAUGUUUUCACCAAUCAACCAACUACUUACUUGCAUGACGAUGAUCAUGAGAUAUCAUGUUCAGCUACAAGUGUGUGUUGAAUGAUAUUCCCUUAUUUGAAAUAGAUCAAAAUUUCCCAACUUGAUAUGAGAAUCAAGCAUAUUAAACAAUUUGAAGAUACCAUUAGAGCUUGUCUCUCUAAAUAACUCCUAGUUACAAGAUGUUCCCAACUCCUUAACAUGUCAACCUUAUAGUCCAAAAAUUGAAGAACUUCAUUUGAACUUUUGCUCAUGAAGUCACCUCCACACUUCGUCUUUUAAUAAUUGUUUCAUUUGGAGAGACAUUCUUUCAUAAAAAUAUGAGACCAACCUCUAGUUGUCAAAACCAUAAUGUUGUAAGCUCCUACUAUAACUUUAAACCGUUCCCAACAUCAGAAAAAUCUUGUUAUUCACCUGUGCCAUGAAGUUUGAGAUCUCCUUCUUGAAUUGACUGGUUUUCAGUGGUAGGAAAAUUUUCUAAAGGAAGACUAACUAAAGUUCAUUCCAGUUCUUAAUCAUGUCUGUAUUUACUUUAUUCAAUGUCUGAGGGAAUAAUUUCAUUCUCAGCACAUUCAAACGCAUGUUAUCUUCCUAGAAUGUAAAACAUAUCUCUUCACGUCCUUGAUGAGUGUGUAUGGAUUCUUAUUCUCAUUUCCUUUUAAAAAUGGAAGCAAGAAAACUAGUUAUGGUAUGAUUGUUACAUGCUCCUACAGAGUGACAAAACAUGAUGAAGUGCUUACCCUUGGAGGAUUUAAAUGAUCCCUCAUAGAUUAAUUUGUAGGCAAGGAAAGGCAUGGGAGGCCCACUAUUGUUACCGUCCUAAUCCUUAUCAUUGUUGCCAUGAAAAUCUGUGUCCCAGGGCACUAUGUUCCUCAGCUAAGCCAAACGAUUGUAAGGUACAAUUUCACAACCAAGGCAAAGUCAAUUAGUCUAAAGGAUUACAUGAUAAGAUUCUCUUUCCAUUGUAAUAUAAAAAUUAGAUAGCCAUUUUGAAUUACCAACAGAAAGAGUUGACAAACCAAGGUAUCUGUGAUGAAGGUGGGAAAUGCUCUGACCGAUGAUUUCCCUGACCACUUGGGGUUAUUCCAGUUUAUAUGGUCAGUUGGUAUGAUUUCUGAUCAAACAUACAAGCUACUGAACAUGUUUUGAGACUCUCAAUCAUUUAUACUGUCCUCUGAGUUGUGUGAUAAGAUUAUGGACAUUGCUAGAGAGGAAAUUGGAAACAUUGACCUAUACAACAUUUUUACCCCUCCCUGCAGUGUCAUAAUUGGAUUUUCAAAUCAGCUGAUGAAAACAUUGAUUGAGCCACAAAUCUUGAACUAUCUAGCUACUUUCAUAGUGUAUUGAAGCUCUCAUUUUAUUUUGACUAAAGUAAUUUUCAUGUUUAGGCAUGUUUUUCAUAUAAUAUAGGGACAUUUAGAAAAGCCCCACCCUAAAUUUGGCCAGUUGACUCACUAAAUUUCUCUAAUGAUUUAAGCAUGUUUAUUUAUCUCUGUCAUUACUUUACGUAAAACUUCAUGGUUUAAUUUGAGUUUUAUUCGUAAACAAUUAGCCUUGAAUGGAAGUUCAGAACUUGCUUCAGACGAAAUCUUCUAAAAAAAAAAUAGUUGACUUUUGAAAUGAUUUUAUCAUAUUAUUAAUUAAAUGUAAUGUCAUCUGAUAGAUGGCCGGUGGCAUCAGUCGGAAGUAUGAUCCAUGCACACAGCAGCACUCAGUUGUGUACUACAAUCUACCUGAGGUUCAACAAGCACUUCAUGUUU
rnacentral:lncRNA from 1 species